GGUAUUCAAGUUAUUGAGGUUUAGUUAUGAUCGGUUAGGUGAUUUAGCACUACAACAAUGUCUCUUGUACUGUGCAUUAUUUCCCGAAGAUAGUGAGAUUGAAAGGGAGGAGUUGAUAGGUUAUUUGAUCGAUGAGGGAAUAAUUAAAAGAAAGAGGAGCAGGGGAGAUGCAUUUGAUGAGGGCCACACGAUGCUUAAUAAACUUGAAAAUGUCUGUCUAUUGGAAAGUGCUAAUAUGUAUUAUGUUGCUCGUAGACGUGUCAAGAUGCAUGACUUGAUUAGGGACAUGGCCAUCCAAAUACUGCUAGACAACUCUCAAGGCAUGGUCAAAGCAGGUGCGCAAUUAAAAGAGUUGCCAGAUGCAGAGGAGUGGACGGAGAAUCUCACACGAGUCUCACUAAUACGAAACAAGAUCAAAGAAAUUCCUUCCAGCCAUUCACCAAUGUGUCCCUAUCUAUCAACUCUACUUCUAUGUCAAAAUCAUUGUUUGCGAUUCAUUGCAGAUUCAUUUUUCAAGCAAUUGCAUGGGCUCAAGGUCCUCGAUCUGUCUGGGACCAGUAUUGAAAAUUUGCCAGACUCUGUCUCUGAUUUGGUGAGUCUCACUGCAUUAUUGCUCAACGAGUGUGAGAACNNNNNNNNNNNNNNNNNNNNNNNNNNNNNNNNNNNNNNNNNNNNNNNNNNNNNNNNNNNNNNNNNNNNNNNNNNNNNNNNNNNNNNNNNNNNNNNNNNNNNNNNNNNNNNNNNNNNNNNNNNNNNNNNNNNNNNNNNNNNNNNNNNNNNNNNNNNNNNNNNNNNNNNNNNNNNNNNNNNNNNNNNNNNNNNNNNNNNNNNNNNNNNNNNNNNNNNNNNNNNNNNNNNNNNNNNNNNNNNNNNNNNNNNNNNNNNNNNNNNNNNNNNNNNNNNNNNNNNNNNNNNNNNNNNNNNNNNNNNNNNNNNNNNNNNNNNNNNNNNNNNNNNNNNNNNNNNNNNNNNNNNNNNNNNNNNNNNNNNNNNNNNNNNNNNNNNNNNNNNNNNNNNNNNNNNNNNNNNNNNNNNNNNNNNNNNNNNNNNNNNNNNNNNNNNNNNNNNNNNNNNNNNNNNNNNNNNNNNNNNNNNNNNNNNNNNNNNNNNNNNNNNNNNNNNNNNNNNNNNNNNNNNNNNNNNNNNNNNNNNNNNNNNNNNNNNNNNNNNNNNNNNNNNNNNNNNNNNNNNNNNNNNNNNNNNNNNNNNNNNNNNNNNNNNNNNNNNNNNNNNNNNNNNNNNNNNNNNNNNNNNNNNNNNNNNNNNNNNNNNNNNNNNNNNNNNNNNNNNNNNNNNNNNNNNNNNNNNNNNNNNNNNNNNNNNNNNNNNNNNNNNNNNNNNNNNNNNNNNNNNNNNNNNNNNNNNNNNNNNNNNNNNNNNNNNNNNNNNNNNNNNNNNNNNNNNNNNNNNNNNNNNNNNNNNNNNNNNNNNNNNNNNNNNNNNNNNNNNNNNNNNNNNNNNNNNNNNNNNNNNNNNNNNNNNNNNNNNNNNNNNNNNNNNNNNNNNNNNNNNNNNNNNNNNNNNNNNNNNNNNNNNNNNNNNNNNNNNNNNNNNNNNNNNNNNNNNNNNNNNNNNNNNNNNNNNNNNNNNNNNNNNNNNNNNNNNNNNNNNNNNNNNNNNNNNNNNNNNNNNNNNNNCCAUCAUAUAAUGGGUACGUUUCUUGGUCUUAAAGAGUUUAUUGUUUAUGGAUGUGAAAGUAUGAAGAAAGCUGUUCCCGCUUGUGCUGCUGCCAAACCUCGGAAACCUGGAAAGGAUUGUUGUUGAGGAUUGUGAGAAAAUGGAGGAGAUAAUAGGAACAACAGAUGAAGAAAGCAGCACCUACAAUUCCAUCAUGGAAUUAAUAUUCCCAAAGUUAAGAUCUCUGAGAUUGUUUGAAUUACCAGAACUGAAAAGCAUUUGCAGUGCAAAACUGAUUUGCAAUUCUCUUAAAGAUAUUGAUGUAGAGGAUUGUCAGAAGCUGAAGAGGAUGCCCAUUUGUCUUCCGUUGCUUGAAAAUGGCCAGCCAUCUCCUCCCCCUUCUCUUAAAGAAAUCACGGUAUAUCCAGAAGAAUGGUGGGAGACAGUAGUGGAGUGGGAGCAUCCUAAUGCAAAGGAUGUCCUUCGUCCCUUUGUACACUUUGUGUAGGAGAAGACUACUCUGCGCCUAAUAUAAUAUAAUAUAAUGUAGAACAGAGGGUAAGCAUCGUCUCUCUCAAUCGAAUUGUACCUUUCGUAUUGUUAAUCCUUUCGUUGUUAGAAUACUUCUUUGUUGCAUCAUUUAUCAAUUCUAUCCUAAUGCAAAGGAUGUCCAAAGGACCUUUUUUAUCUCUCGAAAUAAUUAAUAUGUAGAAUGGUUAAUUACUCCGUUAAAUGUAAUAAUACGUAUCCUUCUUUGUUGCAUCAUUUAUCAUUUCUAUCCUUCUGUAAAAAUACUAAUCAUUUUUGUAAUCUUAAAUUUGCUCAUAUUCAAUAAUAUAUAUUAUUCUUAUUCAAUAAUCGAUUGUAAGAAAAAUCUACAUAAACUCAUAGAAAGAAAGAGCAUUAUUAAUAUUAUUAUUUUUAACUCGAUAAAUAAAUGAUUAUAACUUGAAGUUUGAUUAAUAUUAUUUUUCAUCCUAUUGAGUUUCCCCAAGAUGAAAAUCCAAAAAAUAAUAAAAAAAAAAAAACUAUAUUGAUUAAUCAUUAAAGUAACCUAAUAAAAUAAUAGAUCUAUUCACUAGUAAUAUCAUUAACUAGCAAAAUUUAUUUUUUAAAAAUAUAUAAUAAAAAUUACAAAGAAAAAGUGAGAGAGAGAGAGAAAAGAAACUUUAAAAAAAUAAUAAUCAAGUUACAUGACUUGAAAUUUUAAAAAUUUUAUAAGAAUAUAUUUAGAAUAAAAUUUCAUACCUUUAUCUAUUUUUCUCGUGUCAUCUUAGUCUUAUUCAGAGGAAAAAAAUUCAAAUUCAUCCUAUUUUUUAAUUUUCCUUAUGAUUUUUAAAUUUUUAUUUUUAAGCUUUUUAGGUUUUAUUAUAAAAAAACUAAAAAGAUUGGUUAAUCUACUAUACAUGAAGACACAUGUUACUAUGCAUUAUAUUAAGGGUUUGUUUAAGAGUGUGGUAAAAAUUGUAUUGCAAAAUAUAUUUUUAUUUAGAAAUAUAUUAAAAUAAUAUAUUAAAAUUUUUAAAUAUAUUAUUUUAACGCAAAGGAUGUCUCUAAAUAUUUUCAUUUAGAAGUAUUUGGAGUGGGAGCAUCCUAACGCAAAGGAUGUCCUUCGUCCCUUUAUAUCUUUUUUUUAACUUGAAUGAUAAAUAAUUAUGAUUUGAUGUUUGAUUAAUAUUAUAUUUUCAUCCUAUUGAGUUUCUCCAAGAUGAAAAUCCAAAAAAUAAAAAAAAAUACUAUAUCAUAAAUCAUCAGUGAAAGUAUUCUUCUACACAUUUUUAAAAUGUCCAAGAGAGAGUAUGAAUAUGGCAGAUUGAAGUUUGUGAGUGUAGGAAAAUGGAGGAGAUAUUCUUCUCUUAAAGAACUCUGAGAUUGGAUUGGUUACCAGAACUGAAAAGCAUUUACAGUGCAAAACUGAUUUGCAAUUCUCUUCAUCCCUUUGUACCUUUUUUUAAAAAACUCGAUAGACAAAUAAUUAUAAUUUGAAUUUUGAUUAAUAUUAUAUUUUCAUCCUAUUGAGUUUCUCCAAGAUGAAAAUCCUAUAUUGAUUUAUCAUUAAAGUAACCUAAUAAAUGUAAUGUUUUUUUUUUUCUUUCCACUCACAUGUUGGAUUGUUGUGAUUCUUGACGUGUUAUCUUUUUUUUUUUUCUUUUUUUUUUUUUUUUUGAUUAUCGGGGUGUCCGGGGCCAGCUUUGCGCGCACCUCGACUAAUCCCACGGGCCCUGAAGUUAACGACCAUGUAAACCUCCAGUGGCCAUCAUAUGAGCGUCCACAGGGUUCGAACCUGAGACCUAAGAGGGAGCAAACCCCUGAAGUUAACGACCAUGUAAACCUCCAGUGGCCAUCAUAUAACCUCUUGACGUGUUAUCUUGUUUGUAAACGUUGUGUUUUUAAAAUUUUUGAUUUGUUUUAAAUAAUUUUUUUAUAUUUUUAAAUUAUUUUAAUAUUAAAAAUAAUUUUUAAAAAUAAAAAAAUAAUUUAAUAUAUUUUUAAAUAAAAAAUAUUUUAAACCACAACUACUCCUUCAUCCAACUGCUUCCCAGGCUUAAAAAAAAGUCUCGACGAGGAUUUCAAAAAAAGAACUAAAGCAUGUACGUGGCUGCCAAAGAAAUCCUAAAAUUUAGGUUUUUGAUGAAAACGUGUGGGACACGUGAUGAAAAAGGAGGUUUAAAAGUGGUUUGCCCAUAAAGAAGACGUGUGGGAAUUGCAGUAAUGUUUAUGGAUUAAGAAAAGAAAAAGGGAUUAAUGUAGUUUAUGGAUUCAGUAAUGUUUCUUCUAUUAAAUGGAUUAAUUGUUUGAUUAUAUUUAUUUAUCUGUAUUGAUUUAAUAAAAAAAAACUCCUAAAGCAUGUACGUGGCUGCCAAAAAAGUCCUAAAUUUACUCAAUUGAAAAGGAUCAUGGUACUGCCAUGAUUGUUAUAUGCCCGCAAUCAAAACAUAAAUUUGUUUUUGUACUCAUAAUUAUGUUUGAGUUCAUUUAAAAAUCUGUUUAUUUAAAAAAUAUAUUAAAUUAAUAUUUUUUAAUAUAUUAAUAUUAAAAUAAAAAAUAUUUUAAAGAGGAAAAAAAAUAUUUGACAAAGAAUAAAUAGAAAGCUUACGAAUAGUUAAGAGUCGUAUUGUAAAGUAUAGUUUACAGGUUGACUCACAGAUUAACUGCUUAACCCCAUCAUAUUAUUUAUUUAUAAAAACUAAAAUAAUUAUAUUUUUUUUAAUAUUAUCUUUUUUAAUAUUUUUAUUUUAAAAAAGUUUCACGUUGUAGAUAAAAAAAAAAAAGAUGUUUUAAUUUAGCAACGAUAGAGCAUUCACAAGGAAGAUAUUAUACGGUUAUUAGUUUUCAUUAAAAGAAAAGCUAAGAGACUUGGGAGAACUACUAUUUAUUCACACCUAUUUCAUUGUAAAUUAUAAUAAGUAAUCCAAUGUGUUUUGUUUUUUUUUUCUUUUAUUUUUGUUUAUUUUAUUAGUGGGCUGAUUUAAAAUUCAAUUUUGUAAUUUAUUUUAUUUUUAUUAUGUUUUUUUAUAAGAUUAAUGUAAUUUAGAGGUUUGUUAUAAUAACUCAAAUAUAUUAAUUUACUGGUUUAAUAUUUUAAAAAAAUUAAUCCAGCACGGAAAAACACUAGCCACCAAAACUAGCACUAGGUUUUGUUCAUUAAAAGUAAGGAUGGAGUCUUUGACUGCACUAGGUAACGGCAACGAUUGAAAACCUUUAAAAUUUGUCUUCUAAUUUUUUCCCUUUUAGUAAUUGUUACGUAAUCAGAUUCGCUUCAUGUUCAAUAAUUGUUUUUUUAUUUUUUAAAAUUUAUUUAUUUUAUUUUUAAUAUUAAUAUAUUUAAAUUAUAAAAAAAACAUUAAAAAAAUCUAUUUAUCUUUUUUAAAAAACAACUAAAAACAGAAGCAAUCACCUGCUCUUAAUUAAUCACAUCUUUAAUAUUUAAAAACAUUGUUAAAGCACACGUUUUUCAAAAACUUUGAAUUUUUUUCUUUUUAAAUUAUUAUUUUUUAUGAAUGAUGAAAAUAGUCCUUUAAAUCAACGGUUGGAUAUUCUUAUUAAUUAAUAUUAAAAUUACUUGCAUGAUGCUUUUGGAUUAAAGAUGCUCAAUGGUUGGAUUUGGGUCGGUUUGAAAUUGUAUUGCCAAUUCCAUAUUUCAAAGAAAAAUCGAAGCCUAACAUGAAUUCAUAGAAAGAGCGUUUAUUAAUAUGAAAUAUUUCUUUUUUAUAUUGUGUUCUUACAAUUACAUAAAUAACAUUUUUCAUUUUUUUAUUUAUUUCAUUAUCUUUUUAAGACUAUUCAUAUAUAUAUUUUUUAACUCGAUAGAUAAGUAAUUAUAAUUUGAAGUUUAAUUAAUAUUAUAUUUUCAUCCUAUUGAGUUUCUCCAAGAUAAAAAUCCAAAAAAUAAUAAAAAACAAUAUAUUGAUUUAUCAUUAAAGUAACCUAAUAAAGUAAUAUAUCUAUUCACCAGUACAAAUCAUCUUAUAUCAUUAACUAGCAAUAAAUUAUUCUUUUAAAAUAUAUAAGAAAAACAAAUUAAAGAGAGAAGACAAUUUAAAAAAAGAAUGACAAUCGAAUUACAUGACUUGGAAUUUUGAAAUUUUUAUAAGGAUAUAUUUAGAAUAAAAUUUCAUACCUCUAUCUAUUUUCCUACUACAAAAAUUCAUUCUAUUUUUCUACAUUCGUCAAGAUUUUUUAAUCUGUAUUUUUAAGUUUUUUCUGUAUUUAUAGAAACAAAAAAAAAAAAACUAAAAGGAUUGGUUAAUCAACUCCUCAAGAUUUUUUAAUUUGUAUUUUUUAAGUUUUUUUUUUUUUUGUCUUUAUGAACAACAUAAAGUUGUUUUUUCUGUCCAUUUACAAAAAUAUAUAUCAAAAUGAAGUUUUCUACUUAGUGCCUGGUGGUUUUGUCUGAAUAAAAGGGAUAGAUGCUAAGUUCUGAGUUCAAGGAAGAGAGACAAAAAGUGGAAGGGACAACUGUGUCGAUUGUUCUCUUGAUCUGAGCUUAUUCUGUAUCAUUUUGUUGGCUGCAUUAAUUAUACCUUCACCUCCAUACGCAACUCCUCUUCAUCUCUUAAUGUUAAUAAAAAUGUAAGAAUUUAGGAACAUUUUCACAAUGAAGAUUAACUCAUCUCCAUAGCAUAAUACAGGAAAUAGAAGAUCCAUUCAUUUCAUCGCAUCUCNNNNNNNNNNNNNNNNNNNNNNNNNNNNNNNNNNNNNNNNNNNNNNNNNNNNNNNNNNNNNNNNNNNNNNNNNNNNNNNNNNNNNNNNNNNNNNNNNNNNNNNNNNNNNNNNNNNNNNNNNNNNNNNNNNNNNNNNNNNNNNNNNNNNNNNNNNNNNNNNNNNNNNNNNNNNNNNNNNNNNNNNNNNNNNNNNNNNNNNNNNNNNNNNNNNNNNNNNNNNNNNNNNNNNNNNNNNNNNNNNNNNNNNNNNNNNNNNNNNNNNNNNNNNNNNNNNNNNNNNNNNNNNNNNNNNNNNNNNNNNNNNNNNNNNNNNNNNNNNNNNNNNNNNNNNNNNNNNNNNNNNNNNNNNNNNNNNNNNNNNNNNNNNNNNNNNNNNNNNNNNNNNNNNNNNNNNNNNNNNNNNNNNNNNNNNNNNNNNNNNNNNNNNNNNNNNNNNNNNNNNNNNNNNNNNNNNNNNNNNNNNNNNNNNNNNNNNNNNNNNNNNNNNNNNNNNNNNNNNNNNNNNNNNNNNNNNNNNNNNNNNNNNNNNNNNNNNNNNNNNNNNNNNNNNNNNNNNNNNNNNNNNNNNNNNNNNNNNNNNNNNNNNNNNNNNNNNNNNNNNNNNNNNNNNNNNNNNNNNNNNNNNNNNNNNNNNNNNNNNNNNNNNNNNNNNNNNNNNNNNNNNNNNNNNNNNNNNNNNNNNNNNNNNNNNNNNNNNNNNNNNNNNNNNNNNNNNNNNNNNNNNNNNNNNNNNNNNNNNNNNNNNNNNNNNNNNNNNNNNNNNNNNNNNNNNNNNNNNNNNNNNNNNNNNNNNNNNNNNNNNNNNNNNNNNNNNNNNNNNNNNNNNNNNNNNNNNNNNNNNNNNNNNNNNNNNNNNNNNNNNNNNNNNNNNNNNNNNNNNNNNNNNNNNNNNNNNNNNNNNNNNNNNNNNNNNNNNNNNNNNNNNNNNNNNNNNNNNNNNNNNNNNNNNNNNNNNNNNNNNNNNNNNNNNNNNNNNNNNNNNNNNNNNNNNNNNNNNNNNNNNNNNNNNNNNNNNNNNNNNNNNNNNNNNNNNNNNNNNNNNNNNNNNNNNNNNNNNNNNNNNNNNNNNNNNNNNNNNNNNNNNNNNNNNNNNNNNNNNNNNNNNNNNNNNNNNNNNNNNNNNNNNNNNNNNNNNNNNNNNNNNNNNNNNNNNNNNNNNNNNNNNNNNNNNNNNNNNNNNNNNNNNNNNNNNNNNNNNNNNNNNNNNNNNNNNNNNNNNNNNNNNNNNNNNNNNNNNNNNNNNNNNNNNNNNNNNNNNNNNNNNNNNNNNNNNNNNNNNNNNNNNNNNNNNNNNNNNNNNNNNNNNNNNNNNNNNNNNNNNNNNNNNNNNNNNNNNNNNNNNNNNNNNNNNNNNNNNNNNNNNNNNNNNNNNNNNNNNNNNNNNNNNNNNNNNNNNNNNNNNNNNNNNNNNNNNNNNNNNNNNNNNNNNNNNNNNNNNNNNNNNNNNNNNNNNNNNNNNNNNNNNNNNNNNNNNNNNNNNNNNNNNNNNNNNNNNNNNNNNNNNNNNNNNNNNNNNNNNNNNNNNNNNNNNNNNNNNNNNNNNNNNNNNNNNNNNNNNNNNNNNNNNNNNNNNNNNNNNNNNNNNNNNNNNNNNNNNNNNNNNNNNNNNNNNNNNNNNNNNNNNNNNNNNNNNNNNNNNNNNNNNNNNNNNNNNNNNNNNNNNNNNNNNNNNNNNNNNNNNNNNNNNNNNNNNNNNNNNNNNNNNNNNNNNNNNNNNNNNNNNNNNNNNNNNNNNNNNNNNNNNNNNNNNNNNNNNNNNNNNNNNNNNNNNNNNNNNNNNNNNNNNNNNNNNNNNNNNNNNNNNNNNNNNNNNNNNNNNNNNNNNNNNNNNNNNNNNNNNNNNNNNNNNNNNNNNNNNNNNNNNNNNNNNNNNNNNNNNNNNNNNNNNNNNNNNNNNNNNNNNNNNNNNNNNNNNNNNNNNNNNNNNNNNNNNNNNNNNNNNNNNNNNNNNNNNNNNNNNNNNNNNNNNNNNNNNNNNNNNNNNNNNNNNNNNNNNNNNNNNNNNNNNNNNNNNNNNNNNNNNNNNNNNNNNNNNNNNNNNNNNNNNNNNNNNNNNNNNNNNNNNNNNNNNNNNNNNNNNNNNNNNNNNNNNNNNNNNNNNNNNNNNNNNNNNNNNNNNNNNNNNNNNNNNNNNNNNNNNNNNNNNNNNNNNNNNNNNNNNNNNNNNNNNNNNNNNNNNNNNNNNNNNNNNNNNNNNNNNNNNNNNNNNNNNNNNNNNNNNNNNNNNNNNNNNNNNNNNNNNNNNNNNNNNNACUAUUAAAUAUAUUAAAAUCUUAAAUGAUAACUGAAAAAUAAAAUCAUUCAUCAAUCAAUUUAAGAUUUCUACACUGUAAUUUGUUAAUAUUAGUUAAAAAAAAAUAUAAAUUUUAUGUAAAUAAAAAUAAUUUAAUUAACUGGUGUGGUGAAUCUCACUUCAUAACGAAUUCAUAUAUCGGUCCAAUAAAUUAGGUCCAAUGUAAUUAACUUGGGUGGUGUGUGUAUAUAUAUAUAUAUAUAUAUAUAUAUAUAUAUAUAUAUAUAUUUUUAAAAUAAUCAUCAAUAGUUUUGACAUUAGAAGUCAAUUCACCAACAACUUAAAAAUUCAACCUCUUUAAUAAAAAUACUUUUUAUAUUAAAAAAGUUGAAUUUUCCAUGAAUGAUUGGUGAGAGAAUUUUUAUUGAUUUCAUAUAAUAAUAAUAGUUUUUUUUGUAAAAAUGAUACCGAGAAAAAAUAAUCACAAGUAUACAAGACAAAAUUCAACCUCUCCUCAUUGAUGUGUUAGGUUGGAAUCCUUAAACUGUUUUUGCCACAGUUCUUCGACUAGGUUUUAAGUUUAGAUUUUGACUUGUUAUAUAUUUUUUAAAUUGAUUCUUUAAAAAAAAUUCAUUAAUAUCUUUCCUUACGGUAAAUAAAAAAAACAUAAUUCAUUCUUCUAUUUAGAAGAUAUUUGGAAUCAUUUGCUGGAUCUAUUUUCUGUUUUUAUUUUCAGAUUUUAAAAUGACCCCUCGGAAAACAAUUCCAACCAAUUAUUUGCCAUGGAAUUUGGACGCUGUAUAAUUCCAAGUGGGCUACAACAUGUCGGAUUGCUGUGAUUCUUGACGCGUUGAAAAGGUUUCUUGAAGGGCUACAAAUUAGUUUCUGAUGAGGAUUUCAAAAAAAGAAGAACUAAAGCUGCCACAGAAGUCCUAAAAUCUAGGUUUUUGAUGAAAACGUGUGGACCAUGGAGACGUGAUGAAUAAUAAAUCAUAAUAUAAAUUAUAUAUUGAAAUUUUAUUUAAAAAAUUAAAUUAUUAGGUUGUGAUGAUUUGUUAAUAUGAUAUCAAAGCUAUGAUAACCAAACGGUCACGAGUUCAAAUUUCACUAUUUCUAUUUAUUUGAUAAAAAUUAAACACAAGGUAAUAUGAGUUUGUGCAAGUUCCAAGCUUAAAAGGGUUUUUUUUUUAUUAACGUGGGUGUCCGGACCAGCUUGUGCGCACCUCGAUUAAUCACACGUGCCCUGAAGUUAACGACCAUGUAAGCCUCCAGUGGUCAUCAUAUGAGCAACUACAGGGCUCGAACCUGAGACCACAGAGGGAGCAAACCCCUUAGUCCCAAGCUCUUACCACUGGACCAUCACCUAGAUGGUUAGCUUAAAGGGUUUUCACUUGAUGAGUUAAGGGGAUAUGUUAGAGAAUAAUAUAAAUUAUAUUCUGAGAUCUUAUCUAAAAGUUUAAAUUAUUAACUGAAAUGAUUUUUUAACAAUGAAAAAUAGGCUGCUCCUUUAUAAAAAGGGGCAUUUGGCGUUAAGAAGACGUGUGGGGCAUGCAGCAGAGAAGAAAAAACAAAGAAAAAAGAAAAGGGAUUUAUGUAGUUUAUUGAUUCAGUCAUGUUUUUUUCGAUUAAAUGGAUUGAUUCUUUAAUUAUUUUUGGAUUAUUUAUUUAUCUGUAUUGAUUUAAUUUCUUUACUUUAAUGUUGCUCGUGAGUAUAUUGUUGUUGUCGUUGAAUUUUCUUAAUAAUCAUUUGCGUAUUUAAAAGUGAUGAAUGAUUUUUCAAAAGGGUUACAUUUGGUGUUAUGUUGAUUUAAUUUUGGGAAUUGAACUUCCAAUUGAGUUAUUAAACGAAAUAAGAAUAAUUAAAAUACCAAAUGUGUGCAAGGAUUCCCGACGCUCUACUCUUUGUAGAAUUCCACUACUUUCUCCAUUAGUCACCUUGCUUUAUUUUAAUUUGCAUUUAAAAUUAAAUUUCAUUCUCUAUUAAAUCAUUUACUGAUGUUCGGAGCUUUAAAGUGUAUGCCAUAUAUGUACAAUUAUAUAACAAAUUAAUUUUCAUUGUCUCGACAUUAAUUUUUCAGUUUUUUUAAUCACUGAUUAUUUUAUUUUAAAUUUUAUCUUUAUAGAUUAUGUUGCUGGAGAUUUGAGGCUGGUAACUUGUUUUAAUUAACUUGUCAUGAAGUUCUCAAGGUCUAAAAAAAUAAAAAUAACAGGCUUCAAUGUUAAGUUAAGUUAAUAAAUUUUAAAAUUAAUCAUCAUAUAAAUUUUUAAUAACUUUAAAAUUUAUAAAAUUUAAACUGAUAAUAUUUAAAAUAUAAAUCUAAAAUCUAUCUACUUCAACUAGAAUCCCUGUAAUUAUAAUCAUGAGAUGUUUUGAAAGAGCGGGGUAGGGUGUUUAUUGUACUCCAAAUUCAUUGACUGAUGUACGCACACCAUGUACUGUCAAUAAAAACAGAAAUAUGAAUAGAAGUUUAUUAUAUAUUCAAAAAAAUUAUAUUAACUUAAUACAUAUAAAAGUCAUAAAUAUUCCAUCUUAAUUAAGCAAACUUGAUAAAUCUAAUUACACAAAUCUGACUUAAUACAUAUUAAAGUUUGUGAAGAUUGAAGACCUGUUCUUAAUUUUUGAGUUAUUUUAUAUUUUAAUAUUUUUUAAAAUAAAAAAUAUUUUAAAAAUAACAAUAAACAUACUCCAAACUCUUAAUGCACUGUCUAAAUCACUCUAAAAGUAGUAAUGUUCUUCUUUUUUUUUCCAGGAAACAGUCUGGAUGCACUCAAGUAUUUUAAAUUUUUAAUCACAACUUUCCACUCACAUGUUGGAUUGCUGUGGUUUUUGAUGUAUUAUCUUGUUUGAAAAUGCUUGUAUUUUUAAAAAAUUUGAUUUAUUUUUAAAUAAAAUUUUUUAUUUUUUUAAUUUAUUUUGAUAUGUUAAUAUUAAAAAUAAUUUUUAAAAAUUAAAAAAUUAUUUUAAUAUAUUUUUAAAUAAAUAAUAUUUUAAACCGGUUAAACGUAUCACAUUUGAAACAGACUCCUCGAGCUACAAAAUAGUCUCUGACAAGGAUUUAAAAGUGGGGCUGCCUCCUUUAGAAAAAGGGGGCUGCCCAUAAAGAAGACGCGUGGGAAUUGCACCAGAGAAGAAAAAAAAAAACAAGAAAAGGGAUUAAUGUAUUUUAUGGAUUCAGUAAUGUUUUUUAUAUUAAAUGGAUUAAUUGUUUGAUUAUAUUUAGAUCAUUUAUUUAUCUGUAUUGAUAUAAUCUUUUUACUAUAAUAUUGAUUUAAUAAAAAGAACUCCUAAAGGUGGCUGCCAAAAAAGUCGUAAAAUUUAGGCAAUUUAUUUUUGUACUGCCAAGAUUAUUAUGCCCGCAAUCAAAAUAUAAUUUGUUUUUCUAUUCAGAAUUAUGCUUGAUUGCAUUUAAAAAUCUGUUUAUUUUGAAAAAAAUGUUAAAUUAAUAUUUAUUAAUAUAUUAGUAUUAAAAAUUAAAAAAACCACAUCAUAUUAUUUAUUUAUAAAAAUUAAAACGAUGAUAUUUAUUUUAAAAAAACUAAAAUAACAAUGUUUUUUCUUAAUAUUAUAUUUUUAAAUAUUUUACUUUCAAAAAGUUUCAAUAAAAAAGAUGUUUUAAUUUAGCAACGAGAGAGCAUCCAAAGGGAAGAUAUUAUAGGGUUAUUAAUUUCCAUUAGAAGAAAAGCUAAGAGACGUGGGAGAAUUACUAUUUAUUCACACCUAUUUUAUUGUAAAUUAUAAUACGUAAUUCAUUGCGUUUUGUUUUUCUUUUAUUUUUUUAAAAUUUAUUUUUGUUUAUUUCAUCGGCUGAUUUAGAAUUCAACUUUAUAAUUUAUUUAUUUUUAUUAUAGUUUUUUUAUAAAAUUAACGUGAUUUACAGGUUUGUUAUGAUAACUCAAAUUAUACUAGUUUACUGGUUUAAUGAAGUAUUUUUUUGUUUCUUAAUUAAAAAAAAGCUAAAAAGGUGUGGGAGAACCACUAUUUACCUAUACCUAUUUCAUUAUAGAUUACCAUAUUAAUCUAUAGUUUUUUUUUUCCUUUCCUUUUCUUUUUUUGUUAUCAUUUUCUUAAAUUUGUUUUUUUUAUUUCAUAUUUGGGUUGGUUUAGAAUUUAGUUUCAUAAUUAAUUUUAUUUUUUUCUAUGAGAUUAUCACAGUCUAUGUCUAUAUAUAUAUAUAUAUAUAUAUAUAUUGGGUUAGUAUUUAAUUUUAUGAUUAUCUAUUUUUAUUAUCAUAUUAUUAAAUAAAAAAAUUAAAAAUUAUAAUUCUACUAAAGUCCAUAAUCUUAUUCCUAGGUUUAAUUUACUAGCCCAAGUUACUAAAAUUACAUAUUUGAAAGAUUUACCUCCUCAACCAGGCAGAGAGUAACAACAUAAGCCCUUUUAAUAUCAAAAAGCUAAAUUAGUAGUCUUUGAGGUUACUUAAAUUAAAUAUUGGUACGUACGUAGCUUUUAUUCAUUUAUUCCUAAAUAUUGACCUUAAGAAUGAUAAAUGGGUGUUGUAGUUAAUCUGUAAUAUAAAAGAUUUAUAGGUAUUGUUUGAUAAAUGGUUGUUACAGUUAAUCUGUAACAUAAAAUUUAUAGGUUUGAAUAAAAAUUUUAAUUAUUUGAUAAUCUUAAAUUUUUAAUACUGGGAAGCUCGUCACAAGCAAUUAUUUGGUUGAAUAAUAUACACACACACACUUAGUGUGAAAGUUUAUACACUUCAAAGUUUAGUUCAAGAUAAGAAAAUAAUUGUUAAACCGUGUUUAUUUUAAAAAACACGCCCUAGGUCGGAGCCGAUCUUCAACCAUGAAUAUUGAAAUUUAUUAUUCAUUUGUGUCUGCCGAUUCGAGCCAAGCCGACAUUAUCCGAUCUAUUUUUUUUCAAUCAAUUUUACAAAAAUAAAAAACUUAAAAACCAAACCAAAUCUCCAUUUUGAGUUAUAAAAUAAGCUAUAACUUUCAAAUCCAACAAUGGAUUUAUUAAAGAGAAAAACAUUUAACUAUAUAAAUACAAUUUGAAUUAAAAGUCGAAUAUUAGAGUAGCAUUUUUAGCACAAAAACGAUUGUUAAAAUAUUUUUAUUCUUUAGAAUUUAUGCAAAACAAUUAGAAAACUAAUUCAGGGAUUAAGAACACAUGCAAUUAGAAAACUAAUUCAGGGAUUAAGAACACAUGCAAUUAGAAAACUAAUUCAGGGAUCAAAUAUUUUUAUGAAUUAUAAAAUUGACUAUAAACUUCAAAUUCUUGAAUUUACAAUAUAAACUUCUUGAAUCAUAAGAUAAAAACUCAUAAAAAAUUAUAAUUUUAUAAUAAAUAUGAAUUCUUGGAUCACAUAAGCUUGAGACAUAGAUAACGUUUGGAGCAUUUAAGACUGGACCUCCUUGACUUAAAUUUUAUUUUAUAUUUAUAAUAAGGAAAAAGGCACCAUAUGAGGUUGAAACCUUUUUAUGCUCGGUUGUUGGCAUUUGGGACCAGGUUAGAGACCUUUGGGGUCAAACCACUUAAUGCCAAAAGCUAGUUUGGUAGCCAAAUGUCAGUGUGUUUAGUUAUUUUAACCACGUUUUUUUAUAUAUAUUUAAUUAAAUAAAUUUAGAUAUUUAUGUCAAUAAAUAUAAAAAAUAUUAACGAGUCUAUUUAAUAAAAAAAAUUAUUUGAACCACAUUUUGUAUUCAUUUAAUUUUCUUAACACUAAAGAAUGAACAUGUUGGUGUUGUUAAAAUAUUUUUUAAUAUUAUAAAAAAUAUAAAUAUAAAUAUAAAUUAAAAAGCUAAUGCUUGUAUAUAAUAAAAUACAACGAGGAUCAUUGUUUGCCCUCCAUGACGACAUAGAUCAUGAGAUUGUAAUAAUAUUAUAAAAAGCAAAUCAGAACAAAUUAAUCAUACAAAAACAAACACAAAACAUAUCAUGAAGAUCAAUCUAAAAUAAACCAAAUGCUUUAAAAAACAUUAAAAAUUAAUCUUUUUUUUAAAAAAAAAAAAUAUGUAAACGACAACAUAAUAGAUCGACAUGAGCUUUGUGGUUAAACCCACAAAACCUGUGACUUUGUAAAAAGCAAAUCAAAACAAAUUAAUCGUACAAAACAAACACGAAACAUAUCAUGGAGAUCAAUCUAAAAUAAGCCAAAUGCUUUAAAAAAACAUUAAAAAUAAAUAUUUUUUUUUAAAAAAAAUAUGUAAACGACAACAUAAUAGAUCGAUAUGAGCUUUGUAGCUAAAUCCACAAAACCUGCGACUUGAAUUAUGGAGUCCAUUGAGUUUAAUAAGAACGUUAUUUUAAUUCUUUUUUUUUCUAAAAAAAGGAAAAUUAAAUGAAAAGUUUUUAUAGAAAGACCAAGCCUAGUUGGGCAUAUAAUAAAAUCUACAGGGACUGUAAAUAUAUAAUCAAGAAAAUAGAAGGACCAAAGUUAACUUUUUUCACCAUCCAUUCUCUCUGUUUUUUUUCACUAUCUUUUGAUUUUAUACUCGAUUAACAAUCUUACUUAAACUGAUACUCAAUUUAAUUCAGAAAGGGCGGAAUUUAAAACAACCGAAGUAUUGGAAAAUUCAUCAAUCAUGAUGUUAACAUGCCAUAAUUAAUUUGAGAUAAGGAAUAUGUAUGGACUUUACAAAUAGGUAUUAUCAUCUAGAAUACUAUGAUUCUUAUUAGCAAUUUUUUUUGUACAUAUUCAAGGCUUUGUACCAGAAUUCUUAUUAGGAAAAACUUGUGUAGAUAUUCAAGGUAGUUGUGGUUUUAUUUCAAUGGACUCCACAUUUUUUUCUUAUAAACGUUUAACGGGUACAAAUUCUCAAAGUACUGUAGGUUUUGAGUCCUGAGUUCUAUUUCCAACCAUAGGUUUAACGGUUGUUUCAGUACCCCUAAGCACUAUUUUUAUUGCUAAUGCUAUUCUUCGUUAAAUUUUUAGGGAAUGGAAGUUGGAGUGGAUCAGAUAAUGACAUUGAUGAAUCAUUCCUAGCAUAGUACUUACAGCUCUUGAAGCUAAGCUUCAGGCUCUUACAUUUUCAGGUCAGCUUUUUCAAAGUUUCAACAAUGGGGUGGGUCCACGAGUUAAAGUGUUUGGCAUUAUUGUCAGAAAAUGUUUUUUUUUAAAAUAAUUUUUAGCUUCUGAUUCUUUUGUUGAAGAUUUUAAUUAUAUGCAGCGCUAGACAAAAGAAAAGCAAAAUAGAGGUGUACAGCAACAACAUGUUGUAUCUUGUAAUAUAAUCUUUGGUAGGAAAGUUAUGGCUUUUUUCCUAGCAACUUCUUGUCAAACAAUAAAAGAAUCUUUGCUACUGUAACAUUCUCUUCCAAAUCUCAUCUCAUUAUACCAUUGAUUUCCAAUUUCCCUCUUCAAAUUUCUUAAACCUUUCCGGAGCUCAGUGCUUCCUUUUCUGAUUGAAUCGAAUCAUCUGGAGCUCAACAUCUGGCAACUUCCUUGUUAUUUUUAAACCAUAUAUUCUUCUCUGAUCUUGUUUUUCUUCCUGAAUACUAGUUAAGCAGACCAGCACUUGAAGAACUACUUGAAUCCAGGUAAAUUAUUUAUACUCCAUCUUCUUCAUUUUGUUUUUCACAUGUAACUCUGGUUUGAAUCUUUCAAGGAAAACUCAAGUUGUAGAAAUUCUAAUGAGAAACUUUGAAGUUAGGAUCAUCAACAGUUUCCAAAAAUAAAUAAUUUGAUCUUUCUCAGUUGUAACAAUCCAUGCCUUAAGGAGUUCAUACUAAAUUGACCCCAAGUUAACCUUGAAUUCAUUGUUUUUUCUUCUUAGUUUCUUUGCUGUUUGUAACUUAUUAUUUUAGUUUCAACCUUCCUUUUCCAAUUAAUGUACUUCCAUUAAUUUUUAUUCAAUAUUUUGACCCUUUUUAUCUAUAGGACAAAAUGGGUAGAUCAGAUGAUCCGUUUUGGAAUGAAGUUGAAGAUAUGAAUGGAAGCAUGAAGUGUAAGUUUUGUGGGCAUUUAUUUGCCAAUGGCACUUCCAUUUCAAGGAUCAAAUGGCAUCUAUCAGGAGAGAGAGGGCAUAAUGUUGUCAUUUGUGGUCAGGUGCCUAAAGAAGUUCAAGAAGCAGCCUUUCUAGCUAUGCAUGUUGGCAACAAAAGACAUAAAAGCAUAGCAAGUUCAAGCAAUGUUGACAUUUCCACCUGUCCACAAGAACAAGACAAUGCAGUACUUGGUAAUUUGGCACAAGGUAUUGGGCGUGAGAGAAUUCAUUCGCGUUUAGAAGCGGCAAAUGGCAUGGAAAACACUGGUGAAGGAUCUUUUCAGCAUGUUGACAGAAGUAUCUCUCCUUGGAGACUCAGAGUUGAUGCUUAUGAGAAUAGAGGAGAAGCAACACAAAGAACAGAUUUAGUGGAUCAAUUUGCUGAUAGUACUUGGGUUCAGAUACACUCUGCCUUUUCAAGGAGCAGCAGCUGAAUGAAAUCUCUACCUAUUUAAUGCAGGAAGAUGAGGAUGUGGAGCGUCUGCGUGAUGCAUUUGAAACUGUACCGAGAACAGAACAAGUGCAGCAUCUGGAGAGAGGUAGCUCUUGUGAGAGGCCAUCAAUUAAUCAAGCUGAUGAGCCUCGAGGAGAUUCAUCCCAACCAACAGAUCCAUUGUGUCUUGAUCAUGGAAGAUAUUAUGACCAACUAUUUGCUCCAUCAGUAAACAAUGAUGUCAUUAUGAAUGAUGUGCAGAACAUGGUUAGAGUCAGGACAGAACCAGUGGAGGAGGAUGUGGAGAAUAGUCGAAGAUCAGUGCGGCCUGACGCUGGAGCUAGAUCUUCUGCAAGUCUGAAAUACAACACAAGUGAGACUAGAGGAGUUCCAUUACCUACUAGCUCUACAAAGCCAGUGGGUCAAGCAUUUGAAGAGAAUACGAAUGUGAUAUGGUCUUUGUUAAUGGAUGAUAAAGUCCCAACCAUUGGUAUUUAUGGGAUGGGAGGAGUUGGUAAAACAACAAUACUAAAACAUAUCCAUAAUGAGCUUCUACAUAGACCAGAUAUUUGUGAUCAUGUUUGGUGGGUGACUGUGUCUCAAGAUUUCAGCAUUAAUAGAUUGCAGAAUCUUAUUGCUGAACAUCUUGAUCUAGAUCUUUCAAGAAAAAAUGAUGAACUGCAUAGAGCUGCCAAAUUGUCAGAAGAACUAAGGAAGAAACAAAAAUGGAUUCUCAUUUUAGAUGAUUUAUGGAACAAUUUUCAUCUAGACAAAGUGGGAAUUCCUAUCCGGUUGAAAGGAUGCAAGUUGAUAAUGACAACUCGAUCAGAAACGGUUUGUAAUCAGAUGACUUGCCAUAAAAAAAUCAAAGUGAAGCCACUUUCUGAGGGAGAAGCUUGGACUUUGUUCAUGAAGAAACUUGGACGUGAUAUAGCACUUUCACCAGAAGUGGAACGAAUUGCGAGAGCUGUUGCAAGGGAAUGUGCUGGUUUGCCACUGAGAAUUAUUACAGUGACAGGAAGCUUAAGAAGAGUGGAUGACCUACAUGAGUGGAGAAAUACAUUAUUGAAAAUGAGAGAAUCAGUAUUUAGGGACAUGGAUGAGAAGGUAUUCCAGGUAUUGAGGGUUAGUUAUGAUCGGCUAGGUUAUCGAGCACUACAACAAUGUCUCUUAUACUGUGCAUUAUUUCCUGAAGAUCAUGUGAUUCAGAGGGAGAGGUUGAUAGAUUAUUUGAUCGAUGAGGGAAUAAUUAAAGGAAUGAGGAGCAGGAAAGAUGCAUUUGAUGAGGGCCACACGAUGCUUAAUAGACUUGAAUAUGUCUGCUUAUUAGAAAGUGCUCAAAUGACGUUUGAUGGUAGAAGAAGAGUCAAGAUGCAUGACUUGAUUAGAGACAUGGCCAUCCAAAUACAGCUAGAGAACUCUAAAGGCAUGGUUAAAGCAGGUGCGCAAUUAAAAGAGUUGCCAGAUGCAGAGGAGUGGACGGAGAAUCUGACAAGAGUUUCACUAAUGCAAAACAAGAUCGAAGAAAUACCUUCCAGUUAUUCACCUAGGUGUCCCUUUCUAUCAACUCUAUUGCUAUGUCAAAAUCGUCUGUUGGGAUUUAUUGCGGAUUCAUUUUUCAAGCAAUUGCAUGGGCUCAAGGUCCUCGAUCUGUCUUGCACAGGUAUUGAAAAUUUGCCAGACUCUGUCUCUGAUUUAUUCAGUCUCACAGCAUUAUUGCUCAAUGAUUGUAAGAAAUUAAGACAUGUUCCAUCAUUAGAGAAGCUCAAGGCACUGAAGAGGUUGAAUCUCUCUCGUACUGCACUUGAAAAGAUGCCGCAAGGAAUGGAAUGCCUAACCAACCUGAAGUAUCUUAGAAUGAAUGGAUGUGGUGAAAAGGAGUUUCCUAGUGGGAUAUUACCAAAACUCUCUCACCUGCAAGUCUUUGUACUAGAAAAGUUUACGGCGCGAGGUGAUGCUCCUAUAACAGUUAAAGGAAAGGAAGUAGGAUCCUUGAGAAAUUUGGAAAGUUUGGAAUGCCAUUUCGAAGGUUUCUCUGACUUCGUGGAGUAUCUCAGAUCUCGGGAUGGGAUCCAAUCAUUAAGCACAUAUACAAUUUUAGUAGGAAUGAUGGAUGAAGGUUAUUGGUUUGGCACUUAUGAUUUUCCAAGUAAAACAGUUGGGGUGGGUAAUUUGAGUAUCAACGGAGAUGGAGAUUUUCAGGUCAAGUUCUUAAAUGGCAUUCAAGGACUGGUUUGUCAAUGCAUCGAUGCAAGAAGUUUAUGUGAUGUUUUGUCAUUAGAGAAUGCAACUGAACUGAAGCGCAUCAGCAUUUGGGAAUGCCAUAACAUGGAGAGUUUGGUUUCAUCUUCUUGGUUCUGCUCUGCUCCACCACCAUUGCCAUCAUGUAACGGUACGUUUUCUGGUCUUAAAGUGUUUUCUUGUUAUAGAUGUGAAAGUAUGAAGAAGCUGUUCCCGCUUGUGUUGCUGCCAAACCUCGUAAACCUGGAAAGGAUUGAAGUUUGUGAGUGUAAGAAAAUGGAGGAGAUAAUAGGAACAACAGAUGAAGAAAGCAGCAGCUCCAAUUCCAUCACGGAAGUCAUUCUCCCAAAGUUAAGAAUUCUGAAAUUGUGUUGGUUACCAGAACUGAAAAGCAUUCGCAGUGCAAAACUGAUUUGCAAUUCUCUUGAAGAUAUUACUGUAGACUAUUGUCAGAAGCUGAAGAGGAUGCCGAUUUGUCUUCCGUUGCUUGAAAAUGGCCAGCCAUCCCCUCCCCCUUCUCUUAAAAAUAUCUAUUCAAGUCCAGAAGAAUGGUGGGAGACAGUAGUGGAGUGGGAGCAUCCUAAUGUAAAGGAUGUCCUUCGUCCCUUUGUAAAUAAUUAUAAUUUGAAGUUUGAUUAAUAUUAUAUUUUCAUCCUAUUGAGUUUCUCCAAUAUGAAAAUCCAAAAAAUAAAAUAAAAAUACUAUAUUGAUUUAUCAUUAAAGUAGCCUAAUAAAAUAAUACAUCUAUUCACUAUAAUAAAUCAUCAGUGAAAGUGUUCUUCUACACACAUUUUUAAAGAGUUUUAAUUUUUUGUUAUAGCUGUAAAAGUAUGAAGAAGCUGUUCCAGCUUGUGUUGCUGCCAUGUUUUUUUUUUAUUAAGUGUGUUUGUGAGUGUAGUCAUGGUUAUUUUUUAAAAUGUUUUUUAUUUAGAAAAGCAUGCUAAUAAUAUUUUUUUAUUUUUAAAAAAUUAUUUUUGAGAUCAGCACAUCAAAAUAAUUUAAAAACAUCAAAAACAUAUUAAUUUAAAGUAAAAAAAAUUUAAAUUUUUUCGGAAGUGCUUUUGACAAGCACUCCUAAAUAGGUAUUACAUGGAUUAAUUCUUUAAUUAUUUGUGGAUCAUUUAUUUAUCUGUAUUGAUUUAAUUUCUGUACUAUAAUAUUGCUCUUGAGUAUAUUGUUGUUGUCGUUGAAUUUUCUUAAUAAUCAUUUGCGUUAUUUAAAAGUGAUGAAUGAUUUUUCAAAAGGGUUACAUUUGGUGUUAUGUUAAUUUUAUUUUGGGAAUUGAACAUCCAAUUGAGUUAUUAAACGAAAUAAAUAAUAAUUAAAAUACCAAAGGUGUGCAUUUAAAAUCAUUUGAUUUCCCGACGCUCUACUGUUUGUAGAAUUCCAGUACUUUCUCCAUUAGUCACCUUGCUUUAUUUUAAUUUGCAUUUAAAAUUAAAUUUCAUUCUCUAUUAAAUCAUUUAAUAUUUUCUUCUGUUCUCUUAAUUUGUCUCCGUGGAGACUCGAUACCCCAAAGUGGGGCUACAAUCACCCAAAUCUAACUUAAUACCCCAAAAAUAGAAAUAUGAAUAAAUAUUGUCUUAAUUUUCUUCUAUUCCUCGAUACCCCAAAAAUAGAAAUAUGAAUAAAAGUUUAUCUCAAAACAAUUAUAUUAACUUAAUACAUAUAAAAGUCAUAAAUAUUCCAUCUUAAUUAAGCAGACUUGAUAAAUCUAAUUACACAAAUCUAACUUAAUACAUAUAAAAGUUAGUUUGUGAAGAUUGAAGAGCUGGUCUUAAUUUGCCUCAUCAACUAGGCAGAUAGCAGAAGGCAAAGAGUUAGCCAGGGAGUGGAGAUAGAGACCCCUUUAAUAUCAAAAUCUAAAUUAGUAGUCUUUGAGGUUACUUAAAUUAAAUAUUGGUACGUAGCUUUUAUUUAUUUAUUUAUUUAUUUUUAAAUAUUAACCUUAAAAAAAAUUGAAUUUAUAAUUGUAUCAAAUAAAAUAUUGAUUUGGUGAAAUUUGAUCGAUUCAAUAAAACCAAUUUAGUUCAUAUCUGACUAAAUUAAUAAAAACUAACAAAAUAAUAUUAUUUUAAUAAAGAUAAUUAAUUUGAAUUAACUUAAUAAAUAACUCAUAACUUAUUAAAUAUCUGAUACUAUAUUAAAAAAAUUAUCUUAAACCAAAUAAAUUAAGCAGGCCUAAAAAUGUUAUAAUGUUACUUUCUAAUAAUUUAGUAAGGAUUUGGAGAAUAUAUAUUCAAUAACAAACUUUAUUAGAAGAUUAAGUUAUUUCAACAACAAACAAAAACAUCAUUUUUAAUAUUUUUAUUAGCAAAAUUCAGGUAUAACCGUAGUACACCAUGUUGUCAAACAUACAGAAGUCUUGAAUUUUACUUUUCUUCUUUUUAAAAAAAAAUUGGAAAGGCAAAUAUACCUUAGUCCAUGAAAAUUAAAAAUCAGUAAAAUAUUACUGUAAUGAUUAUUUUUUUAAAAAUUUUUUAUUUAAAAUUUAUUUUUAAUAUUAACACAUCAAAAUCAAAACGAUAUAAAAACAUUAAAAUAAAUUUAAUUUAAAACAAAAAAAAUUUUAAAGUUUUAUAAAAAACAAGGUUUGACUGCACCAUGUCUCUGUCAUAUAAGUUGACAGAUAUGUUUGAAUGAGAGGUAAAUUGUGUUUUUUUAGGUUACAAGUAUAUUUUUUUAACUUUUAAACAUAUAAUUUAUACUUAAAAGAUAUUAUAUCUUAAAAAAUAUGCAACUAUAUCUUCGAGCCAAACACGUGCUUGAGUGAUUCUUGGCAAUCAAUUCCUGGAUCAAGACAAUAAGGUCUAGCCAGAGGUAAAACCUGAUGCAGCUACCGACUUAAAUAUUUUCAUUCAAGGAAGUGCAGCGUUGUGUCCCGCCGAGAGAGGCCACAAGACAAAUACUAAGAUCAUUUUUUAUUUUAUAUUGUUAAUGUAUUUUUCAAAAAAGUUGAUUUUUUUUAUUUAAAAUUAAUUUUUUUAAUAUUUUUAGAUUAUUUUAAUAUACUAAUAUCAAAAAUAAAUUUUAAAAAAUAAAAAAAUAUUAUUUAUAUAUAUUUUUAAAUAAAAAAUAUUUUAAAAAUCAAUCAUGAUUGUAAUUUUAAACUGGCAGUGCACUAUACCGAACUAUAUUAUCAACAAGAUUUUCCUCGUAUGAAUUAAAGCAUUCUGCAUUUGACACAGCUUGAAAACAUGUUUCUUCUUAAAUUAUUAUUUCCAUAAAAAAUUAAAAAUUAUAUUGCCAUAAAAAAAAAAAACCAAAGUAAUCUCCAAACACUCUCAUGUUUGGUAGGUGAGCGGUGGGUUGCUUCCUGACAACUUCCUUCCUAUCAAGCAAUACGUUAAUUAAUUAUUAUUUGAGCUGAUUAUUUUAUUUUUAAUUUUAUAUUCAUGGGAAUUUGAGGUUAAUAAUUUAUUUUAAUUAAUUAUGAAGUUCUCAAGGUAAAAAAAAAAAAGCUUCAACGAUUAAUUUAAGUUGGUAUUUGAUUUGAUAAAAUUUUAUUCAAUUUAAUUCAUUAAAAAUAAUUGAAACUUGAACACCAAAUAUGAUACUGAAAUAAAAAAGUAGCCUGGUGUGUUUUUCAAAAUUCUGUUCCCUAGAGUUUUUGCAUUUUGCAUUUCAAAUUUUAAUUUUUAAUUUUAAUUCAAAAUUUUAUUUUAUUAAUUUUUUAAUUUAUGAAUUUGAGAUAAAAAAAUCACUAAAAAACUCGGAAAAAAAAUGGAAAAUUAUUGGCCGACAAUUUUGGCAACAAAAAAACACGAUCAUCUUUGUAUUAAUUGGAAACUAGUGUGCAGAUUGGCUAGCAAAUCAUACUUUAUAGGUCGAGGGCUAAGAAUAUAAAUCUGUAGAAGGGUAUUGGAAAAAAUAAUAAUCUCCAUUGGUGUGGAAAAGUUCAGGUAUGCAGUAUGCUAUCAUGGAAUAAGAUAAUGUUUGAUGGUGAUAAUAAUUAUUUUUUAAAUUAUUUUUUUAUUUAAAAAUAUAUUAAAAUAAUUUUUUUUUAUUUUUUAAAAUUUAUUUUUAAUAUUAAAAUGUCAAAAAGAUCUAAAAAUAUUAAAAAUUUUAAUUUAAAAUAAAAAAAUAUCAAGUUUUUUAAAAAAACAUGGUUCAACCGUGAUUUUUUUUUUUUUUUUUCGCGGUGUUGGUUGUUCUGAUAACCAUUAACCAUGACAUGGCUCAAAUGAGGGAGAGUAAUUAAAAAUCUAUAAAAUUAUAUCAAGUGACUGUUUGUAAUUAAUAUUUUUGAAUUGUUUUUAUGUGACAAUAUAAAAAAAAAUUUAAAAAAAUUAUUUAAAUAUAUUUUUAAAUAAAAAAUAUUUUUUAAAAAAAACCUUUACACAAUGCAGAAAUAUGCGGGUCCACACGUUAACUUUCUAUAUCUUAUAAUGUAAUGUUGGGGUUGCUUCCUGGCAACUUCCUUCCUAUCAAACAAUACGUUAAUUAAUUAUUAUUAUUGAGCUGACUUUUCUAAUAAAUAGUAUUAUGUAAAAGAGCUAGCGGCUGUAACGUUCUCUUCCACAUCUCAUCUCAUUAUACAAUUCCCUAUUUUCCUUUCCCCAUCUCAUGAUCAGUGCGAACUAGAUUUAUGUAUACUGCAACUUUAUUAUUUUUCUAAAUCAUACAUUCUUCUCUGAUCUGUGAUUUCUCUUCCUUUUCUUUUGGCUGAUCACUGCUUAAGCAAACCAGCACUUGAAGAACAUCUUGAAUCCAGGUAAAUUAACUGCACUCCAUCUUGUCUGAAUCUUUAAAGUAAUCCAUGAUAAAUAGAUCUAUCUUUUUCUCGGAUUUCAUAAUCCAUGGCUUGUGGUGUUCAUACUAAAUUAACCCUAAACCUUGAAUUCAUUGUUUUUGUCUUUUCAAAAUUCUUUGCUGUUUUUAACUCCUUAUAUAUGGGAUUUCUUUUCCAAUACUAGAUUUUGUAAUCCAUGCCCUGUACUGGGACUGCCAUUAAUUAUUUUUAUCCAAUAUUUUUCUGACAUAAUGAUUCAAUGAAAUUGUCUCUUACUGAUUCAUGAAUUAACUUGAUCAGUAUUAAUUACCUUUCAUUAAACUUGUUUACAACAAGUGACAAAUAAUUUAGCAUUAAAACAAAGAAUUAAAUCAUUAACAGCAACAUUUAUAUUUCCUAUUUUUCAUCCGAAUUUCUUUAACAAAUAAAUAAGUCAUGUGUGUGUAUAUAUUGUUAUCUAAUCUGUGCUUUCUGUUCUUUUUUAAACCUCAGAUGGAAGGAGUCCCACCGUCUUUUAUUGAGGAUGAUGUCAACUUGACAUCGAAUCAGUUCGAUUUUCAAUCACAAGAAGAUUCAUUCAAUAUAUCUGAGCUUCUCUUGUACGUCAUUCUUAAGCAUAUUUUAUCAGAAGAUGAUUACUUGCAAUUUAGUUAUUCUACAGUUUUUCUUAUUAUUCCCAUAAAAGAAUAAUGUUCCUAAUAACAAAUUAAGCAGGUCGCCACCGGAGGUUCCAGGCAACCAAAGCUUCAUGUUAUGCAAUGAUCAUGCUGGUCAGAACAUGGUGGUGGAUAACAAUGUGAUCAACGAUAGUAUUCAACAAACAACUGAUCAGUUUCCACCUUCAUUUCCUCAAACCAUGGUGAGUGCUCAUGCCUAAUCCAAUUUGCUACAAUGUCCAUUGAAUUAGCAAGUGUUUGUAUCACCCAUUGGAUCAAAAAGUUUUAUGUUUUCGUGUAUCAAUUUAUCUCGAGCAUCUUCAAAAUGUUUAUUGUUAAACAAACAGACAACAAUGGGAGAUUUAGAUGGAACAUCAUCGUCAUGGAUCAAACAAAAUGAACCAAAUUGGCCUCAAGCUCCACCAAGGUACAUAAUAUUCAUCAUUAUUUAACUUCUUCUUCUUGUUCACACUAAAUGAAUUCAUUAUAUUUGAAUAUAGGUGUCAGCCUAAUUCUAAUUUAUUUGAUCCUCAAUGUGCCAAUCCUUUCAGGUAAGCUAAAAUGAUAUGCUUAGUGGAUUAAUAGCAAAGAAUUAUGCAUAUGUAUGAAGAAAUCACUAACAAAUGUUGCUUAUUUAGGGACCAACAAAGGACUAAUUAUCAGUUACCAAUGAGCAAUCAAGUGCCUGCGAUGCUACCUGGACCUCAACCUCCAAUGAAUCAAUGGUACUAACCUCGAAUAUACACUUUUUUAAUCAUGAAAACAAUGAACUUGACCAAAAUUGAGCUCUCUGUCUCUCUAGAAAAUCAACCAAGUGAUUUAACUAUUUGAAUAUUUUUCAGGCAUCAGAACUCUAUUAAUCAACCUCAGCCGGGACAUGACUAUAUGACACUGAACACAUCCACUUCACAACAUGGUGGCUUCAAUCAACAUGGACCUUCCUUUCCUCCUCCCUGGUAUCCAAUUUUUCAUUUUUAGUAUUUUCUGUAAAAGGUAUCCAAUUUUUCAUUUUUAGUAUUUUCUGUAAUAAAAACAAUUAGUUUUUCUAGCAAGAUAAUCAUAAGUUUGUUUACGAAUGAUUUUGGAUUUAGGAUUCAAACUUUUUGUAAUGAAGGACAAGUAGAUCAAGCUGCUGUAAUUCCUAACAUAGACAAUAUGCAACAAGAGAACUUCGUGCCUAGGUACUGAUUGACUUCAAGCUGUUGAUUUUUAUUGCUUAAGAGAGACUACCAAUUAUAUCACUUCAUUUUUAUAUAGGUCACAGAUGGAUAACCUACAAGUCCGAGGAUUGCAAAAUCAAAUUGCUAGGCCAAAUGCCUCUAAUACUCAACAAGUAAGAAGUCUAACUGAAUUAUCGUCGUCUUUUCCCCCUAUGAUUGUGCAAUAAACAAACUAUCAAUUUUAAUAGCAAAAUAAGGGUAACUUCCAUCAAUUUUUAUUCUUUAUUUUGACCCCGGUUUUUUUUCUAUAGGUCGAAACGGUUGGAUCAAAGUAUCCAUUUCGGAUUCAUGUUGAAUAUAGGGCUGAUGGUAGCAUGAAGUGUAAGUUUUGUCAACAUACAUGGGCCAAUAAAACUUCCAUUUCAAGGUUCAAAUGGCAUUUAUCAGGAGAGGAAGGGCGUGGUGUUGCCAUUUGUCGUGGGGUGACUAAAGAAGUUAAAGAAGCAGCCUUUCUAGCUAUAUAUGGUGGCCACAAAAGACAAAAAAUCACAGCAAGUUCAGUCAAUGUUAAUGACUGUGGAAUUCCAACUUGUCUACAAGAACAAAACAUUGAGAAUGAAAAUACGGGAGGAAUUGUUGGAAGGGUACAAAGAGAAGUUCAGGUUGUAGAACCCGGAGUAGUGGAAGAGAGGAUUUCUUCACAUGCAAUAGCAGGAAACGACGUAGUAAGCAUGACCGGAAUGAGAGCACAAGAAGAUAGAGUUUCCGAAGGGGCACUCGAGAGCAGACUGAGGACAGAACCAGUGGAUCGAUCGUUGGAACAAAGCAAUGCAGUACUUGGCAAUGUGGCAGGGGGAGCUAGAAGGAUACAAGUGGGAGUUCAGGGCAUGGAACAAGAUCCAGGAGAAGAGAGAAUUCAGUCGCAUCUACAAGCGGAAAAUGGCAUGGAAAACACUGGUGAAGGAUCUUUUCAGCAUGAUGCAUUUGAGACUGUACCAAGAACAGAGAAAGUGCAGACUCUGGAGCCUCGAGGAGAUUCAUCCCAAUUUUGUCAUGGCAUUGGAAGAUGUUAUGAUCAACCUUGUGCUCCAUCAGUAAACAAUGAUGUAACUAGUCAUGAUGAGCAGCAUAUGGUUAGAGUGAGGACACAACCAGUGCAGGAAGAGGAGGAUGUGGAGAAUAGUGGAAGAUCAGUAGUGCAGGCUGGCGCAGGAGCUAGAUCUUCUGAAAGUCUGAAGUACAACAAGACUAGAGGAGUUCCAUUACCUACUAGCUCUACAAAGCCAGUGGGUCAAGCAUUUGAAGAGAAUACGAAGGUGAUAUGGUCUUUGUUAAUGGAUGAUAAAGUCCCAACCAUUGGUAUUUAUGGGAUGGGAGGAGUUGGUAAAACAACAAUACUGAAACAUAUCCAUAAUGAGCUUCUACAAAGACCAGAUAUUUAUGAUCAUGUUUGGUGGGUGACCGUGUCUCAAGAUUUCAACAUUAAUAGGUUGCAGAAUUUUAUUGCUACACAACUUCAUCUAAACCUUUCAAGAGAAGAUGAUGAUCUGCAUAGAGCUGUCAAAUUGUCAGAAGAACUAAAGAGAAAACAAAAAUGGAUUCUUAUUUUAGAUGAUUUGUGGAACAAUUUUGAGCUUGAGGAAGUGGGAAUUCCUGAGAAGUUGAAAGGAUGCAAGCUGAUUAUGACAACUCGAUCAAAAACGGUAUGUCAUCAGAUGGCUUGCCACCGCAAAAUCAAGGUGAAGCUACUUUCGGAGAGAGAAGCUUGGACUUUGUUCAUGGAAAAACUUGGACGUGCAAUGGCACUUUUACCAGAAGUGGAAGGAAUUGCGAAAGCUGUUGCAAGGGAAUGUGCUGGUUUGCCAUUGGGAAUUAUUGCAGUGGCAGGAAGCUUGAGGGGAGUGGAUGACCCACAUGAGUGGAGAAAUACAUUGAACAAAUUGAGAGAAUCAGAAUUUAGGGACAUAGAUAAGAAAGUAUUCAAGUUAUUGAGGUUUAGUUAUGAUCGGUUAGGUGAUUUAGCACUACAACAAUGUCUCUUGUAUUGUGCAUUAUUUCCUGAAGAUGAUGAUAUUGAAAGGAAGGAGUUGAUAGGUUAUUUGAUCGAUGAGGGAAUAAUUAAAGGAAAGAGGAGCAGGGGAGAUGCAUUUGAUGAGGGCCACACGAUGCUUAAUAGACUUGAAUAUGUCUGCCUAUUGGAAAGUGCUCAAAUGGAUUAUGAUGAUAUUAGACGUGUCAAGAUGCAUGACUUGAUUAGGGACAUGGCCAUCCAAAUACUGCAAGACGAGUCUCAAGUCAUGGUGAAAGCAGGUGCGCAAUUAAAAGAGUUGCCAGAUGCAGAGGAGUGGACAGAGAAUCUCACUAGAGUCUCACUAAUGCAAAACCAAAUUAAAGAAAUUCCUUCCAGCUAUUCACCAAGGUGUCCCUAUCUAUCAACUCUAUUGCUAUGUCAAAAUCGUUGGUUGCGAUUCAUUGCAGAUUCAUUUUUCAAGCAAUUACAUGGGCUCAAGGUCCUCAAUCUGGCUGGCACAGGUAUUCAAAAUUUGCCAGACUCUGUCUCUGAUUUGGUGAGUCUCACUGCGUUAUUGCUUAAAGGGUGUGAGAACUUACGUCAUGUUCCAUCAUUCGAGAAGCUCGGGGAACUGAAGAGGUUGGAUCUCUCUCGUACUGCGCUUGAAAAGAUGCCGCAAGGAAUGGAAUGCCUAACCAACCUGAGGUAUCUUAGAAUGAAUGGAUGUGGUGAAAAGGAGUUUCCUAGUGGGAUAUUACCAAAACUCUCUCAGCUGCAAGUUUUUGUACUAGAAGAGCUUAAGGGGAUCAGUUAUGCUCCGAUAACAGUUAAAGGAAAGGAACUAGGAUCCUUGAGAAAUUUAGAAACUUUGGAAUGUCAUUUCGAAGGUCUCCCUGACUUCGUGGAGUAUCUCAGAUCUCGAGAUGGGAUUCAAUCAUUAAGCACAUAUAAAAUUUUAGUAGGAGAGGUGCUUAGAUGUAUAGAGCAAUUGAUUGGAGAUUUUCCAAGUAAAACAGUUGGGGUGGGUAAUUUGAGUAUCCACAGAGAUGGAGAUUUUCAGGUCAAGUUCUUAAAUGGCAUUCAAGGACUGCAUUGUGAAUGCAUCGAUGCAAGAAGUUUAUGUGAUGUUUUGUCAUUAGAGAAUGCAACUGAACUGGAGCGCAUCAGAAUUGGGAAAUGCGAUAGCAUGGAGAGCUUGGUUUCAUCUUCUUGGUUAUGCUCUGCUCCACCACCUGGUAUGUUUUCUGGUCUUAAGAAGUUUUAUUGUUAUGGAUGUAACAGUAUGAAGAAGCUGUUCCCGCUUGUGCUGCUGCCAAACCUCGUAAACCUGGAAAGGAUUUAUGUUAGUGAAUGUGAGAAAAUGGAGGAGAUAAUAGGAACAACAGAUGAAGAAAGCAGCACCUCCAAUUCCAUCACGGAAGUCAUUCUCCCAAAGUUAAGAACUCUGAGAUUGGAAUGGUUACCACAACUGAAAAGCAUUUGCAGUGCAAAACUGAUUCGCAAUUCUCUUAAACAAAUUACUGUAAUGCAUUGUGAGAAGUUGAAGAGGAUGCCAAUUUGUCUUCCGUUGCUUGAAAAUGGCCAGCCAUCUCCUCCCCCUUCUCUUAAAAAAAUCAAGGCAUAUCCAAAAGAAUGGUGGGAGACAGUAGUGGAGUGGGAGCAUCCUAAUGCAAAGGAUGUCCUUCGUUCGUUAGUAAAGUUUUGGUAGGAGGAGACUCCUCUGCCCUUAAUAUAAUAUAAAAUAAUAUAGAAUAGAGGGUAAGCAUCAUCUCUCUCAAUCGAAUUGUAGCUUUCGUAUUGUUAAUCCUUUCGUUGUUAGAAUACUUCUUUGUUGCAUCAUUUAUCAAUUCUAUCCUUCUGUAAGAAUACUAAUCGAUUGUAACCUUAAAUUUGCUCAUAUUCAAUAAUAUAUCAUUCUUUCAAUCAUUUUUGUUAAAAAUCAUGUGCAAAACAUAAUUAUUUUCGAUAUGAAUGUGAAAGUAUGAAGAAGCUGUUCCGCUUGUGCUGCUGCCAAACCUCGUAAACCUGGAAAGGAUUGAAGUGAGUUGCUGUAAGAAAAUGGAGGAGAUAAUAGGAACAACAGAUGAAGAAAGCAGCACCUACAAUUCCAUCAUGGAAUUAAUACUCCCAAAGUUAAGAUCUCUGAGAUUGUAUGAAUUACCAGAACUGAAAAGCAUUUGCAGUGCAAAACUGACUUUCAAUUCUCUUAAAGAUAUUGAUGUAAUGGAUUGUGAGAAGCUGAAGAGGAUGCCAAUUUGUCUUCCGUUGCUUGAAAAUAGCCAGCCAUCUCUUCUCCCUUCUCUUAAAUACAAACGAGCAUAUCCAGUAGAAUGGUGGGAGACAGUAGUGGAGUGGGAGCAUCCUAAUACAAAGGAUGUCCUUCGUCCCUAUGUAAAGUUUGGGUAGGAGGAGACUACUCUGCCCUUAAUAUAAUAUAAUAUAGAAUAGAGGGUAUUGCUAAUCCUUUCGUAUUGCUAAUCCUUUCGUUGUUAGAAUACUUCUUUGUUGCAUCAUUUAUCAUUUCUAUCCUAAUAUAUGCAAAGGACCUUUUUGUCUCGAAAUAAUUAAUAUGUAGAAUGGUUAAUUACUCCGUUAAAUGUAAUAAUACGUAUCCUUCUUUUAUUAUAGGCUGGUUUAGAAUUCAGCUAAGACAUCUAAUAAAAUAUUUUUAUUCUUAGAAAUUUUGUGAAGAACAAUCAGAAAACUAAUUUAAUUAGGGAUUAAUUGAGUAAUUAAUUACCUUACAGAGGAUUUUCUUUUCCUUUAUUUUAUUUCUAGUAACAGCUAAUUUAAUAAAACCCCAAUAGCCUGAUUCUUGGAUCACAGAAGCUUGAGACAUGGCACAUGCUACCAGGAAAAAAGCAUGAUUUUGUUGAAAACCUUUAAGAUUGGACUGUCGCAUUCUAACAAUAAUGUUUGGACCAUUUAAAGAUUGGACCCAACUUCACUUCAACUUUAUUUUAUAUUUAUAAUAAAUAAAAAGCAUGAUUGUGUUGAAAAUCUUUUUUCUGUUUUUAUUUUUCAAUUUUUGAAAUGACUCCUCAAAAAACAAUUCCAACCAAUUAUUUGCCCUGGAAUUUGGAGGAUGUAUAAUUCCAAGUGGGCAAGCUGCAUUUCUUAGCCAGGUGGAGCAAGAAUUGAGGUUGCUUAUUUCUGGCUUUUGCUUCUCUGGGUAUGAUUUAUUGGGCUAGUUUAUAGGAUUUUUGUCCUUUCUGCUAAUUUUAUAUUAACUUUUUUAAUUUUUAAUUUAAUUAUUUUUUUUAUAUUUUCAAAUUGUUUUAAUGUUUUGAUAUUAAAAAUAAUUUUAAAAAAUAAUAAUAAAAUAUUAUUUUGAUGUAUUGCCAAAUAAAAAAUAUUUUGAAAAAUAAUUGAUACUGCACUCUCAAACACCCUUAAAUGCUCUAUUAUUAAAAUAAAAUGCUAAAAUAUGAAUAGAAAUAUUAGAAAUUAAUGUGAAUUUUUGAAUUGAAUUUCUAUUUACUUUGAUAUACUCUUGAACAGGUCUUUAUGUUUGAUUUCAGAGUUUAUAGAAGAGCAAGUCAAUGCCCAAUCAAGUUCAAAGGAGUCGUGAAAUUCACUUGAAACCAGCCUGGAUACACUUAAGUAUUUUAAUCACAACUUUCCACUCACAUAUCAUAUUCCUGUGAUUCUUGACGCGUUGGAAAGGUAUCUUACAGGGCUACAAAUUAGUCUCUAAUGAGGAUUUCGAAAGAAGAACUCCUAAAGCAUGUACGUGGCUGCCUAAGAAAUCCUAUAAUUUUGGUUUUUGAUGAAAAAGGAGGGCCUCCUUUAGAAAAAGGGGUAUUUGUUGGCAAUUGCGCCAGAGAAAAAAAGAAAAAAAAAAGAAAAAGGAGAACAGGCAAGGAAAGGAAUGGCUAAUUAAUACAGUGAUGGGUAGCCAAAUUGUUCAGAUUUCCAAUUAUUCCAACUCUCUUGUUUUAUCAUUCUCAAAGUCCAAACAACAACGGUACUGCCAAGAUUGUUAUGCCUGCAAUCAAAAUAUAAUUUAUUUUUGUACUCAGAAUUAUGUUUGAUUGCAUUUAAAAAUCUGUUUAUUUAAAAAAAAUAUUAAAUUAAUAUUUUUUUAUAUAUUAAUAUUAAAAAUAAAAAAAUAUUUUGAUGCAUUUCUUAGUUAGGGGAGCAAAAAUUGAGCUAGCUUGCUUCUGGCUUUUGAUUUUCUGGGUAUGAUUUGUUUGGCUAGUUUAUAGGACUUUUGCACUAGGGUUUUUGUCUAAUUUAUCUAUAUAUAGGAUUUAGAAUCUUGAUGAAUGAAACUAGCAUUCUCGAUUUCUUGGGAUAGAAAGAGCAGAAUUAUUAUUAAAAUUAAAAAAGAAAAAACUAAAUAAGAUAUUGAUUGGGUGGAAUUUAAUCGGUCAAUCAAACCAAUCUAGUUCAUAUCUAAUUGGAUUAUUAAAAAAAAUGAAAUGAUAUUAUUUUAAUAAAAUAAUUAAUCUGAAUUAACUUAAUAAAUAAUUCAUAAGUUAUGAUAUUAUAUUAAAAAUAUUAUCUUAAACCAAAUAAAUUAAGUAACUUAAAAAUGUUGUAAUGUAAUUUUGAUAAUUUAGUAAGGAUUUGGAGAAUAUAUAUUUAAAAACAAACUUUGUCAUAAGAUUAAGUUAUUCCAACAAUCCCAGUCAAUUAAAACCUGUUUGUUAAGGUGGUAAACCAUAACAAAAACAACCAUUUUUAUUAUUUUAUUGGCAAAAUGCAGGUAGAACAGCAGUGCAUCAUGUUGCCCAAAAAAACACAAAUUUUGAAUUUUAUUUUUAAUUAUUUUUGAAAACUGGAAAAGCAGGUAAACUGUGACUAAAAUAGGGUAUGAUAUUAUGGUAGUAAUUGUUUUUUAAAAUAUUUUUAUUUAAAAAUAUAUUAAAAUAAUAAUUUUUUUUAUUUUUAAAAUUUAUUUUUAGCAUUAACACGUGAAAAUAAUAAAAAAAUAAAUAAUAAAAAAUCAAGUUAUUUUAAAAACAUGGUUCAACUGUAUUAUUAUUAUUAUUAUUAUUAUUAUUAUUAUUAUUAUUGACAGGGGUUUGGUCGUUCCAGGGAGGGCCGGAAAAGUCACGGGAUGAAGAGUUGUUGAUAACCAUUAACUAAUAACAGGGCUAAGAUGAGUGAGGCUAAUCAAAAGCCUGUAAAAGUGUAUCAAGUGACUGUUUGCUACUAAUAUAUAUAUAUAUAUAUAUAUUUUUAGUUUAACAUGAGUGUCCGGUCAGCUUGCACGCACCUCGACUAAUCUUAUGAGCCCUGAAGUUAACGACUAUGUAAGCCUCCAGUGGCCAUCAUAUGAGCAACUACAGGGCUCGAACCUGAGACCAUAUAGGGAGCAAACUUUUUGGUCCCAAGCUUUUAUCACUAGACCACCACCUAGAUGGUUAAUAUUUUUGAAUUGUUGUGAGGUGGUAAUAUAAAAAAAAUUAAAAAUAUUAUUUUAAUAUAUUUUUAAAUAAAAAAUAUUUUUUUAAAAGAAACUUGAAAUAUGCUAUUCUUUCUCGUAUUUAUGUGUUUACAUUUUCUUGGCAGCUUUUUCAACGUUUGAACAUUGGGUGGGUCCACAGACUCCACACGUUAGCUUUCUAUAUCUUAUAAUAUAGUUUAUAGGUAUUCUAUAUCUUAUAAUAUAGUUUAUAGGAUUUAUAAUCUUGAUGAAUGAAACAAGCAUUCUCGAUUUCUUGGGAUAGAAAGAAAGUUGGAAUAACUUAUAUUUGGAUUUUUCUUAGGGUUGAAUUUCUUGCUCCAUCUGUGUUGCAUCCAAAAUUAUUAUUAUUUGUGCUUUGUGUGUGUGUGUGUGUGUGUGUGUAUUCUUUAAGUUAUGUAUAUAUAUAUAUAUAUUCUUUAAGUUAUGUAACGUCAUUGUUAUUGUAGGAACAUUACUAUUAUUUAAGUAUUAUCGAAGUCCUACACUUUGGUCCCAAUUUACUAAAUAUUGUCUCCAGACUAAUUAAACUUUAUUUACAUGUGAUCAAAUUUAUAAAAAUACUUUGUUAUAUGAUUGAUUUAUGAGUUUGAUAAAUUAACCUAAGCUGAUAUAAAUAAAUUCAAUAUAGUUUCCUUGCAAGAAUUUUGAAUUAUCUUUAAAAAAAAAUUAAAACAAUAUUGUUUAGGAAAAAUCAAUUAAUUAAUAAUAAAAUAAUAAAAUCAAUAAAAUCGAUAGUGUCAUGGGUUGAUUUUAUUAGUUUAAGUCAACAUUAAUAAAACAAAAGAUUUGAAAGUUAAUUAAUUAUUAAAUAACAUGUUAAUGGUUAGAUUACAGUUUCUUCUUUACAAAUAACCAGGGGGGAAAUUAAUAUAAAAAACAAAUUUUCAUUUUCAUUUUUUAAAUAAAUUAGGUAGGAUUUGAGUUUUUUUUAAGUAAUUAUAUCUUUAUUAGCUUAAACAAAGAUACUUAUUAAAAGGACAGAUUAGAAAAGGGAAAUUUAAGAGUAAUUAAACUUGUAAAAGCAUGUUGAAGACCAUAUCUAAAAUAUAAGGACUAAUGGAGAAAAUUCUUCAAGGAAAAAGGACUACUUUCUUAUGGGAUUGUGGGGGAGUUUCUCGGAAUUGAAAUGGUCAAGGAUGUAGAGAAGUGUCAUCAUUCCCAUCGCUGUUAUCGCCAACGAUCGGGUGUGUUUGGUUUUGAGGUGUGGUGACUUUUUGUCAAAGGUACAAUACUUUUUAAGCACAAACUACAUCUUUAAAAGCUAUAAAAACAUACUUUUUACUCAAAAAAAGCACAAGUUAUCUCAUAUUCAAACACCCUCGAAGAGUCCAAAUUAAUCCUGGCCUGUUAUGGAAAGUCGUCGGAGGGCAACUCAUUUUCCUAAAGAAUUGUUUGGCAAAGUGUGCACUUGCAUAAAGGAAUGGUUAAGGCUCUCUUGAAAAUUUAGAGGUCUAUAAUUAAAAGUAACGAGAUUAGGAUGUUUGUAGUAGUGGUUAGGUUUAAAAUGUUUUUGUUUAAAAAUAUAUGAAAAUAAUAUUUUUUUUUUAAUUUUUAAAAAAUUAUUUUUGACAUCAAUACAUCAAAAUGAUUUAAAAACAUAAAAAAAUUAAUUUUAAAUAAAAAAAUUAAAUUUUAAGGGAACGCGAUUUGCACUAUGUUUCCAAACAUGUUUUAGGUCAGAGUUGGAUUUUGCUUCACUGAUCUUCAACUCUGAAUAUUGAAAUUUAUUAUUCACUUGUAUAAUAUUAAUAAAUCUAUUUAAUAAAAAAAAUUAUUUGAACCACAUUUUGUACCCAUUCAAUUUUUUUAACACUAAAAAAUCAACAUGUAGGUGUUGUUAAAAUAUUUUUUAAUAUUGAGAAAAAAUAUAACUAUAGAUAAAAAAAUCAAUACUUGUAUACAAUAAAAUACAACGAGGAUUAUUGCCUGUCAUUCACUAUGAUCUAGGUCAUGAGAUCAUAAUAAUCUUGUAAAAAACAAAUCAAAACAAAUUAAUCAUACAAAACAAACACGAAACAUAUGAUGGAGAUCAAUCUAAAAUAAACCAAAUGCUUUAAAAAACAUUAAAAAUGAAUUUUUAUUUUAAAAAAAUGUAAACGACAACAUAAUAAAUAGACAUGAGCUUUGUGGCUAAACCCACCAAACCUGUGACUUUGUAAAAAGCAAAUUAGAACAAAUUAAUCGUACAAAACAAACACGAAACAUACGAUGGAGAUCAAUCUAAAAUAAACCAAAUGCUUUAAAAAACAUUAAAAAUGAUUUAUUUUAAAAAAUAUGUAAACGACAACAUAAUAGAUCGACAUGAGCUUUGUGGCUAAACUCAUCAAACCUGCAACUUUGUAAAAAGCAAAUCAGAAUAAAUUAAUCAUACAAAACAAACACGAAACAUAUCAUGGAGAUCAAUCUAAAAUAAACCAUAUGCUUUAAAAAACAUUAAAAAUUAAUUUUUUUAAUAUGUAAACGACAACAUAAUAGAUCGACAUGAGCUUUGUGGCUAUACCUACCAAACCUGCAACUUGAAUCAUGGACUUCAUUGGGUUUAAUAACAAUGUUAUUUUAAUUUUUUUUCUCUAAACAUAUAAUAAAAACUUUGAAAAAAAAGAAAAAUUAAGUGAAUUUUUUAUAGAAAGACCAAGCCUAAGAAGCCUAACAAGAAUGAGCCAUUAAAAAACCAAGCCCAAACACGCGAGCCACUCAUCCCAGGCCCGUGCACCCGGGCCUCUUUAUUUUUUCAAAAUAUGUAAGGGGAAGACCCCUUUUUUUGAAAAGAAAUUAAAUCUGUUGACAACUACUAUCAAGCUUCUCUCAUUGAACGAAUCUCGUUGACACCAAGUUCAAUCUUUUACGUGGCUAGAAUAGGUGUCAAUCUUGAUUUUUUCUUUCUUAAGCCGGAAUCUAGUGGCUCCCUCUCUCUCUUAAAUGCAUAAUCAAGAAAAUAGAAGGACCAAAGUCAACUUUUUUCACCAUCCAUUCUCUCUGUUUUUUUCACUAUCUUUUGAUUUUAUACUCGAUUACCAAUUUUACUUAAAUUGAUACUCAAUUUAAUUGAGAAAGGGCGGAAUUUAAAACAACCUAAGUAUUGGAACGGAAAAAAAAAACAAUUAGCUCAUGAUGUUGGAUUUUAAAAGAAAAUUCCGAUUCCGAAAAUUCCGAAUCCGAGAUACUUUGAAAGAGAGGAAAAUAAUUGAUGUUCGGAGCUUUAAAGUGUAUGCCAUGUAAAAUUAUAUAACAGAUCAUUUUUCAGUAGGUUCUAAGUUUCAUUCCAGUGCAUGUCAAGCAGAUUAUGUUGUGCAUAGUUUUAUAUAGAAGGGUUCAGUUGUUUUGUUUUAUACAUCUGGUUGGUUUGUGGUCGCUUGCUGCACCCUUUCCCCUUUGGAAAAUGGAAGCAGAAACUUUCAGCAUUCGGGGGCCACAGAGUUUAGCUACUAGCUAGCUAACUUUAAUUCCGUUUCCGACAUGAUUAAAGUUAUGGAACAUGAUCCAUCAUCACCUCAUUCGUUUGUUAGGUUGGAAUCCUUAAACUGUUUUUGCCACAGUUCUUCGACUAGGUUCAGGAAUUCAUUUUACCAAAAAGGGAUAGAUUUUUGUAUCAUUCGUGGAUAUAUAGUAAAAAUUCCUUUUGAUGUUAAGAACAUCAUCGUAACAAAAACCUUAACUAGUAGGAAAAACACACAGCAAAUACAACUCGACUCAAAAAUUCAUCAAUCAUGAUGUUACCAUGUCAUAAUUAAUUUGAGAUAAAUAAUAUGUAUGGACUUUACAAAUAGGUAUUAUCAUCUACAAUACUAUAAUUCUCAUUAGCAAUUUUUUUUGUACAUAUUCAAGGCUUUCUACUAGAAUUCUUAUUAGGAAAAACUUGUCUAGAUAUUCAAGGUAGUUGUGGUUUUAUUUCAAUGGAGUUAAUAUCAUUACAAAAGUAAUUAGUAUGUUUGGCAUUAAAACAUAUUUUUUGGCAGUAAUUAUUCCAAAAAAUACCAUUAAUUUCCCAAAAAAACCGCUCAUGCGCAAGAAAAGCUAAUGAUAAGAUACUGAACAUCAUGAAUAUUUUUAGCAUUAGGGUAGCCAUUCCACCCAUUUUAUCAAGAUAAACAAGAUGUAUUCCAUCAUAACUUGUUCCUGACAAGACAAAAAGUGUAGUGGCAAUAAAUCUAUGAGAUAUUAUUUAUAAAAUGGCCUCGUUGAGUCCCAUAUCGCUUAUAGAGUAAAUUCUUAUAAUUGUAAAACUCAUAUGAGAUAUAGAAGAAUAGACUAUUCCUUUUUUUAAAAAAAAAUUAUCAGAAGAUGGUUAAGCUGCAUGGAUUAUUUGUAUUGCGCCUACUAUUAUCAACCAAGAAGAAAAUAUAGAAUGGGCGUCGGAUAAUAAUUUCAUAUUUAUUUGAACCAAUCCAUAUGCUCCCAUUUUAAAUAAGAUUCCAGCUAAAAGCAUACAAGUAUUGUAAUGUGCUUCUCCAUGGAUGUCUGAUAACCAUGUGUGUAUAUGUAAGGGUAUAAUCGGUGAUUGAUUAACUGAUAUUUCAAAAUUGAUUGUUGGUUUAUUGGAAGCAUUGAAAGUGAUACCUAAGGCCCCCAUUAAUAAAAAAACAGAAUUUCCUGCAAUAUACAAAAUAAAUUUUGUAGUUAAAUGCAUAAGACAUUAAAAAGAGUUCUAGUAAAAAUAAAAAAAUUAAUCCAUUUAUAAGACUCUGUCAAUUGGAUUAAGGGAUCGUCCUAUUGAAAAUAAUAAGAGAAUGCAUAGGUCAUUAGUACACAUAUAAAUAUACCACUAAAUUACCUUAUUUCCUCUAAGUGGGAAAACAAAAAUCAAGAAAUAUGUGGAUAUCGGUAAACCUACAAAUAUUGUUAACCAAAGAAAAUAAUUUGUGGUAAAGACAAGAUACACUUGACAAGAAAAACUCGUACUAAAAACCCUAAUUUAUUUUUUAUUUUUAUUUUCAAGUACGGGUUUUUGUCGGUAAACAAAAUAUCAAAUGUAUUCAAGUGAUUUUUUCUGGAAAGUAUUAAUAAAAUAGACCUAUGCUUUGAGUUUUUUCAUGCCAUAGAUAAACUCGAAUACUUAAGAAAUUUAUUGGACAGGCGGAUUCACAUCUCUUAUAGCCAACACAGUCUUCUGUUCUUGGAGCAGAAGUAAUUUGCUUAGCUAUACACCCGUCCCCAGGUAUCAUUUCUAAUACAUCCAUGGGGCAGGCCUGGACACAUUGAAUACACCUUAUACAUGUAUCAUAGAUUUUUACUGAAUGUGACAUUGGAACUAUAAUUUCUUUUUAACAUCAUAAUUUUUUGAUUUAGUAAAUUUUUAAAUAAAUCAUAUAUUUAAACACCAAAUAAAUCAAUGAUUUUUAUAAUUUUUCUAUUCAAUUUCGGAUAAACUCAUGAGAUAGAAUCAAGAUACUUUAAUUUCUUAUGUUUUUGUAAACAUUAUCAAAUAUGCUAUGUAUUAUAGAUGUGAAUUCAAAUUAAUUAAUCUAAAUAUUUUAUAUGAUUAAUACUACUUAUUCAACAAAUUCAAUUAAUUGAUACAGAUUGAUUUUCUGUUACGAUAAAUUGACAAAACUAUAGCCAGUCCAAUAGCUAUUUCAGCAGCUGCAAUAAAUAUAACAAAAAUUGAUAAAAUAUUUCCUUUUAAUUGUCGACUAUCAAAAAAAAUUAGAAAAUAAUUCCUCUUUCUUGUGUUAGGUUGGAGUCCUUAAACUGUUUUUGCCACGGUUUUUCGACUAGGUUCUGGAAUUCAUUUUUAAAAAAAGUAUAGAUUUUUGUAUAAUUGGUGGAUAUAUAGUAAAAAUUCCAAGUGGAUUUAAACUGUUUUUGAAAUGGUUCUUCGAAAAACAACUCAAACCAAUUAAUUAUUUACCCUGGAAUUUGGAUGAUUUAUAAUUCCAGGUGGGCAUGCUGCAUUUCUUAGCCAGGUGGAGCAAAAAUUGAGCUAGCUUGUCUCUGGCUUUUGCUUCUCUGGGUAUGAUUUGUUGGGCUAGUUUAUAGGCCUUUUGCACUAGGGUUGCAGUCCUUCUUUCUAAUUUAUCAAAUAUGGGCUUUAGAAUCUUGUUUAACGAAAUUAGCGUUCUUGAUUUCUUGGGGUAGAAAGAACAGAACUAUUUUUAAAAUUAAAAUUAAAAAAAUAAAUAAAUAUGCUCAGACUUCUAAUCAUGUAUCAAGAGAGAAAAUUAGUGUUUUAUCUCAGUUAUUUCAAAGCCUUAGAUGCAUUUUUUAAUUUCAGUCAUUGAUUGUUUUGUUUUCAAUUUUAUCUUCAUAGAUUGUGCUGACUGCUAUGGAGUUUUAACUCUGAUGCAGCAAUUUGCUGUGUUGAACUGAGUUCUGUAUUUCCCAAUUAGCAGCGUGCAAUAAACAGUAUUUAGCUUUUUCACUAAUGAGAGGCACACCAAGAUAUAAACCCAACUGGAACUUACAGAUGCUCUAUAAUUUCUAAGCCAUAUCCAUGUCAUAGAGGCAAAUAAGCACUCACACUUUGCAGGAUUAUGCCAUACAAUAACCACAUACGCCUUUUGUUUUAAAUAAAAAUUUAUGCUCGCAAGAACGUUGCUGACAUCUCGAAUCUGUACCCAUAACAAAGCGUGGGAAACGAAACUAGUUGUAAAACCAAAACGAAUAGGACGCUCUGCUCAGGAAUCAUUAUUGAAAUGCUAACUAGGAAAAGCAGUUUUUGAACCUUUCUAGGAGCGAUCAAACUUGUGUUUCUGCCUGAUCUCUCAAGCUCAAGGUGUGAACCAAGUAGGUAUUCAUAAGUAAAAUUUCUUAAGUUGUAUAUAAAACGGUAGUUUCAGGAUCCCUAAGCACUAUUUUUAUUGCUAAUGCUGUGCUUCGUUAAAUUUUUAGGGAAUGGAAGUUGGAGUGGAUCAGAUAAUGAUGGUCAAUACUUUGUUUCAGUACCACUUACAGCUCUUGAAGCUAAGCUUCAGGCUCUUACAUUUUCAGGUCAGCUUUUUCAAAGUUUCAACAAUGGAGUGGGCCCAUACGUUAACUCAGUCAGAAAUUAGCUUAUAAUAUAAUCUUUGGUAGGUAAAGUUUGUGGCUUCCUUCGUAGCAACUUCCUUCUUGUCAAACAAUACAAUAAUCUUUGAUACUGUAACAUUCUCUUCCAAAUCUCAUCUCAUUAUCCCAUUGAUAUCCCAAUUUCCCUCAUCAAAUUUCUUAAACCUUUCUGAUGAUCAGUGCUUCCUUUUCUGGUUGAAUCGAAUCAUCUGGAUCUAAACAUCUUGCAACUUCCUUGUUAUAUUUAAACCAUAUAUUCUUCUCUGUUCUUGUUUUUCUUCCUCAAUACUACUUGAGCAAACCAGCACUUGAAGAACAACUUGAAUCCAGGUAGAUUAUUUAUACUCCAUCUUCUUGAUUUUGUUUUUCACGUGUAACUCUGGUUUGAAUCUUUCAUGUAAAACACAAGUUGUAGAAAUUCUAAUGAGAAGCUUUGGAGUUAGGAUCAUCAACAGUUUCCAAAAAUAAAUAAUUUGAUCUUUCUCAGUUGUAACAAUCCAUGCCUUAAGGAGUUCAUACUAAAUUGACCCCAAUAUAACCUUGAAUUCAUUGUUUUUUCUUCUUAGUUUCUUUGCUGUUUGUAACUUAUUAUUUUAGUUUCAACCUUCCUUUUCCAAUUAAUGUACUUCCAUUAAUUUUUAUUCAAUAUUUUGACCCUUUUUAUCUAUAGGACAAAAUGGGUAGAUCAGAUGAUCCGUUUUGGAAGGAAGUUGAAGAUAUGAAUGAUGGAAGCAUGAAGUGCAAGUUUUGUGGGCAUUUAUUUGCCAAUGGCACUUCCAUUUCGAGGAUCAAAUGGCAUUUAUCAGGAGAGAGAGGGCAUGGUGUUGGCAUUUGUGGUCAAGUGCCUGAAGAAGUUCAAGAAGCAGCCUUUCUAGCUAUGCAUGUUGGCAACAAAAGACAUAAAAGCAUAGCAAGUUCAAGCAAUGUUGACAUUUCCACCUGUCCACAAGAACAAGACAAUGCAGUACUUGGUAAUUUGGCACAAGGUGUUGGGCCUGAGAGAAUUCAUUCGCGUUUAGAAGCGGCAAGUGGCAUGGAAUACACUGGUGAAGGAUCUUUUCAUCAUGUUGACAGAAGUGUCUCUCCUUGGAGACUCAGAGUUGAUGCUCAUAAGAAUAGAGGAGAAGCAACACCAGUAACAGAUUUAGUGGAUCAAUUUGCUGAUGGUACUUGGGUUCAGAUACACUCUGCCCUUUCAAAGGAGCAGAAGCUGAAUGCAAUCUCUACCUAUUUAAUGCUGGAAGAGGACGAUGUGGAGCGUCUGCGUGAUGGAUUUGAAACUAUACCGAGAACAGAACAAAUGCAGCAUCUGGAGAGAGUUAUCUCUUGUGAAAGGCCAUCAAUUAAUCAAGCUGAUGAGCCUCGAGGAGAUUCAUCCCAACCAACAGAUCCAUUGUGUCUUGACCAUGGAAGAUAUUAUCAUCAACUCUGUUCACCUUCACUAAGCAAAGAUGUCUUUAUGUAUGAUGUGCAGAACAUGGUUAGAGUGAGGACAGAACCAGUAGAGGAGGAGGGUGUGGAGAAUAGUGGAAGAUUAGUGCAGCAUGGCGCAGGAGCUAGAUCUUCUAGAUGUCUUAAAUACAACACAAGUGAGACUAGAGGAGUUCCAUUACCUACUAGCUCUAAAAAGCUAGUGGGUCGAGCAUUUGAAGAGAAUACGAAGGUGAUAUGGUCUUUGUUAAUGGAUGAUGAAGUCUCAAUCAUUGGCAUUUACGGGAUGGGGGGAGUUGGUAAAACAACAAUACUGCAACACAUCCAUAAUGAGCUUCUACGAAGACUGGACAUUUGUGAUAAUGUUUGGUGGGUGACUGUGUCUCAAGAUUUCAGCAUUAAUACAUUGCAGAAUCGUAUUACUAAAUGUCUUGAUCUAGAAUUUUCAAGGGAAGUUGAUGAUUUGCAUAGAGCUGCCAACUUGUCAGAAGAACUAAAGACGAAACAAAAAUGGAUUCUUAUUUUAGAUGAUUUGUGGAACAAUUUUGAACUUGACAAAGUGGGAAUUCCUGUCCCGUUGAAAGGAUGCAAGCUGAUUAUGACAACUCGAUCAGAAACAGUUUGUCAUCAGAUGGCUUGCCACCACAAAAUCAAGGUGAAGCCACUUUCCGAGGGAGAAGGUUGGACUUUGUUCAUGGAAAAACUUGGAGGUGGCAUAACACUUUCACCAGAAGUGGAAGGAAUUGCGAAAGCUGUUGCAAGGGAAUGUGCUGGUUUGCCUUUGGGAAUUAUUAUAAUGGCAAGAAGCUUGAGGGGAGUGAAUGACCUACAUGAGUGGAGAAAUACAUUGAAGAAAUUGAGAGCAUCAGAAUUUAGGGACACAGAAGUAUUCAAGUUAUUGAGGUUUAGUUAUGAUUGGUUAGGUGAUUUAGCACUACAACAAUGUCUCUUGUACUGUGCAUUAUUUCCUGAAGAUUAUAUGAUUGAAAGGGAGGAGUUGAUAGAUUAUUUGAUCGACGAGGGAAUAAUUAAAGGAAAGAGAAGAAGGGAAGAUGCAUUUGAUGAGGGCCACGCGAUGCUUAAUAGACUUGAAUAUGUCUGCCUAUUGGAAAGUGCUCAAAUGGAUUAUGAUGAUAGUAGACGUGUCAAGAUGCAUGACUUGAUUAGGGACAUGGCCAUCCAAAUACUGCUAGAGAACUCUCAAUACAUGGUUAAAGCAGGUGCACAAUUAAAAGAGUUGCCAGAUGUAGAGGAGUGGACGGAGAAUCUGACGAGAGUUUCACUAAUGCAAAACGAGAUCGAAGAAAUUCCUUCCAGCCAUUCACCAAUGUGUCCAAAUCUGUCCACUCUAUUUCUAUGUGAUAAUAAAGGGCUGGGAUUUGUUGCGGAUUCAUUUUUCAAGCAAUUGCAUAGGCUCAUGGUCCUUGAUCUGUCUCGCACAGGUAUUAAAAAUUUGCCAGACUCUGUUUCUGAUUUGGUGAGUCUCACUGCAUUAUUGCUCAAUUAUUGUGAGAACUUAAGACAUGUUCCAUCAUUAAAAAAGCUCAAGGCACUGAAGAGGUUGGAUCUCUCUCAUACUACGCUUGAAAAGAUGCCGCAAGGAAUGGAAUGCCUAACCAACCUAGGGUAUCUUAGAAUGAAUGGAUGUGGUGAAAAGGAGUUUCCUAGUGGGAUAUUACCAAAACUCUCUCACCUGCAAGUCUUUGUACUAGACGAAUAUUAUCGUCCGAUAACAGUUAAAGUAAAGGAAGUUGUAUCCUUGAGAAAUUUGGAAACUUUGGAAUGCCAUUUCGAAGGUCUCUCUGACUUCGUGGAGUAUCUCGGAUCUCGGGAUAAGACCCAAUCAUUAAGCACAUACAGAAUUUUAGUAGGAAUGGUGGAUGAAGAUUUUUGGCAAUACAGUGAUUAUUCUCCAAGUAAAACAGUUGGGUUGGGUAAUUUGAGUAUCAACAGAGAUAGAGAUUUUCAAGUCAAGUUCUUAAAUGACAUUCAAGAACUGGUUUGUGAAAGCAUCGAUGCAAGAAGUUUAUGUGAUGUUCUGUCAUUAGAGAAUGCACCUGAAUUGGUGGUUAUCCAAAUUUACGAUUGCGAUAGCAUGGAGAGCUUGGUUUCAUCUUCUUGGUUCUGCUCUGCUCCACCACCAUUGCCAUCAUAUUAUGGUAUGUUUUCUGGUCUUAAAGAGUUUUAUUGUAGUGGAUGUAAGAGUAUGAAGAAGCUGUUCCCGCUUGUGCUGCUGCCAAACCUCGUAAACCUGGAAAGGAUUGAAGUGAUGCUCUGUAAGAAAAUGGAGGAGAUAAUAGGAACAACAGAUGAAGAAAGCACCACCUCCAAUUCCAUCACGGGAUUCAUUCUCCCAAAGUUAAGAACUCUGAGACUGAGAUAUUUACCAGAACUUAAAAGCAUUUGUAGUGCAAAACUGAUUUGCAAUUCUCUUGAAGAUAUUACUGUAACGUUUUCUAAGAAGCUGAAGAGGAUGCCAAUUUGUCUUCCGUUGCUUGAAAAUGACAAGCCAUCUCCUCCCCUUUCUCUAAGAAUAAUGUAUAUAGAACCAAAAGAAUGGUGGGAGACAGUAGUGGAGUGGGAGCAUCCUAACGCAAAGGAUGUCCUUCGUCCCUUUGUAAAGUUUGGGUUAGUUUGAGGAGCCAUCUCAUCCUUUCGUUAAUCCUUUCGUUGUAAGAAUACUAAUUGAUUGUAACCUUAAAUUUGCUCGUAUUCAAUAAUAUUCAAUUCUUUCAAUCAUUUUUGAUAUGAUUGAUGAAAAUAGUCCUUUAAAUCAACAAGGAUAUUCUUAUUAGUUAAUAUUGAAAUAAUCCUUCGUCCCUUUGUACCUUUCUUUUAACUCGAUAGAUAAAUAAUUAUAAUUUGAAGUUUGAUUAAUAUUAUAUUUUCAUCCUAUUGAGUUUCUCCAAGAUGAAAAUCCAAAAAAUAAUAAAAUACUAUAUUGAUUUAUCAUUAAAGUAACCUAAUAAAAUAAUAGAUAUAUUCACUAUUAUAAAUCAUCUCAUAUCAUUAACUAGCAAUAAAUUAUUUAAAAAUAUAUAUAAUACAGAUUAAAAAUAAAAAUAAAAAAGAGAGAACACAUUCUUGAAUUUUCGUCAAUCCAAACAAACAUCGUAAACAUGUCAAAAGUAAUCUUCUACCUCAGUGAAUUUCAGUACAACUACUGCACACAAGAUGUACGUAGCACUCUUCCCCUUUCCAACCUUGCUUAAUUCAUCAAAAGCUAAUUCCUGUCUAUCAACUCGAUUUGGAAAAAUAACUGAAAAACUCUGUUCAAUGAGUUCUAUGAAGUAGUAGAACGUGUAUGCACUAAGGAGAUCAAAUGAGGAAGGCUAAGAUUCUCUAUUAAAUGCCUCUGAGAGAGCAUGAACUGAACUGAACAUUUAUUUUUUGGAUGAGUUUUGGUUUCUAAACCUGAAACUGCCAUCAUAAGCACUAGCCAGGGAAGUUAGGAUGAGCUUUUCUUGUCAUUAUAUCAUAUUUUUCUGCCAGGAUAAUGCUCUCUAUAUUCUCUGCUACUAUUGCUUAUAAUCUUGUUGCCUGUGGUAUCUUUUCCAACUUGUUUGAGGAAUGCUUUCUAAUUCUGUUUCUUGGAUUGUAAAUUUGUUGUCCACCUGCACAGUUAAACAGAGUUAACCUAGUAAUCCAGAAGUUAUUGGUGACAGAUGAUCUGGAUCCUUUUCGAGAAAAAGUGAGUUCAACUUUUACAUUUUUUUUACAUUAUUUUGUUGCUCUAAAUCAAGAAGUUUACUAGACUUAUUACUCUGUAAAUUUGCUUUCUGAGUGCUGAGCAUUUUAUACGACCAUGUGAUUGGGGAGAUUUGAUUCUCAUAUAAUUAUUGUCAGCUUAUUUGUGAGCCAAUAAGUAUUAUUGAAUAGAAAUGCUUUCAUUCUUUACCGUUAGUUUGAAAGUGAAUUGAACAUUUAUUAGCUGAGUUUUUUUCAUUUUCAAGAGGCCGUUUGUUUGUGUGCUUGCUUUUGCGUUUGAAGCAGCCACAACAAAACAAAUGUUUAGUUAUGUAAAAAAAACAAUUUAUUUUUGGUGGGCCCUAUGACAAUGCACGUUUGCAACACGAUUUUGGCGAAGUAGCUCCUGACUGCUUUUCUUCACUCCGUGUUUCAGUGAAUUGCACUGUUCACUUAAAACAAUGAACAGUUCAAUUCACUUGCACUAUUCAUGUGAACAUUUUUUUUUCAGUAUAUUUAUUUUUUGUACAUUAAAAAAAAACUAGUUUAGAGUGAAUUAAAUUCACUCGCACUGUCAUGUGAACAAUAUAUUUUUUUUCAAAAAAGUAGUGUAGAGUGAAUUAAAUUCACUCACACUGUAAUAUCAAAUUAAUUUUAUUCCUGAUAAUAUUUUAUCUAAUUUUAUUGCACGCUCAAAAAAUUAUGAAAACUGUAGUUCUAGUCGGAUGAAUUUUGUACGUAAUGGAAUUGUAGAUGGUUUAAUGGAAUAAUAAAAAAUAUUUUAUAUAAAGUAUUAUUUAUUUCAUGAUAUAAUAGCAAUAGUUAAAUCUACAAUAUUUAAAUUAAAAACCAUCAAUAUUAAUAUAUAUUUUUUAAAAUUAUUUUAUAACCUUAAUUUCAAAAGCAUUGUUAACCAAACACGUUAAACUACUUUUUGUUUAACCUCAAUUUCAACCACAGUUUUAACCAAACACCUAUUUUUUCAAACCAACCUCAACUAAAAGUACUUUUUAUAAAAUAAUUUUUUUCAAACCACAAUCACAACAGCUACCGCAUUACCAAACACACUCUUAAUUUACGAAGCAUUUCAUUAUUCUUUUUCUGACUUUAUUAAAUUUUUUCAAGAUAAUUUAUCAGAUAAUUUUAGCCGGAGUCCUUACAUAUGUAUGCAGGUUAGAAUUCAUUCCCAUCAAUAAGAUGGAGUAGUAUGAACAAUUUUUAUUUUUUUUGGUUUCUACUUACGAUUUUUUUCAUGAUUAAUACCGAUUUAUUUUCACUUUCUAGUAUACCAUUGUUAUUAGUUUGUGGUGUGGCAUAUAAUUUUUUUAGAUCAGUGUUACUUCAAUGGUGGUGGCGUUUAAGUAUACCUUCUGCCAUAAUAUUUAAUAGCAAUUUCUAUGAUAAUCUCAGAAUCUCCAAGCUAGCUUUUGCACCCUUCUCAUUUUGAUAAUACCUAGCUUUUAAGAUUUUUAUUUUAUUUUUGACAUCAAAAGGAUCCUAAAUUCAAAAUGGUUGUGAGCAUUUUACCAAUCUGUUGGGGGUGAUAUUGGUGGGCUUGGGCUAGGAGAAGGGUUAUUUUUACUCUUGGGCUAUUGGCGAGGCUUGAGACUGCUACCUUUUCUUUUCGUUCCCGCGCUGCCCCUCCCUCUCCAAAAAGUCGCUCAAAAUACAGAUUACGAAAUCUCAGAUAUUGCUUGGAAUUGAAUGCAUGAGUUGAAACCGUCGGAGAACACCAGGAUAAGCUCCAAACACAUCGCCACCGGCAUGCUCUCCAGCAUAAUUCACGUUCCCUUUUCAACCAUCGAACACCCCACAGCCUCCUCCUCCUGUUCUUGUCGAGAAAGUAUAUGGAGCCUUAACAAAUAAAGGUUCUCUCUGUUGAUAAUUGGGUUUGGGUCUCAAGUGUUUGUGAGAGUACAAGAACUUGGAUGUUAAAAAAUUGGUCGUGAUUACUUCUCAGGAGUUCUGGUAGUAAUAGAUCAAACUUAUACCUUAUUCAGAUAAAUUGCUAAAGAUCGUAGCAUGAUUAGUUAAGAGGAAGACAAUUUUAGCCAUUUCGUCGACAAUCACGGGGAAGGCUUUGCCAAAUACUUCAUUUCAUGGAUUCUGAGUUUCAGCGGCGGAAGCAAGGGGAAGCCAGCAGGACCGGGCCCUUGCAAAACUUUUUUUUAAAAACAAAUAUAACAAAUAAUAGACUUUUUAAUAUUAAAUUAUUAUUUUAUUAGUUAUGUUUGACUUUAAAACUAUAUCUCCUUGUAUCUUUAUAUAAGUGGAAAACAAAAAGACAAAUAAGCUUUUCAAUUUAAUUCCCUUUCUUUAAUCUCUCUCUCUUUCUUUUCUGCAACUUUAACAAAAAAAAUUAAUAAUACAAGGCAUAAAGGUUCAAGCAAAAUUGCCAAUUAAUUCUUCAUCAAAAUAAGGCAAUUAGUUUUUUAAUGUUUGUUAAGAAUUUGAUAUAUAUAUAUAUAUAUAAUUCUGCUAUUUUUGUUUUUCAAAUCUACUAGUUUUAUCAUUUUUUAUUUCUUGUUAUAGUGAAUGUUGUUUUUUCUAAUUAAUUGGAUAUAUUUUAUGAGUUUGUUUUGAUUAUGUUUGGAUUUUUUUAUUUUUUUUUUUUAGCAGAUCCAUCAAAAUUAUUAAUUUUUUCUCACGUGUACCUUACUAUCACCAGGUCCAAUAUACAAUUAGACAUGAUCUUUGUAGCCAAAUUGAAUUCUUUGAAGAGCACAUACCCAACUUUGAUUCAGUGUAAGUUUUCUUUUUUAGGAACUAGUAAUCCCAUUUUUUAUGUUAGAUAUGCUUUUAUAUAUCAAUUUCUUUUUUUAAUAUGUUAAUUUUGCUUUCAUAUGUCUGUGUGGUUUACAUGUAAAAAAAAAAUUUUGGUUUUGAUUAUUGCUUCAACACAUCAUUAUUUGUAUUUAUUUUUUAAAUAGGAAACAAUAAAAAUUUGUGAUGUUUUGAUUUUAGGUUGAACCAUGAACAAAAUAAGAAGAAUUGAUUCAUUUUUUGAGAAAAAAGAGAAAAAUAUUGAUAACUCACAACCUAGUAAAUCAACUUCAAUGUGUAAUGUUGAAGUUAUGGUUCAACAACCCCAAUGUGCUUCAGUUUAUGAAGAACCUGCAUUGAUUAAUGAGCAGCCUCCUACUAAAAUCGACAUUGCUCAUCUAAUCAGAGAUCCAAGCAAUCGUCCUCAAAUUUAAGAAUACCCGGUUAAUCAACAAGAUGAAAUUAGAAGGGCAUACAUUAAUUUAGGGCCAUAUCAACCUUUGAUUUCUGAAUAUCCGCUGACUGGUAAAAAAACAUCCUCGUCGAUUUCAGUCUCAUUAAUUGGUUCAAAAGUUAUCCAUGGCUUGAAUAUUCAGAGAAAAAUACUGCAUUUUGUUUCCCUUGUUAUCUAUUUUCAAGUAAGUCAUCUGGAAAGCCAGGAUCAGACACAUUUACUGUUAAAGGAUUCAAUUGUUGGAAGAAAGUUAAUGAUGAGGAACGGUGUGCUUUUUUAACUCAUAUGGAAAAAGGUCCGAAUUCAGCUCAUAGAUUUGCUACCAGGUGCUUGAAAAAUUUGAAAAAUCAAUCAUGUCAUAUUGAGAAAGUAGUUAAGAGGCAAACUACUCAAGAAAUUCUAAAUAAUUGUUUGCGUAUUAAAGCUUCAAUAGAUAUUGUUCGUUGGCUCACAUUUCAAGCAUGUGCUUUUAGAGGACAUGAUGAACGUUCAGAAUAAAAAAACCUAGGUAAUUUUCUUAAAAUGUUGGAACUUUUAGCAUCAUACAAUGAACAAGUAGGUGCUCUUAUUUUGGAUAAUGCUCCACAAAAUGCUAAAUACACCUCGCUUCAAAUUCAAAAAGAAAUUUUGCAUGUCUUUGCUAGAAAUGUUCAGUCUUCAAUUCGUCAUGAGAUUGGUGAUGCAAGAUUUUGCUUAAUUGUUGAUGAAGCUCGAGAUGAAUCCAGAAGAGAGCAAAUGACCCUUGUUAUUAGGUUUGUUGAUAGAAUUGGAUUUAUACGAGAAUGAUUUUUGGAUAUAGUUCAUGUCAAAGAUAUGACUGCUUCAACUCUUAAUAAAGAGAUUUUCUUUGUUUUAUCUCAUCACAAUCUUGAUGUUCAAAAUAUUAGGGGUCAAGGGUAUGAUGGUGCUAGUAAUAUGCUUGGAGAGUGGAAUGGAUUGCAAGCUUUAUUCAUUAAUGAUUGCCCUUAUGCAUGUUAUAUACAUUGCUUAGCUCAUCAAUUACAAUUGGCUUUUAUUGCUGCAGUUAGAGAAAUAUCUGAUGUUUACAUUUUCUUUCAGAACUUGAUUUUUAUUGUUAACAUUGUUAGUACUGCUUGCAAACGUAAUUACGAGCUUUUCAAGCAGCUACAAUUGAACAUUUAAUUGAUAUUGGUGAAAUUAAAACGGGUAAAUGAGUUAAUCAAAUAGGUGGUUUGCAACGACCUGGAGAUAGAAGAUGAAGUUAAAUUAAUUUGCAGUUUGACAAAAAUAUAUGGGGCAACUUGCUUGGUUCUUGAAAACUAGUGAGUUUUUAGCUAUCAAAUGGCUUUCAAAACAGUUUUCUAAAUUUUACAUUCUAUUUGUGUACUCUAAUUCGUCUCCAAUAUCUCUUAUCAAAUGGGUUCUGAUUUAGAUGGUAUGAGCGAGACUUUUGGCAUACAAAAGCUGGGAGUUCCUGUCCAAGUUAAGGGAUGCAAGCUGAUUCUUACAACCCGAUCAGAAAAGAUUUGUCUAUGGAUGAAGUUUCCUAUUUACUUUGCAACAACCCUUAGCAUUGACGGGGGAGGAGUGAGAGGCAUCAUUCCUAGAUUAGUCCUUGCCGCUCUUGAAUCUAAGCUCUAGCUAGGUUCUUGAAUAAAAAACUUUAGAGUUACGCUCAUGUAACAUCGAUCAGACAAAAUACAAUAAUUAAUUAUUGUUGAAAAGCAACUUGCGGUACAUAUAAGUUAUUAUUGAGCUGUCCAUGAAAGUGAGGUCCUUAAAUUUUGAUUCUGCAAUGAUCUUGAUGACAAAUUCAAGAGCAAGGAACAGUACAAGCAAUGGACAAGGAGAAACAGACGACCAUACAAAUAAUCUGAGGCCCUCUUUGAAUUGUUCUGGCAGCUUGCUAAUAGCCUACUCCAUAUGGUUGCUCAGUUCGAUCUCAAUGCUUACAAUGUUUUCAGAUUUACUCUGUAUGGUUACUCAGUUCGAUCUCAAUGCUUUUAGAUUUUGCUCAGUUCAUGUUAUAACCCGCAGCACCGCGCGGGCAAUUCACCUGGUACAUUCUGCAAUGAUCUUGAUCACAAAUUCAAGAGCAAGGAACAGUACAAGCAAUGGACAAGGAGAAACAGACGACCAUACAAAUAAGAGUCGGCAGGCCGAUGUAUUGGGGCAGCCACCUCUCUGUUUAUAAAAAAGCUUUUUGCUCAGAUGAUUUUUGUGUUAUACCUCUUUUUUUUAUUAUUAUUAUUAUUUCAGAAAACUAUCCUGAACUGGAAAAUAAAAUGGAGUUGCUCGCCUCGCAACAUUUCAUCCUUGUACUGUUUGAAAGUAUAAUUAUAAUUAUUUUUUAAAAUAUUUUUAUUUAAAAAUAUAUAAAAAUAAUAUAUUUUUAUUUUUUAUAUCAACAUCUUAAAAUAAUUUAAAAACUCUAAACAUGUGACCUUUACAGGGCUUAAGUCUAAUCAGAUUCACUAAUCAAUAAAAAAAUUAUCAUAAAUGAGUGUUGUAACAAUAUUUUUUAAAUAUUUUUUUAUUUUUUUAAAAUUAUUUUUAUAUCAACACAUCAAAAUAAUAUAUAAAUAUAAAAAAAUAAAAUUUAACCAAUACCCAUUUAAAACACAAUAGCAAACUGGGAUUAAGCAACACAGAAUUAAUCAAAUAGUUUUUUGGAUAAUGAUAAUUUUGUUGGGCCACAGAAUUAGGUCACUGAAGAACUUUUUAGUAAAGGAUCAAUUAUCCACACAAUCCUUCAUCACCAUCCAAUCCCAUCACUGGAAAACUUAUCCUCUUUGAUCUCAAUGCCCUUUUGUCAUCCCCAAAUAUAUGCUUUUAUCCCUUUUCCUUUGUAUUUUGUCGUUUGUGUCUUUGUCCACUGGCUUAAGGGUGUUUAGUAAUUCUACAUACGGUUUUUUAAAAAAUAUUUUUCAAAUAAAAAUAUAUUAAUAUAAUGUUUUUUAAUUUUUGUUAAUACCAACCCAUUAAAAUUAAUUUGAUAUUUUUUAAAUAAAAAUAAUUUAAAAAGUAAUAUCAAUUACAUUACCACCAACUGUAUGGGUUGGUUUAUUGGGAUCAAAGUCAAGAGAAGCAUAGGUUUACGCUAAUGGAUGAUUACGACCAGAACAAGGGUUUAGCAAGGAUCGGAAGAGGGACAGGAGGGUUUAGAGGACACGUGUCAAGUCUUACCAUAAAGGUUAAAAAAUGAUUCAUGAUAUUACUGUAACGUCUUGUGAGAAGCUGAAGAGGAUGGCAAUUUGUUUCCCGUUGCUUGAAAAUGGCCAGCCAUCCCCUCCCCCUUCUCUUAGAGAAAUCAAUGAAUAUCCAGAAGAAUGGCGGGAGAGAGUAGUGGAGUGGGAGCAUCCUAACGCAAAGGAUGUCCUUCGUCCCUUUGUAAAGUAAUAUAAUAUAGUGUGCUUACAAUUACAUAAAUAACAUUUUUCAUUGUUUUAUUUCAUUAAAGACUACUGAAUUGUCAUAUAUAUAUUUUUUAACUUGAUAGAUAAAUAAUUAUAAUUUGAAGUUUGAUUAAUAUUAUAUUUUCAUCCUAUUGAGUUUCUCCAAGAUGAAAAUCCAAAAAAUAAAAUAAAAAUACUAUAUUGAUUUAUCAUUAAAGUAACCUAAUAAAAUAAUAAAUGUACAAACAUUUUUAAAAUGUCUAAGAGAGUAUGAAGAUGGCAGUUUUGGUUUCUAAACCUGAAACUGCCAUAUUCAUAAACACAUUUUUUAAAUAAAUGAAACUUCUAAGACCAAAUUUAAUACUAAAACUAGAAAGUAGCAUAGGCGUGUUAUAGGUAAGGGCAGAUACACUGCACUCAUGACAUGAUCUCUUUAAUAAUUUUGAUCCCUAUAAAAUCUCCCUCUGGUUGUUUGAAGCUAAAGCUUGAUUGCGUUCCUGUGGUUUUGAUGAGUCUAUGAAAUGCUAAAAUGCUAAAAUGGAAUAAAAAUAAUAGAAAUUAAACAGACAAGUCAAGGCCCAGCUGGAGUCGUGAAAUUUCACUAAUGAGGAUUUCGAAAAAGGAACUGCUAAAGCCUAAAAUUUAGGCAAUUUGUUUUUGACACAACGGGGAUCAUGAAGACGUGAUGAAAUAUAAUUUUAAAAUUUAAAAUAUUUUUAAAUAGUUAAGAUUAAAUAAGUUUUUAAUUUAACGCAAUUCAAUUUUAAUAAAAUAUCAAUUAAUUAAUAAUAAAAUAAUAAAAUCGAUAGUGUCAUCGGUUGAUUUUAUUAGUUUAAGUCAACAUUAAUAAAACAAAAGAUUUGAAAUUUAAUUAAUUAUUAAAUAACAUGUUUAUGGUUAGAUUACAGUUUCUUCUUUACAAAUAACCAGGGGGGAAAUUAACAUAAAAAACAAAUCUUAAAUUUCAUUUUUUAAAUAAAUUAGGUAGGAUUUGAGUUUUUUUAAGUAAUUAUAUCUUUAUUAGCUUAAACAAAGAUACUUAUUAAAAGGGCAGAUUAGAAAAGGGAAAUUUAAGAGUAAUUAAACUUGUAAAAGCAUGUUGAAGACCAUAUCUAAAAUAUAAGGAUUAAUUGGGAAAAGUCUUCAAAGAAAAAGGACUACUUUUUUAUGGGAUGGUGGGGGAGUUUCUCGGAAUUGAAAUGGUCAAGGAUGUAGAGGAGUGUCAUCUUUCCCAUCACUGUUAUCGCCACCGAAGAGUCGAAAUUAGUCCUGGCCUGUUAUGGCAAGUCGUCGGAGGGAGGGCGACCCAUUUUCCUAAAGGAUUGUUUGGCAAAGCGUACACUUGCAUAAAGGAAUGGUUAAGGCUCUCUUGAAAAUUAAGAGUUCUAUAAAAGGUAUCAAGAUUAAGGAAUGUAUAAUAACGGUUGUGGUUUAAAAUAUUUUUUAUAUAAAAAUAUAUUAAAAUAAUAUUGUUUUAAAUUAUUUUUGACAUCAACACAUCAAAAUAAUUUAAAAACAUAAAAAAAUUAUUCUUAAGCAAAAAAAAUUAAAUUAUGAUGGAACACGGUUUGCAUUGCGUUUCUAAAUACGCUCUAGGUCAGAGUUGGAUUUUGCUCCACCGGUCUUCAACUAUGAAUAUUGAAAUUUAUUAUUCAUUUGUGUCUUUGAUUUUGCCGAUUCGAGCCAAGCCGACAUUACCCGAUCGACUUUUUUUCAAUCAAUUUUACAAAAAUAAAAAACUUAAAAACCAAACCAAAUCUUCAUUUUGAGUUAUAAAAUAAGCUAUAAAUUUCAAAUCCAACAAUGGAUUUAUUAAAGAGAAAAACAUUUAACUAUAUAAAUACAAUUUGAAUUAUUUGAACCACAUUUUGUAUACAUUUAAUUUUCUUAACACUAAAGAAUGAUCAUGUAAGUGUUGUUAAAAUAUUUUUUAAUAUUGAAAAAAAUAUAUAAAUAUAAAUCAAAAGGUCAAUGCUUGUAUAUAAUAAAAUACAAUGAGGAUCAUUGUCUGCCCUCCGCUACGACAUAGGUCAUGAUAUUGUAAUAAUAUUGUAAAAAGCAAAUCAGAACAAAUUAAUCAUAUAAAAACAAACACAAAAUAUAUCAUGAAGAUCAAUCUAAAAUAAACCAAAUGCUUUAAAAAACAUUAAAAAUGAAUCCUUUUUUUUAAAAAAAAAAUAUGUAAACUGUCGCACGUGCGCGACGUCGCGGCGAUCGUCCACCCUCGUAUGUGUGAUGGGGGGUAUAUAUCUAGUAAAUAUGGUGAGACAAGGAGUUCUUUGUCUCUUAGCAGUGAAAAAUAGUGUGGGAGUCGCCACCUAGUAUUUUGGUCACUAGGAACCCUAACUGGUCUCAGAGAUCAGGCACGGGGACUGGUUGCGUAAAGAGAAGGUAUUAGCACCCCAAAUACGCCUUACCUAAGGUAAGCUGCAUUGUUUAUUUGUCUGAUAAAAUUCAAAGUCUCGUUGUGUUUCCUAGUUGUUGGUCCAUCCAUAGUUCAAGAAAAGUCCUCCUCAAUAAGGAGGUCCUUAUCUUAUCGGGUAAAACCUAAACGUUCUAAUGUCUAUGUAUGUUGGUCCGUCUAUGGUUCAAGAAAAGUCCUCCUCAAUAAGGAGGUCCUUAUUUUAUCGAGUAAAACCUAACCGUUCUAAUGUCUAUGUAAAAAAGCUAUAUUUUUAAUAUCAGGAAUACAUUUUACGUAUAAAUUCUUAAUCCCAAAUACUAAAAGAAGACAAAAAGAUUUUUUUAGAAUUUUUGAAAUAUUGGCCUAGUUCUCAUGACUUGAAUAAACUGGUUAUUAAAGCCAAAAUGCAUGCUAAUACAUAUAUUGAUUUUUGAAAUUUCCUUUGUUGUGUGAAAAUAUGCUGUUAUAAUAUUUAUAUAUAUAUAUUGGAGAGACUAGGCCGUAUGCACGAAAACAAAACCUUUUUAAUUUAUGUAUUUUUUUUGUAUGUUUUGACGCAAAUCGGGUAUUUUAAUACUGGGUUUGUAUUCUUACAGUAUAAAAAUACAACCAAAUAUUAAUCCACUUUGAUAAAACAAAUGCAGAAAAAUCAACAAUAUUUUUAAAGAUAUUUUUAGAAAAUUUUUGAAAAGCAAAAGACAUUUUUUUAUUUUGAAAAUCUUUGAUGUUUUGAUGAAAACCGGGUAUUUUAAUACUGGAUUUUGUAUCUUUAGAGUAUAAAAAUACCAACCGAUAUUAAUCAAAAUACAAUAAUAAAAUUACAACAAAAUCACAUAUUUUUUUAAAAUAAUUUUUGCAGAAUUUUUGUAAUUUUUCACAUAUAUAUAUAUAAGUAAUACAAAAUAUAAUAUAAAUAAUAUAUAAUAUUAAAUUCAGGCUGGGCCGGCCCAACCAACUGGGCCGGACUCAGCCCAAAAUUGUUGGGCCGAUUUCGGCCCAAAGUGGAUUGGGCCGAUCUCGGCCCAAAAAAACUAAUAUUCUCUUCUGGGCCAGACCUGGCCCAGAAGACAGGGCUGGGCCAGGAUCUGCCUGGCCCAAGCCAAAACGGGCGGGGGGAAUUAUUUUCCCCCCACCCCUGCAUGCAGAACGCUACUCGUUCUGCAUGCAGAGAAGGAAAAGAAAAAAUAAACGCGAGAAUGAGGGGGAAGAAAAGUUACCUGGCGCGGAGGCGGAGGCGGUGGCUUGCUGCGUUUCUGGCGGUGCUGUGGUGGAGGCCGGUAGCGGUGUCGCUGCUCACUGGCGGCGGCUCCAAGCAGCGGCGCUGCUGUCUCAAGCGGCGGAGAGAGGGAUUCUUCCUCUUUCCUUCUCCUCUGUUUCCUUCCCUUUUCUUCUUCUUCUUUGGUUUUCUUUCCCCCUGUUUUCCUUUCUUUCGGUUCUCUCUUCUUCCUCUCCCCUUUCUCUCUCUUUCGGUUUUUUUUCCGUUCUCCUCCCCUCUCCUCUGUUCUUCUUGUUUUUUUCUCCCCCGUCUGUUCUCUUCCUCCUCCUCAUUGCUGCUGUGUUGGCUGUUAUUUAUAGAGCCAAGUGAGUGGCUUUUCGCUGUGGAGCAUGGGGAGCAGCCGGCCGGUCGGCCAUUGGGCGCGACUGCCAAGGCUCGGCCCCCCUCCCCGGUUUUCUGGCAGGUGCGCGGUGGGUGGUCGGCCAUUGUGUCCGGUCGGUGGGCUCCAGGCGAGAGAGUGGCCGGCAAAAAUUCAAAUUAAAGCAACCCUUUUUCCUUCUUCCCCGCUGCAUGUUCGGGGGGGAAGAAGAAAGAUGAACAGUGUCAUUCAAAACGACACCGUUCUGCUCUUUCUUUUUUUUUUUUUUCUUGAAUGUAUGAAACGGCGUCGUUUUGGAGAAAACACGCCGUUUCAUUUGAAUGUGGCGCCAAAACGCGCCAAAGUCCAAAUCAGCCCUUAAUCAUCUUUUUUUCUUCAAUUGCGUCCCUGCCAAUUUCGGUCUCCGCCCCUCUUGUUGGCCGCGUUUUUCACUUUAGUCCUUGGCCUCUGAUUUAUGCAAUUGAGCCCUUAAUUGAUCAAAAACUUCCAAUUUCUUCAAUUAGGCCCCUGAAUCAAUUAAUUCCAGCCCCUCCAUUUACGCGCCUCUUCCAAUUUGGUCCCUGGUUUCGGAUUUUCUCAAUUAAGUCCCCAAUUGGCCCUUAAACUUCAAUAUUUAUGCAAUUAGGCCCCUGAUUUGACCUAAUAAAUUCCUAAAAAAUAUAUUUUGGCCCCAAAACUUAAAUUUCUUCUAAUGAAAGCCCAAAUUGACUUAAAAAUCAAAUUUUCUUACAAUCAAAUCUCCUAUAAAUUCAUUUAAAAAUCCAAUCAAGUCCAUAAACAUCCAAAUUUGGGCUUUUCUCCUCAAAUUUCAAAUUUUCCUUCUCAACAGGGCUCUCCUCCCUCAAGAAUAUAUUAUCAAAAAAAAUCCAAUCUUUGUAUUUUUAACCUCAUUGACAAAUUUUCCAACCAUUUUCUGAGCGCUUCUACCUCCUGUUAUUUUUCUAACCUCCUUUGGCUAUAUAUUUUUAUAUAUAUUUUGUGGGGACCCAAAAAUGGGUUACAACAUAAACGACAACAUAAUAGUUCGACAUGAGCUUUGUGACUAAACCCACCAAACCCGCGACUUUGUAAAAAACAAAUCAGAAUAAAUUAAUCGUACAAAACAAUCAUGAAACAUAUCAUGGAGAUCAAUCUAAAAUAAGCCAAAUGCUUUAAAAAAAAUUAAAAAUGAAUCUUUUUUUUAAAAAAAAAUAUGUAAACGACAACAUAAUAAAUCGAUAUGAGCUUUGUAGCUAAAUCCACAAAACCUGCGACUUGAAUCAUGGAGUCCAUUGAGUUUAAUAAGAACGUUAUUUUAAUUCUUUUUUUUCUAAAAAAAGGAAAAUUAAGUGAAAAGUUUUUAUAGAAAGACCAAGCCUAGUUGGGCAUAUAAUAAAAUCUACAGGGACUGUAAAUACAUAAUCAAGAAAAUAGGAGGACCAAAGUUAACUUUUUUCACCAUCCAUUCUCUCUGUUUUUUUCACUAUCUUUUGAUUUUAUACUCGAUUAACAAUCUUACUUAAACUGAUACUCAAUUUAAUUCAGAAAGGGCGGAAUUUAAAACAACCGAAGUAUUGGAAAAUUCAUCAAUCAUGAUGUUAACAUGUCAUAAUUAAUUUGAGAUAAGGAAUAUGUAUGGACUUUACAAAUAGGUAUUAUCAUCUAGAAUACUAUAAUUCUUAUUAGCAAUUUUUUUUUGUACAUAUUCAAGGCUUUCUACCAGAAUUCUUAUUAGGAAAAACUUGUGUAGAUAUUCAAGGUAGCUGUAAGUACAAAUUCUCAAAGUACUGUAGGGAAUGGAAGUUGAGGUGGAUCAGAUAAUGACAUUGAUGGGGGAGGAGUGCGAUGCAUCAUUCCUAGCAUAGUCUUACAUUUUCAGGUCAGCUUUUUCAAAGUUUCAACAAUGGGGUGGGUCCACGAGUUAAAGUGUUUGGCAUUAUUGUCAGAAAAUGUUUUUCUUAAAAAAUAAUUUUUAGCUUCUGAUUCUUUUGUUGAAGAUUUUAAUUAUAUGCAGCGCUAGACAAAAGAAAAGCGAAAUAGAGGUGUACAGCAACUUGUUGUCUCUUGUAAUAUAAUCUUUGGUAGGAAAGUUAUGGCUUUUUUCCUAGCAACUUCUUGUCAAACAAUAAAAGAAUCUUUGCUACUGUAACAUUCUCUUCCAAAUCUCAUCUCAUUAUACCAUUGAUUUCCAAUUUCCCUCAUCAAAUUUCUUAAACCUUUCUGAUGAUCAGUGCUUCCUUUUCUGAUUGAAUCGAAUCAUCUGGAGCUCAACAUCUUGCAACUUCCUUGUUAUUUUUAAACCAUAUAUUCUUCUCUGAUCUUGUUUUUCUUCCUGAAUACUAGUUAAGCAAACCAGCACUUGAAGAACUACUUGAUCCAGGUAAAUUAUUUAUACUCCAUCUUCUUCAUUUUGUUUUUCACAUGUAACUCUGGUUUGAAUCUUUCAAGGAAAACACAAGUUGUAGAAAUUAUAAUGAGAAACUUUGGAGUUAGGAUCAUCAACAGUUUCCAAAAAUAAAUAAUUUGAUCUUUCUCAGUUGUAACAAUCCAUGCCUUAAGGAGUUCAUACUAAAUUGACCCCAAGUUAACCUUGAAUUCAUUGGUUUUUCUUCUUGGUUUCUUUGCUGUUUGUAACUUAUUAUUUUAGUUUCAACCUUCCUUUUCCAAUUAAUGUACUUCCAUUAAUUUUUAUUCAAUAUUUUGACCCUUUUUAUCUAUAGGACAAAUGGAUCCGUUUUGGAAUGAAGUUGAAGAUAUGAAUGAUGGAAGCAAGAAGUGUAAAUUUUGUGGGCAUUUAUUUGCCAAUGGUACUUCCAUUUCGAGGAUCAAAUGGCAUUUAUCAGGAGAGAGAGGGCAUGGUGUUGGCAUUUGUGGUCAGGUGCCUAAAGAAGUUCAAGAAGCAGCCUUUCUAGCUAUGCAUGGUGGCAACAAAAGACAUAAAAGCAUAGCAAGUUCAAGCAAUGUUGACAUUUCCACCUGUCCACAAGAACAAGAUAAUGCAGUACUUGGUAAUUUGGCACAAGGUGUUGGGCGUGAGAGAAUUCAUUCGCGUUUAGAAGCGGCAAAUGGCAUGGAAAACACUGGUGAAGGAUCUUUUCAGCAUGUUGACAGAAGUGUCUCUCCUUGGAGACUCGGAGUUGAUGCUCAUGAGAAUAAAGGAGAAGCAACACAAAGAACAGAUUUAGCGGAUCAAUUUGCUGAUAGUACUUGGGUUCAGAUACACUCUGCCCUUUCAAAGGCGCAGAAGCUGAAUGAAAUCUCUACCUAUUUAAUGCAGGAAGAUGAGGAUGUGGAGCGUCUGCAUGAUGCAUUUGAAACCGUACCGAGAACAGAACAAGUGCAGCAUCUGGAGAGAGGUAGCUCUUGUGAGAGGCCAUCAAUUAAUCAAGCUGUGUAUAAUGUGCAGAACAUGGUUAGAGUGAGGACAGAACCAGUGGAGGAGGAUGUGGAGAAUAGUGGAAGAUUAGCGCGGCCUGACGCUGGAGCUAGAUCUUCUAUAAGCCUUAAAUACAACACAAGUGAGACUAGAGGAGUUCCAUUACCUACUAGCUCUACAAAGCCAGUGGGUCAAGCAUUUGAAGAGAAUACGAAAGUGAUAUGGUCUUUGUUAAUGGAUGAUAAAGUCUCAACCAUUGGCAUUUACGGCAUGGGGGGAGUUGGUAAAACGACAAUACUAAAACAUAUCUAUAAUGAGCUUCGAGAAAGAAAGGACAUUUGUGAUCAUGUUUGGUGGGUGAUUGUAUCUCAAGAUUUCAGUAUUAAUAGAUUGCAGAAUCUUAUUGCUAAACGUCUUAAUCUAAACCUUUCAAGCGAAGAUGAUGAUUUGUAUAGAACUGCUAAAUUGUCAGAAGAACUAAGGAAGAAAAAAAAAUGGAUUCUCAUUUUAGAUGAUUUGUGGAAUAAUUUUGAGCUUGAGGAAGUGGGAAUUCCUGAGAAGUUAAAAGGAUGCAAGCUGAUUAUGACAACUCGAUCAAAAAUAGUUUGUGAUCGGAUGGCUUGCCACCCCAAAAUCAAAGUGAAGCCACUUUCCGAGGAAGAAGCUUGGACUUUGUUCAUGGAGAAACUUAGAAAUGACAUAGCACUUUCACGAGAAGUGGAAGGAAUUGCGAAAGCUGUUGCAAGGGAAUGUGCUGGUUUGCCAUUGGGAAUUAUUGCAGUGGCAGGAAGCUUGAGGGGAGUGGAUGAUCUACAUGAUUGGAGGAAUACAUUGAAUAAAUUAAGAGAAUCAGAAUUUAGGGACAUGGAUGAGAAGGUAUUCAAGUUAUUGAAGUUUAGUUAUGAUCGGUUAGGUGAUUUAGCACUAAAGCAAUGUCUCUUGUACUGUGCAUUAUUUCCUGAAGAUGAUAGGAUUAAGAGGAAGAGGUUGAUAGGUUAUUUGAUCGAUGAGGGAAUAAUUAAAGGAAAGAGGAGUAGGGGAGAUGCAUUUGAUGAGGGCCACACGAUGCUUAAUAGACUUGAAAAUGUCUGUCUAUUGGAAAGUGCUAAUUGUAAUAAUGGUAGACGUGUCAAGAUGCAUGACUUGAUUAGGGACAUGGCCAUCCAAAUACUGCUAGAGAACUCUCAAGGCAUGGUCAAAGCAGGUGCACAAUUAAAAGAGUUGCCAGAUGCAGAGGAAUGGAUGAAGAAUCUGACGAGAGUUUCAUUAAUGCAAAACAAGAUCGAAGAAAUUCCUUCCAGCCAUUCACCAAUGUGUCCAAAUCUGUCCACUCUAUUUCUAUGUGAUAAUAGAGGGUUGAGAUUUGUUGCGGAUUCAUUUUUCAAGCAAUUACAUGGGCUCAAGGUCCUCGAUCUGUCUUGCACAGGUAUUGAAAAUUUGCCAGACUCUGUCUCUGAUUUGGUGAGUCUCACUGCGUUAUUGCUCAAAAAGUGUGAGAACUUACGUCAUGUUCCAUCAUUAAAGAAGCUCAUGGCACUGAAGAGGUUGGAUCUCUCUCGUACUGCGCUUAAAAAGAUGCCGCAAGGAAUGGAAUGCCUAAACAACCUGAGGUAUCUUAGAAUGAAUGGAUGUGGUGAAAAGGAGUUUCCUAGUGGGAUAUUACCAAAACUCUCUCAGCUGCAAGUUUUUGUACUAGAAGAGCUUAAGGGGAUCAGUUAUGCUCCGAUAACAGUUAAAGGAAAGGAAGUAGGAUCCUUGAGAAAUUUGGAUACUUUGGAAUGCCAUUUUAAAGGUUUCUCUGACUUUGUGGAGUAUCUCAGAUCUCAGGAUGGGAUCCAAUCAUUAAGUGGAUACAGAAUUUCAGUAGGAAUGGUGGGUACAUAUUUUUGGAAAUACAUGGAUAAUUUGCCAUGUAAAAGAGUUCGGUUGUGUAAUUUGAGUAUCAACAGAGAUAGAGAUUUUCAGGUCAUGUCCUUAAAUGACAUUCAAGGACUGGUUUGUGAAUGCAUCGAUGCAAGAAGUUUAUGUGAUGUUUUGUCAUUAGAGAAUGCAACUGAACUGAAGCACAUCAGCAUUUGGGAUUGCAAUAGCAUGGAGAGCUCGGUUUCAUCUUCUUGGUUCUGCUGUGCUCCACCACCAUUGCCAUCAUGUAUGUUUUCUGGGCUUAAAGAGUUUUAUUGUGUUAGAUGUAAAAGUAUGAAGAAGCUGUUCCCACUUGUGUUGUUGUCAAACCUCGUAAACCUGGAAGUGAUUGACGUUAGAGAUUGUGAGAAAAUGGAGGAGAUAAUAGGAACAACAGAUGAAGAAAGCAGCACCUCCAUUUCCAUCACGAAAUUAAUACUCCCAAAGUUAAGAACUCUGAGACUGAGAUAUUUACCAGAACUGAAAAGCAUUUGCAGUGCAAAACUGAUUUGCAAUUCUCUUGAAGAUAUUACUGUAGAGGAUUGUGAUAAGCUGAAGAGGAUGCCAAUUUGUCUUCCAUUGCUUGAAAAUGGCCAGCCAUCUCCUCCCCCUUCUCUUAGAAGAAUGAAUAUAAAAUCAAAAGAAUGGUGGGAGACAGUAGUGGAGUGGGAGCAUCCUAACGCAAAGGAUGUCCUUCGUCCCUUUGUAAAGUUUGGGUUAGUUUGAGGAGCCAUCUCAUCCUUUCGUUAAUCCUUUCGUUGUAAGAAUACUAAUUGAUUGUAACCUUAAAUUUGCUCGUAUUCAAUAAUAUUCAAUUCUUUCAAUCAUUUUUGAUAUGAUUGAUGAAAAUAGUCCUUUAAAUCAACAAGGAUAUUCUUAUUAGUUAAUAUUGAAAUAAUCCUUCGUCCCUUUGUAAUUUAAAAUUUGAUUAAUAUUAUAUUUUCAUCCUAUUGAGGUUCUCCAAGAUGAAAAUCCAAAAAAUAAAAAAAUACUACAUUGAUUUAUCAUUAAAGUAACCUAAUAAAAUAAUAGAUGUUUUGAAAGAGGGGGUAUAGCGUUUAUUGUACUCCAAACUCAUUGACUGAUGUACCUCUUAAAUAAAAGCACACCAUAUACUGUCAAUAAAAAUAGUGAAUUAUUCUAUAUUAAAAUAUAUUAUUUUAAUGUAUUUUUAAAUAAAAAAAUAUUAAAAAUAACAACAAUUACAUUCAAUCUAAUUACACAAAUCUGACUUAAUACAUAUUAAAGUUUGUGAAGAUUGAAUACCUAGUCUUUAUUUUUUAGUUAUUCUAUAUAAAAUAUAUUAUUUUAAUAUAUUUUUAAAUAAAAACUACUUUAAAAAUUUUAAAAAUAACAACAAUCACAUUCACUUCCGCACUGUCAAAAUCAUUCUAAAAGUAGUAAUGUUCUUUAAAAAAUCAUUGUUUAUGGAUUCAGUAAUGUUUUUUCUAUUAAAUGGAUUAAUUGUUUGAUUAUAUUUAGAUCAUUUAUUUAUCUGUAUUAAUUUAAUUUUUUUACUAUAAUAUUGAUUUAAUAAAAAGAACUCCUACAACAUGCACUUAGCUGCCAAAAAAAUCCUAAAAUUGACUCAAUUGGAAAGGAUCAUGGUACUUACUAUCAAGAUUGUUAUGCCCGCAAUCAAAACAUAAUUUGUUUUUGUACUUAGAAUUAUGUUUGAGUGCAUUUAAAAAUUUGUUUAUUUAAAAAAAUAUAUUAAAUUAAUAUUUUUAAUAUUUUUUGAUAUAUUAAUAUUAAAAUAAAAAAAUAUUUUAAAGAGAAAAAAAAAUAUUUGACAAAGAAUAAAUAGGAAGCUUACGAAUAGUUAAGAGUCGUAUUGCAAAGUAUAGUUUACCGGUUGACUCACAGAUUAACUGAUUAACCCCAUCAUAUUAUUUAUUUAUAAAAACUAAAAUAAUAAUGUUUUUUUUUAAUAUUAUCUUUUUAAAUAUUUUUAUUUUAAAAAAGUUUCACGUUGUAGAUAAAAAAAUGUUUUAAUUUAGCAACGAUAGAGCAUCCACAAGGAAGAUGUUUUGCCUCUUUUUUUUUAAUUUGUUUUUGUUUAUUUGAUUAUAGGCUGGUUUAGAAUUCAGCUAACAUCUAAUAAAAUAUUUUUAUUCUUAGAAAUUUUGUGAAAAACAAUCAGAAAACUAAUUUAAUUAGGGAUUAUUAAUUGAGUAAUUAAUUACCUUAACCUUACAGAGGAUUUUCUUUUCUUUUAUUUUAUUUUUAGAAACAGCUAAUUUAAUCAAACCCCAAUAGCCUGAUUCUUGGAUCACAGAAGCUUGAGACAUGGCACGUGCUACAAGGAAAAAAGCAUGAUUGUGUUGAAAACCUUUAAGAUUGGACUGUCGCAUUCUAACAAUAAUGUUUGUACCAUUUAAUAAUAAUUGGACCCAACUUCACUUCAACUUUAUUUUAUAUUUAUAAUAAAUAAAAAGCAUGAUUGUGUUGAAAAUCUAUUUUCUGUUUUUAUUUUUCAAUUUUGAGAUGACUCCUCAGGAAACAAUUCCAACCAAUUAUUUGCCCUGGAAUUUGGAUGAUGUGUAAUUCCAAGCGGGCACGCUGCAUUUCUUAGCCAGGUGGAGCAAGAAUUGAGGUAGCUUGUUUCUGGCUUUUGCUUCUCUGGGUAUGAUUUAUUGGGCUACUUUAUAGGAUUUUUUAUAAAGCAUUUUGUUUUUAAUUUCAUUUGAUAAUUUAUUUCAAUAAGCUUGUUAUGGAGCUCUUGUGGUCUAAGAAGAAAAAACAAUUCAAUGUAGAGGUGAUUUUGUUCAAUUUAAUUGAUUAAAAAUAAGUGAAAUUUUGAAGGUCAAAUUUGAUAUUAAAAUUAUAUUCAAGACUGAAUGUGAUAUUAAAACUAAAAAUAAGUAAAAAGUUUUUACACUGGUAAAUGUUAUGAAAAGAAAUUGCUAUCCAGCUGGUGUACAGAUUGGAUAGCAAAUCAAGCGUUGAAGUUUUCUACUGCAGUGAAGCUCCCUCUCGUUUUGAUAAGUGUUCGAAAAUAUUUUAUUAUUUGUUUGUUUUUAUGGUUUAAAAAUAUGUUAAAAAAAUUAAUUUUUUAUUUUAAAUUUAAUUAAUUUUUUUGUGUUUUGAAAUUGUUUGGAUGUAUUGAUAUUACAAAUAAUUUUUUAAAAAAUAAUAAUUAAAUAUUAUUUUGAUAUAUUGUUAAACAAAAAAUAUUUUUAAAAAUAAUUGAUACUGCACUCUCAAACACCCCUCAAUGCUAUAUUAUUGAAAUAAAAUGCUAAAAUGUGAAUAGAAAUAAUAGAAAUUAAUGUGUAUUUUUUAAUUGAAUUUCUAUUUACUUUAUAUACUCUUAAACAGGUCUUUAUGUUUGACUUCAGAGUUUAUAGAAAAGCAAGUCAAGACCAAUCAAAUUCGAAGGAGUUAACCUAAUUUAACUGAUUAAAUUUUAAGUUUAUUCUUUAAAAGUUAUUAAUUUAAGUUUAUUUAUCCGUUAAAUUCACUUGGAACCAGCCUGGAUACACUAAAAGUAGUAAUGUUUUUUUUCUCUUGAAAACAGCCUGGAUGCACUUAAGUAUUUUAAUCACAACUUUCCCCUCACAUAUCAGCUUGCUGUGAUUCAUGACGCGUUGGAAAGGUAUCUUAAAGGGCUACAAAUUAGCCUCUAAUGAGGAUUUCGAAAAAAGAACUCCUAAAGCAUUUACGUGGCUGCCUAAGAAGUCCUAUAAUUUAGGUUUCUGAUGAAAACGUGCGGGAUCAUGGAGACGUGAUGAAAAAGGAGGGCUGCCUCUUUUAGAAAAAGGGGUAUUUGUUGGCAAUUGCGCCAGAGAAAAAAAGAAGAAGGAGAACAGGCAAGGAAAGGAAUGGCUAAUACAGUGAAGUAGUAAUAUUUUUUUUUGAUAUAUUGAUAUUAAAAAUAAAAAAAAUAUUUUGAUUACUAAUAACGAAUAGUUAAGAGACGUACUGGUGGACUUAACCUGAGUAAAAAACAAAACCACAUCAUAUUAUUUAUUUAUAAAAACUAAAACGAUGGUAUUUAUUAAAAAAAAAACUAAAAUAACAAUGUUUUUUUAAAUAGUAUUUUUUUAAAUAUUUUUAUUUUAAAAAAGUUUCACAUAGUUGUAGAUAAAAAAAAAAAAGAUGUUUUAAUUUAGCAACAAUAGUUAAGAGACGUAUUGGUGGACUCACAUAUUAACUGAUUAACCUGAAUAAAAAACAAAACCACAUCAUAUAUAUAUAUAUUGGGUUGGUGUUUAAUUUUAUAAUUAUCUAUUUUUAUUAUUAUAUUAUUAAAUAAAAACAAUUUUAAAAAAAAUUAUAAUCCUAGUUGAGUCCAUAACCUGGUUCAUGAGUUUGAUGUGCUAGACCAAGUGACCUGAUUCACAAAUUUGACAGGUUUACUACUGAUCGAAUAUGUUUUUUUUUUUGUUUAUGGUCUUUUAAUUUUUUUAAUUGAUUUUUUUUAUUUUGUCCUUCAAUAUUAUAUUGGUUUCGAAAUAGACUGCAUGAUUUAUUUUUGUUUGUUUUCUAUAGGAUUAUCAUAAUUUUAAAUAAAUAUUUAUCUUAGGGAUAAUACUCAAUUUUAUGAGCAUAUUUUUUUUUCAUAUAAUUAAAUAAAAAAAGCUUAUAAAAAAUUACUAAACCCAAUAAAAUCCAUGACCCGGGUCGCAAGGUACCGAGAUCGAUCAAAUCUGUUAUUAUUUCAAUAUUUUUUUUAAAAAGGUUGUUGUCUAGAGUUUUUUUCUUAAAGCUAAGCCAUGUUUUACUGAUCUUCUAAGUUAUAUUUGGAUAUUGAUCAAUUUAAAUUGAGUUAAUUUCCAUAUAAUUUAAUUAAAAACUUAAAUUAAAUAAAUUAUUAGGUUAAAUUUUUUUAAUAUUAACUACCUAACCAGGUUUAAUAAUAUCGCCAACAAACUUUCUUCACUCUUAAUAUCUUAUAAUAUAAUGUUUGGUAUGUAAAGUAGUGGGUUGCUUCCUAGCAACUUCCCUCCUAUCAAACAAAACAAUAAUUUGUGUAUACUGCAACUUUAUUAUUUUUCUAAAUCAUAUAAUCUUCUCUGAUCUGUGAUUUCUCUUCUGUUUUAAUCCUCAGGACGUACUAAUCAUCUUCUACCUCUUUUCCUUUCCACACCUCACCAGUGCGAACUAGAUUUAUGUGAUUUCUCUUCUCUUUUUUUUGGCUGAUUACUUCUCAAGCGAACCAGCACUUGAAUCCAGGUAAAUUAUUUGUACUUCAUCUUGUUGGUGUUUUUGUUUUUAUAUAUUUAACUAUGGUUUGAAUCUUUAAAGUAAUCCAUGCCUAGUGGAGAGUUCAUAUAUACUAAUUAAUACUGAAUUCAUUGCUUUCAUCUUUUCAAAAUUCUUUGCUGUUUUUAACUCAUUAUUUUAGAUUCACCCUUUUCUUUUCCAAUUAAUGGGACUGCCAUUGAUUUUUAUUCAAUAUUUUUCAACUUGAACAUUAGUAUUAUUUUCAACUAAUUAAUACUGAAUCACCACUGAUGACUCGAGGAUUCCACCUCUGGACCAUUAGCAUAAACUAGCAAUUAAUUAGAUUAACAUAAUUAAUUAUCUUGGAUUCUACUUCAUUAAUUGGGUACGUAGACGCUGCGAUCUGGCCCCCUGGAAACUUGAGGGGCACUUAUUGACAGUGGCUAACAUUAAUGUGACCCCUUCAUGAAUAUAUAUGAUUUCUUCUGGAUUCUUGUGAAGAAUACUGUUUGGUGUAGAUCUUUAGCCCCUGUGAACUUUCAGGAAAUGCUGCCGUGUAACUGUUAGCUUUUUUUUUUUUUUAGUUUAACAUGGGUGUCCGGGCCAGCUUGCACGUACCUCGACUAAUCCCAUUGGCCCUGAAGUUAACGAUCAUGUAAGCCUCCAAUGGUCAUCAUAUACACAUGACUCGAACCUGAAAUUACAAAAAAAACAAAUUUCUUGUUCCCAAGCUCUUACCAGUAUAACUAUUAGCUUUCAUUUAACCGAUCUGCUUAGUGACCUCACAAAUAUGGGAACUGGGAUCCAUAUUUAAUUAUGACAAAAAAAAAAAAAAAACCAACCCUUUUCAUGUUGUCAUCAACUUUAAAUGAACUGAUAGUGCUUCAAUUAUUCCUCUGGAGUAGACACCCAUGUUACUUUUAUGUAUUAAAUUAGUAUGGUUUGCUAAGAAUACCUUCUUGAAAAAAGGAACCAUAAGUAAUGGGAUUAACCUACCCAAGGUUAGGGUUAAGUUCAAAAUGGCCUUGGAGUCAUAAACUUAAAUAAAAUAAAAAACAUAUUAUAAGAUAUUACGAAUCCUUUUCAGAGGCUUGUACUUGAUGCUGCAGAAUAUAAGUUAUAGUAAAAAAUGGAAAUGGGACUUUGCGUGAUAAAUUAUAUGUUAGAAUAAUGUCACACAAGGGCAGGGGAAUCUUAACAAGCUAGCAAGGAUAUAUACAUAUAUAUAUAGUACACCACCAUAACAUCCAACAUACCUCACUAAUUAUUAAUUAAUUCUCGAACUUUGAGAACUUAAAGAAUAAAAAAUAUUCGCAAUCAGUUAAUUACCCCUCUCUUCACUGUAUUAAAGACCUCCAAAACAAUCAGCUCUUCUACCUUCAACAGUUAUCCUGCAUCUUUCUAUCUAUCAUAAAAAUAAUUUGAGUAUGAUAAUUUAUCUUAAAAGACAAAGGAUUAAAUCAUUAACAACAACAUUUAUAUUUCAUAUUUUUCAUCCGAAUUUCUUUAACAAACAAGAAAGUCAUAUAUAUAUAUAUAUUCUUUUCUGAUCUGUGCUUUCUGUUCUUUUAAGACCUCAGUUUUUUUUGUCUUUUCUGAUCUUUUCUGGUCAGAUGGAAGAGUUCCAACCAUCUUUUAUGGAGGAGGUUGACAACAUGACAUGGGAUCAGCUGGGUUUUCAAUCAGAAGAAGAUACAUUCAAUAUGUCUGAGCUUCUCUCGUACGUCAUUCUUAAGCAUAUUUUAUCAGAAGAUGAUUGCUUGCAGUUUAGUUAUUCUUCAGUUUAUCCUAUUAUUCCCAAAAAACAAUAUAAUGUCGUCACUGUCCAUGGAAGCAGGCCGCCACCGGAGGUUCCAGUCAACCAAAGCUCCAUAUCAUGCAAUGAUCAAGGUGGACAGAACAAUGUGAUCAACAAUAGUAUUCAACAAACAACUCCGUUUCCAACUUCAUUUCCUGAAACAAUGGUGAGUACUCCAAGCUUACUCCAAUUUGCUACAAUGUCCAUUGAAUUAGCAAGUGUUUGUAUUAUACAAAAAGUUUUAUGUUAAACAAACAGACAACAAUUGAGAGAUUUAGACAUUUUUUAUGAUAUUUUUUAUCAUUAAGUUUUAUAUAAAAUUGGCCUCAAACUCCAUCAAGGCAUCAUAAUUCCUUUAUUCAUCAACCUCAGCCGGGACAUGGCUAUAUGACACCGAACGCAACCACUUCACAACAUGGUGGCUUCAAUCAACCUGGACCUUCUUUUCCUCCUCCCCGGUAUCCAAUUUUUCAUGUUUAGUAUUUUCUGUAAAAAAAAAAUAGUUUUUCAAUCAUUAUUUAACUUCUUCUUCCUCCUCCUCUUGUUGUUGUACUUAUCAGUGAAUUCAUUAACAAAUGUUGCUAAUUUAGGGACCAACAAUGGACUCAUUAUCUGUUACCAAUGAGCAAUCAAGUGCCUGCGAUGCUACCUGGACCUCAACCUCCAAUGAAUCAAUGGUAUUAACCUCGAAUUUACGCUUUUUUAAUCAUGAAAACAAUAAACUUGACCAAAAUUGACGAGGAUCUUUCAAGUCUUUUUGAGCUCUCUAUCUCUCUUUUUUUGUGCACAUAAUGGAACUAGAAAAUCAACCAAGUGAGCAUAACAGUUCUAAGUUUAACUAUUUGAAUAUUCUUCAGGCAUCAGAACUCCUUUAUUCAUCAACCUCAGCCGGGACAUGGCUAUAUGACACCGAACGCAACCACAUCACAACAUGGUGGCUUCAUUCAACCUGGACCUUCUUUUCCUGCUCCCCGGUAUCCAAUUUUUCAUGUUUAGUAUUUUCUAUAAAAAAAAAUUAGUUUUUCAAUCAGGAAAGAAACAUCAUAGCUUGAACAUGAACCCAACAAGCUAAACAUAUUGUUUGCAAAUGAUUUUGGAUUCAGGAGUCAAUAUUUUUCUAAUCAAGGACAAGUCGAUCAAGCUGCUGUAAUUCCUAACAUGGACAAUGUGCAACAAGAGAACUUCGUGCCUAGGUACUGAGUGACUUCUAGCUGUUGUGUUUUAACACCAUUAACUUUUACUGCUUAAGAGAGACUACCAAUUAUGGAAAGGUUUUAUAAUAUGAUCACUUCAUUUAUAUAUAGGUCAUAGAUAACCUCCAAGUCCGAGGAUUGCGAAAUCAAACUGCUAGGCCAAAUGCCUCAAAUCCUGGCCUUGGAUUGCAAGAUCAAACUGCUAGGCCAAAUGCCUCAAAUCCUGGCCCUGACACCUCCCUGCAAAGUCAAAUUAGGGGUUUAAAUACUCAACAAGUAAGAAGUCUAACUGAAUUAUCGUAGUCUUUUUCCCCUCUAUGAUUGUGCAAUAAAAUACCUAUCAAUUUUAAUAGCAAAAUAAGGGUAACAACACUGAAGUAGUUUCUUAUCCAUCCGGAUAUGGUGUAACUUGAUUCGUUAAUUUUUAUUCCAUAUUUUGACUGAUUUUUAUUCUAUACUUUGACUUCUUUUUUCUCUGUAGGUCGAAAUGGUUGGAUCAAAUGAUCCGUUUUGGAAUUAUAUUGAAAAAAAGUCUGAUGGUAGCAUGGAGUGUAAGUUUUGUCAACAUACAUGGGCCAAUAAAACUUCCAUUUCAAGGUUCAAAUGGCAUUUAUCAGGAGAGGAACGACAUGGUGUUGCCAUUUGUCGUGAGGUGACUAAAGAAGUUCAAGAAGCAGCCUUUCUAGCUAUGUGUUGUGGCAACAAAAGACAUAAAAUCACAGCAAGUUCAAUCAAUGUUAAUGAUUGUGGAAUUUCAACAAUGGUAGGAGGUAUUGGAAGGGUACAAAGAGAAGUUCAGGUUGUAGAACCCGGGGUAGGGGAAGAGAGGAUUUCUUCUCAUGCAAUAGCAGGAAACGACGUAGUAAGCAUGACCGGAAUGUGAGCACAAGAAGAUAGAGUUUUCGAAGGGACACUCGAGAGCAGACUGAGGACAGAACCAGUGGAUCGAGCGUUGGAACAAAGCAAUGCAGUGCUGGAAGGAUACAAGUGGGAGUUCAGGGCAUGGAACAAGGUCCCGGAGAAGAGAGAAUUCAGUCGCAUUUACAAGCGGAAAAUGGCAUGGAAAACACUGGUGAAGGAUCUUUUCGGCAUGAUGCAUUUGCGACUAUACCAGGAACAGAGCAAGUGCAGCUUCUGGAGCCUCGAGGAGAUUCAUCCCAAUUUUGUCUUGACACUGGAAGAUGUUAUGAUCAACCUUGUGCUCCAUCAGUAAACGAUGAUGUAACUAGGCAUGAUGCACUGGACAUGGUUAGAGUGAGGACAGAACCAGUGGAGGAGGAGGAUGCGGAGAAUAAUGGAAGAUCAGUAGUCCAGGCUGGCGCAGGAGCUAGAUCUUCUGAAAGUCUGAAAUACAACAAGACUAGAGGAGUUCCAUUACCUACUAGCUCUAUAAAGCCAGUGGGCCAAGCAUUUAAAGAAAAUACGAAGGUGCUAUGGUCUUUGAUAAUGGACGGUAAAGUCCCAAUCAUUGGCAUUUAUGGGAUGGGGGGAGUUGGUAAAACAACAAUACUGCAACAUAUCCAUAAUGAACUUCUACAAAAACCAGAUAUUUGUGAUAAUGUUUGGUGGGUGACUGUGUCUCAAGAUUUCAGCAUUAAUAGAUUGCAAAAUCUUAUUGCCAAACGUCUUGAUCUAAACCUUUCAAGCGAAGAUGAUGAUCUACUUGGAGCUGCCGAACUGUCAGAAGAACUAAGGAAGAAACAAAAAUGGAUUCUCAUUCUAGAUGAUUUGUGGAACAAUUUUGAGCUACACAAAGUGGACAUUCCUGAGAAGUUGGAAGGAUGCAAGCUGAUUAUGACAACUCGAUCAGAAACGGUUUGUCAUCGGAUGGUUUGCCAGCACAAAAUCAAAGUGAAGCCACUUUCUAAUGGAGAAGCAUGGACUUUGUUCAUGAAGAAGCUUCGACGUGAUGUAGCACUUUCACCAGAAGUGGAAGGAAUUGCGAAAGUUGUUGCAAGGGAAUGUGCUGGUUUGCCAUUGAGAAUUAUUACAGUGAUAGGAAGCUUGAGGGGAGUGGAUGACCUACAUGAAUGGAGAAAUACAUUGAACAAAUUGAGAGAAUCAGAAUUUAGGGACAAGGAAGUAUUCAAGUUAUUGAGGUUUAGUUAUGAUCGGUUAGGUGAUUUAGCACUACAACAAUGUCUCUUGUAUUGUGCAUUAUUUCCUGAAGAUCAUAGGAUUCAGAGGGAGAGGUUGAUAGGUUAUUUGAUCGAUGAAGGGAUAAUUAAAGUAAAGAGGAGCAGGGGAGAUGCAUUUGACGAGGGUCACACGAUGCUUAAUAGACUUGAAAAUGUCUGCCUAUUGAAAAAUGCUAAAAUGAUGCAUGUUGCUUGUAGAUUUGUCAAGAUGCAUGACUUGAUUAGGGACAUGGCCAUCCAUAUACUGCUAGAGAGCCCUCAAUACAUGGUUAAAGCAGGUGCGCAAUUAAAAGAGUUGCCAGAUGCAGAGGAGUGGACGAAGAAUCUGACGAUAGUUUCACUAAUGCAAAAUAGAUUUAAAGAAAUUCCUUCCAGCCAUUCACCUAGGUGUCCCUAUCUAUCAACUCUAUUGCUAUAUCAAAAUCAUGGGUUGGGAUUUAUUGCGGAUUCAUUUUUCAAGCAAUUGCAUGGGCUCAAGGUCCUCGAUCUGUCUUGCACAGGUAUUGAAAAUUUGCCGGAUUCUGUGUCUGAUUUAGUGAGUCUCACUGCAUUAUUGCUCAAUGAUUGUAAGAAAUUAAGACAUGUUCCAUCAUUAAAGAAGCUCAGGGCACUGAAGAGGUUGGAUCUCUUUCAAACUUUUCUUGAUUGGAUGCCGCAUGGAAUGGAAUGCCUAACCAACCUGAGGUAUCUUAGAAUGAAUGGAUGUGGUGAAAAGGAGUUUUCUAGUGGGAUAUUACCAAAACUCUCUCACCUGCAAGUCUUUGGACUAGAGGAAACGUUAAUUGAUCGAAGAUAUGCUCCGAUAACAGUUAAAGGAAAGGAAGUAGGAUCCUUGAGAAAUUUGGAAACUUUGGAAUGCCAUUUCGAAGGUUUCUUUGACUUCAUGGAGUAUCUCAGAUCUCGGGAUGGGAUCCAAUCAUUAAGCACAUAUAAAAUUUUAGUAGGAAUGGUGGAUUAUUGGGCAGACAUUGAUGAUUUUCCAAGUAAAACAGUUAGGUUGGGUAAUUUGAGUAUCAACAAAGAUGGAGAUUUUCAGGUCAAGUUCUUAAAUGACAUUCAAGGACUGGAUUGUGAACGCAUCGAUGCAAGAAGUUUAUGUGAUGUUUUGUCAUUAGAGAAUGCAACUGAACUGGAGGAAAUCAUCAUUGAGGAUUGCAAUAGCAUGGAGAGCUUGGUUUCAUCUUCUUGGUUCAGCUCUGCUCCACCACCAUUGCCAUCAUAUAAGGGUAUGUUUUCUGGUCUUAAAGUGUUUUAUUUUAGUAGAUGUAACAGUAUGAAGAAGCUGUUCCCACUUGUGUUGCUGCCAAAGCUCGUAAACCUGGAAAGCAUUGGAGUUAGUGAGUGUGAGAAAAUGGAGGAGAUAAUAGGAACAACAGAUGAAGAAGAUGAAGAAAGUAGCACCUCCAAUCCCAUCACGGAAUUAACACUCCCAAAGUUAAGAACUCUGGAAGUGCGUGCUUUACCAGAACUGAAAAGCAUUUGCAGUGCAAAAUUGAUUUGCAUUUCUCUUGAACAUAUUAGUGUAACGCGUUGUGAGAAGCUGAAGAGGAUGCCAAUUUGUCUUCCGUUGCUUGAACAUAUUGUUAAUCCUUCCGUUGUAAGAAUACUAAUUGAUUGUAAGCUUAAAUUUGCUCAUAUUCAAUAAUAUAUCAUUCUUUCAAUCAUUUUUGUUAAAAAUCAUGUGCAAAACAUAAUUAUUUUCGAUAUGAAUGAUGAAAAUAAUCCUUUAAAUCAACAAGGAUAUUCUUAUUAAUUUAUAUUGAAAUAGUCAUUCGUCCCUUUGUACCAUUUUUUUUAACUCGAUAGACAAAUAAUUAUAAUUUGAAGUUUGAUUAAUAUUAUAUUUUUAUCCUAUUGAGUUUCUCCAAGAUGAAAAUCCAAAAAAAAAAAAAAUACUAUAUUGAUUUAUCAUUAAAGUAACCUAAUAAAAUAAUAGAUCUAUUCACUAGUAUAAAUCAUCUAAAAUCAUUAACUAGCAAUAAAUUAUUUUUUCAAUAUAUAAUACAGAUUAAAAAGAAUAAAGAGAGAGAGAGAAGACACUUUUAUAAGGAUAUAUUUAGAAUAAAAUUUCAUACCUCUAUCUAUUCUAUUUUCCUCGUACAAAAAUUCAUUCUAUUUUUCUAUAUUUCUCAGGAUUUUUUAAUCUAUAUUUUUAAGUUUUUUCUGUUUUUAUAAACAACAUAUAUAAACAAAAACUAGAAGGAUUGGUUAAUCAAUUCCUCAAGAUUUUUUAAUUUGUAUUUUAAAGUUUUUUCUGUCUUUAUGAACAACAUAAAAAAUAAACUAAAAGAAUUGGUUAAUCCAAAGACGGGUGUUUCUAAAGGUUGUGUUUUUUUUCAUUUGAUGUUAAUAUCAUAGAAAUUGUGAAGGGUGCAAAAGCUAAAUUGUGAAGGGUGCAAAAACUGCAUAUUGCAUCUGGUUGUGAAGGGUGCAAAAACUGCAUAUUGGCGGCAACAAGUGCCUGGUGGUUUUGUCUGAGUAAAAGGGAUAGAUGCUAAGUUAAGAGUUCAAGGAAGAGAGACAAAAGGUGGAAGGGACAAUUGUGUCGAUUGUUGGUUACAUUAUUGUUAAUAAAAAUGUAAGAAUUUAGGAGCAUGAGAGAACAUUUUCACAAUGAAGAUUAAUUCAUCUCCACAGCAGAAUACAGGAAAAAAAAAAUUAAAUCAAUAAAAGUAAGGUAUUUCAUCUCUUCGAACAUUCUUGAAUUCUGGUCAAUUCAAAUCACAACAAACAUCGUAAACAAUGUCAAAAGUAUUCUUCUACCUCAGUGAAUUUCAGUACAACUACUGCACACAAGAUGCUUAAUUCAUCAAAUGCUAAUUCCUGUCUAUCAACUCGGUUUGGGAAAAUAACUGAAAAACUCUGUUAAAUGAGUUCCUGUGGUUUUGAUGAGUCUAUGAAAGUGCAUUCUAUCAUUGGAAUAAAAUGCUAAAAUGUGAAUAAAAAUAAUAGAAAUUAAACAGACAAGUCAAGGCCCAGGAGUCGUGAAAUUCACUUUGAACCAGCCUCCACACACUUGAGUAUCUUAAUCAUAACUUUCCACUCACAUAUCGGAUUGCUGUGAUUCUUGACGCGUUGGAAAGGUAUCUUGAAGGGCUACAAAUUAGCCUCUAAUGAGGAUUUCAAAAAAGGAACUCCUAAAGCAUGUACGUGGCUGCCAAAAAAGUCCUAAAAUCUAGGCAAUUUGUUUCUGACACAACGGGGAUCAUGGAGACGUGAUUUUAGGGAUUUAUGUAGUUUAUGGAUUCACUCAUGUUUCUUCCAUUAAAUGGAUUAAAUCUUUGAUUAUAUUUGGAUCAUUUAUUUAUCUGUAUUGAUUUGAUUUCUUUACUAUAAUAUUGCUCUUAGUAUAUUGUGGUAAUUAAUUUAAUAUAAAAAAUCUAAAUUAGUAGUCUUUGAGGUUACUUAAAUUAAAUAUUGGUGCCUAGCUUUUAUUUAUUUAUUCAUUUAUUUCUAAAUACUGACCUUAAAAAAUUAUUGAAUUUGUAAUUCAACCAAAUAAAAUAUUACCAAUCUAGUUCAUAUCUAGCCAGAUUAAUAAAAAAGGAUAAAAUGAUAUUUACUGUACAAAGUGAUUGUUGGCAAUCAAUUCCUGGAUCAAGAAGAUAAGGUCCAGCCAUGGAGUAUAUACUUGGAUUGAAAAAUAAAAACUAAUAAUCUACAGAAUGGGUUCAUGUUAACUGAGGAUGAGGUCUGAUGCACCUAGCUACCGACUUUAAUAUUUUCAUUUAAGGAAUUGCAGCGUUGUGUCCCGAGGGAGGCCAACAGGCAAAUACUAAUAUCAUUUUUUUAUUUUUUAUUUUUUAUUGUAAAUUUAUUUUUGAAAAAAAAUUAAAUUUUUUAUUUUAAAUUAUUUUUUUAAAUAUUUUCAAAUUAUUUUAAUAUACUGAUAUUGAAAAUAAAUUUUAAAAAAACAAAAAUAUUAUUUUUAAUAUAUUUUUAAAUAAAAAAUAUUUUAAUAAUCAACCGUGAUCUUAAUUUCAAACUGUCAGUGCCCUAUACCAAACUAUAUUAUCAACAAGAUUUUCCUCAGAUGAAUUAAAGCAUUCUGCAUUUGACACAACUUGAAAACAUGUUUCUUCUUAAAUUAUUAUACCUGUGUUUUUUAAAAUCUAAAUAUUUGAGAAUGUGGCCGCUGAAAGCUUACCUGAUCGUUAAAUUCAGGACCCAUAAAAAUUAAUCGAGAUGCACGUACGUAAGCUGGCCCGGACACCUCACGUGAAUAAAAAAAACAAUGCAUCAAUUAAUUAUUAUUUGAGCUGAUUAUUUUAUUUUUAAUUUUAUUUUUAUAGGGAUUUAAGGCUGAUAAUUUGUUUUAAUUAACUUAUUGUGAAGUUCUCAAGGUUAAAAAAAAAAUAUUUGAUUUGAUAAAAUUUUGUUCAGUCUAAUUCAUUAAAAAUAAUUGAAACUUUGAACAUCAAAUAUGAUACUGAAAUCAAAAGGUAGCCUGGUGUGUUUUUCAAAAUUCUGUUUCUAGAGUUUUUGCAUUUUUUAUUUUUAAUUUUGAUUUAAAAUUUUAUUUUAUUCACUUUUUAGUUUAUAAAUUUGAGAUUAAAAAAAAUCACUAAAAACUCGGAAAAAAAUAGAAAAUUAUUGGCCGACAAUUUUGGCAACAAGAAAACACGAUCAUCUUUGUAUUAAUGAAAAACUAGUGUGUAGAUUGGAUAGCAAAUCAUACUUUAUAGGUCGAGGGCUAAAAAUAUAAAUUUGUAAAAGGGUGUUCGAAAAAAAAUAAUUUCCAUGGGUAUGGAAAAGUUCAAUAAGUCCUGGUUGAAGAGGCUUAUAUACGAAACGCCUCAAAAUAAUCCCUGGAGCAGGAGAUUCAAUUAACCGAGAUUCAGGAGAUGAAAUUGCACCUCAACCGUCAAUGGGUUUAGCCAGGGCAUUUAUAACACGACCCAAAUACGCCUCACUCACUGGUAUCUGAGCAAUUUUUCCUGUUGCUUUUACAAAACUUCUCUCUUGUAUCAUCAAGCCGUCACCCAUUAAUACAACACCAACAUUAUUUGAUUCCAAAUUAAGAGCAAUGCCUAUCGUACCCUCUUCAAAUUCUACCAAAUCACCUGCCACAAUGCCGUCACCCACAUGAAGUACAGUCCCAGUAUUUACAAUCUUUACUUCCCUAUUAUAUUGCUCAAUGCUUUCACGGAUAAUACUACUAAUCUCGUCGGCUCGAAUGAUUACCAUGAGUAUUUCUUAUUUUUUUUUUUUGGAAAAAAAAAUAAUGCCUACAGUAGAAGGUCUGAUUGGUGGAAUAACUAUCAUAGAAUAAGAUAAUAUUUGAUGUUGCGACAAUAAUAAUUUUUAAAAAUAUUUUUUAUUUAAAAAUAUAUUAAAAUAAUAAUUUUUUAUUUUUUAAAAUUUAUUUUUAAUAUUAACACAUUAAAAAAUUUAAAAUUAUUUAAAAAAUUAAUUUAAAACAAAAAAAUAUUAACAUACUGUGACAUUAUUGUUAUUUUUUUCGUGGUGUUGUUUGUUCUAGGUAGGGCCGGAAAGGUCACGGAAUGGAGAGUUGCUGCUAACCAUUAACCCAUGACAUGGCUCAAAUGAGUGAGACUAAUUAAAAGUCUGUAAAAAUGUAUCAAGUGACUGUUUGCAAUUAAUAUUUUUGAAUUGUUUUUGGUAUAGAAGUUCUUUUUUAACCUACUCUUAAGGUAAAAUACUUCUCGUCUACUUAAUAAUUCUGUCAUAACUAGCCUCACUCAACCCACAAUCCGACUUGAUGGUGAACUUCUGUGUCACAGCCGACAAUUUACUAUAAUUAAUGCAACCAUUCCAUAAUGGUUCAUCGGAAUCUUUCAAUAGAUAAAAAAACCUGGCCGCAUCUGCAUUAAGUUCUUCUUCUACAAUUGGACAUUGACUAACAUUACCUUAAUUCAUUCUCAUUGCAUCUAUAACCAUAAUCUUGCAAGGAUUACUGUUGUCAUUUACAACUCCAUGCACGUUGCUAGCACUAGAAGUUGACCCAACCAUUCUUUUUAUCAUGCUCUCAUUACGAACAAAUAAUUCUUUGUGUAACCAAUACAAGUAAUCCUCCAUAAACCGGCCACUUGUGUGGAAGAUGCAUCGUUACAACAUCUGGAUGCAUAUACUUUUUAUUUUUACACUUUCUGCGUGGACACCUAAUACUGCCCCCACUAAAAUUUCUCAGAAUAGAUGUUGCAAAAUUAAUAAAACCCUGAACCCCAUUACAAUAAUCCAUCGAUGAACGACCAUCCAUGACCUCUAUAAAAUAAUGAUGACAACAUGUAUUGAUUAAUUAUGUUAAGUAAAUAAAUUUAUAAAAAUAUUGGUUUAACUCGAGAUUAUCCAACAAACUAAUUAAAACUUAUCUUAAAUUUUAAUUAUCAAUUAUCAACGUCCAUACAAAUUUAUACACAUAAAUUUACAUAAAUUACAACUCCGCAAUAGCGUUGAUAAAAAUUAAAACGGAUACAUUAAACAAGCUAUUAUUUAUUUAUUACAACAUAUCUAAUACGGUAAUUCGACAUAAAUUUCAACAAUUUAUAAACAAAUAUAAUUUUACAAAAUCUAAAACAAAACAUAACAAGUACAAAAUUAUACAUUCAUACUACAAGUUUGUUUGAGAAAAAAUUAAAACUUGUACUUACCCUAACAAAAUACAUAUACUAAAAAAAAUUAAAUAAUAAUAAAAUUGACAUUUUAAUAUUAAAAAUAAAAAAUAUAGAUUUACUUAUAAAAAAUAACAAAACCACAAUAAAUCAGAACACGGAUAUUGUGACUACAAAAAAUAAAGAAGAAUUAUUUGUGUUGAGAAGUGAGGGAUGUUUUGGGGGUGGUUAUUUGCAGCUUGGGAGGUGAGAGUUUGUUUAGAUGCAUGUAUGUGGAAGAAGAAGGAGAAAUAGGGGAGGGGAGGUUCGACAACUUGGUGAUAUAUUAACUUUUACCGAUGGAAUCACCGACGAAAAUAUUUUAUCGAUGAUUCCAUCAGUGAUUCUGACGGUAAAGGGGUCAUGUCACUGUACGGAGAUCCUGGUUUGAAUCCCUCGGUAAUUUCGUCGGUAAAAUCACUCGCAAAAUCUUCCACGUCAAUGACCUGCUUUUUUUUCUUUCAAAAUUCUAUAUAUUUCGUUCGUAAUUCUAUCGGUAUAUACCGACAAACGUAUUCCGUCAGUAUAUACCAACGGGUUUACUGAUUGAUUUACAUCCGUCGGUAAUUAUUACCGCAAAUUACCGAUAGAAAAAUAUUGUCGAUAAUUCCGUUGGUUUUAGUCGAAUUUCUAGUUGUGAUAUUGAUUUGGUGAAAUUUGAUCGAUUCAAUCAAACCAAUCUAGUUCAUAUCUAACCAUAUUAAUAAAAAAAAGAAUGAAAUAAUAUUAUUUUAAUAAAAAUAAUUAUUCUGAAUUAACUUAAUAAAUGACUUAUAAGUUAUUAAAUAUCUGGUGCUAUAUUAAAAAAUUAACUUAAUAAAUGACUCAUAAGUUAUUGGCAAAAUACAGGUAUAAUCGGAGUACACCAUGUUGUCAAAAAGACACAAGUCUUGAAUUUUACUUUUAUUCUUGUUUUUUUUUAAAAAAUUGGAAAGGCAGGUAUACUAUCAAUAUUUUUUUUUUUUUACUUUGUAUGCUUUCCUCUGUUGCUAAUAUCCACCUCAGCAUGUACCAUCUGGUUAUAAACACCUUGGGUAAAUCAAGAUAUAAUAGAAAAACAUUCACUGUAGUUUGUCUCACAAAAAUUUCAUGGUUUUUGUCCUUUAUAACUUGAUAGAUACGAGGCAAGGAGUUAGGAGGUAGUAGCUUUUAUUUAUUUAUUCAUUUAUUUCUAACUACUGACCUUAAAAAAAUAUUGAAUUUGUAAUUCAACCAAAUAAAAUAUUGAUUUGGUGAAAUUUGAAUGAUUCAAUCAAACCAAUCUAGUUCAUAUCUGGCCAGAUUAAUAAUAAUAAAAAAUGAUAUUGACUGACUAGAUUAUUUGGUAUAACAGCAGUGCACCAUGCUGCCCAAAAGACACAGUCUUAAUUUUAUUUUUCCCUUUUUUUUUUGAAAACCGGGAAGGCAGGUAUACUAUGAUUGACUUCGGCAGUCGGUAGGAAUUAUUUUUUAAAGCAUUUUUUUUCAUGUGUAAAUAUAUUAAAUAAUUUUUUUAUUUUUUAAAUUUAUUUUAAUAUUAAUGUUUCAAAAUAAUUCAAAAAUAUUAAAAAAAUUAAUUUAAAAUAAAAAAAAAUCAAGUUUUUUUUAAAAACAUGAUUCCACUGUGAAAUUAUUAUUAUUUUUGCCGGGGAGUUGGUUGUUCUACGUAGGGUCGGAAAGGUCACGGAAUGAAGAGUUGCUGGUAACCAUUAAUCCAUGACAUGGCUUAAAUGAGUAAGGCUAAUUAAAAGUAUGUAAAACUGUAUCAAGUGACUAUUUGUAAUUAUUAUUUUUGAAUUGUUUUUACGUGGUAAUAUAAAAAAAAUUAAAAAAAUUAUUAUUGAGCUGACCUUACUAAUAAAUAGUAUUAUUUAAGGGAGCUAGCGGCUGUAACGUUCUCUUCCACAUCUCAUCUCAUUAUACAAUUCCCUAUUUUCCUUUCCCCAUCUCAUGAUCUGUGAUUUCUCUUCUUCUUUUUUUCUAAGCCAUAUAUUUUUCUAAGCCAUAUAUUCUUCUCUGAUCUGUGAUUUCUCUUCUUCUUUUUUUGGCUGAAUACUGGUCAAGCGAACCAGCACAUCUUGAAUCCAGGUUAAUUAUUUGUACUUCAUCUUGUUGGUGUUUUUGUUUUUAUAUUUGUAACUAUGGUUUGAAUCUUUAAAGGAAUCCAUGAUAAAUAAAUUGAUCUUUUUCUCGGAUUUUAUAAUCCAUGCCUUGUGGAGAGUUCAUACUAAAUCAAUACUGAAUUCAUUGUUUUCGUCUUUUCAAGAUUCUUUGCUGUUUUUAACUCCUUAUUUUAGAUUCACCCUUUUCUUUUCCAAUUAAUGGGACUGCCAUUCAUUUUUAUUCAAUAUUUUUCAACUUUUUUUUUUCUUACAAUGAUUCAAUGAAUUAACUUGAUCAAUAAUUACCUGAAUCUUUUUGAACAAAACAAUAUCCUAUUAUUUUUGUGUCUGUUUUAUAAUGUGUAACUAAGGGUUAAAAUAGAGGAAAUUGAUUUUUGAAAUUAACAAAAAUAAUCUUGCUUUCGUUUUGCUCUUCUACUUUCCUUCCCUUGCUUUCUUCAACAGUUAUCCUGCGUCUUUCUAUCUAUCAUUCUAGAGUUUUAGGAUCUCGUGUCAUAUAAAGAAUUUGAGUAUGAUAAUUUAGCUACAAAGACAAAGGAUUAAAUCAUUAACAACAACAUUUAUAUUUCAUAUUUUUCAUCCGAAUUUCUUUAACAAACAAGAAAGUCAUUCAUAUAUAUAUAUAUAUAUAUAUAUAGAUAGAUAGAUAGAUAGAUAUUCUUUUCUGAUCUGUGCUUUAUGUUCUUUUUAGACCUCAGUUUUUUAUGUCUUUUCUGAUCUUUUCUGGUCAGAUGGAAGGGUUCCAACCAUCUUUUAUGGAGGAGGUUGACAACAUGACAUGGGAUCAGCUGGGUUUUCAAUCAGAAGAAGAUACAUUCAAUAUGUCUGAGCUUCUCUCGUACGUCAUUCUUGAGCAUAUUUUAUCGGAAGAUGAUUGCUUGCAAUUUAGUUAUUCUUCAGUUUAUCCUAUCAUUCCCAAAAAAACAAUAUAAUGUCGUCACUGUCCAUGGAAGCAGGCUGCCACCGGAGGUUCCAGUCAACCAAAGCUCCAUAUCAUGCAAUGAUCAAGGUGGACAGAACAAUGUGAUCAACGAUAGUAUUCAACAAACAACUCCGUUUCCAACUUCAUUUCCUGAAACAGUGGUGAGUACUCCAAUUUGCUACAAUGCCCAUUGAAUUAGCAAGUGUUUGUAUUAUACAAAAAGUGUUUGCAUUUUUGUUUUUAAUUUCAUUUGAUAAUUUAUUUCAAUAAACUUGUUAUGGAGCUCUUGUGGUCUAAGAAGAAGAAACAAUUCAAUGUAGAGUUGAUGUUUGACUUAACAAGAUUUUGUUCAAUUUAAUUGAUUAAAAAUAAGUGAAAUUUUGACCGUCAAAUUUGAUAUUAAAAUUUUGAAGAUAAAUAUUGAAGACUGAAUUUGAUAUUAAAACUAAAAAUAAGUAGAAAGUUUUUACAAAGGUAAAUGUUAUGAAAAGAUCGAAAUUGCUAUCCAACUGGUGUGCAGAUUGGAUAGCAAAUCAAGCUAUGUUGAAGUCUUCUACUGCAGUGAAGCUCCCUCUGGUUGCUUGAAGCUAAUGCCUGAUUGUUGCGUUCCUGGGUUUUGAUAAGUGUAUGAAAGUCUAUUUUAUUGUUUUUGUGUUUUAAAAAUAUUUUUUAAAAAUUAAUUUUUUAUUUUAAAUUUAUUCUAACUCUUUUGUUUUAUCAUUCUCAAAGUCCAAACAACAACGGUACUGUCAAGAUUGUUAUGCUUAUGCCCGCAAUCGAAACAUAAUUUGUUUUUGUACUCAGAGUUAUGUUUAUUAAAAAAUCUGGUUAUUUUAAAAAAUAUAUUAAAUUAAUGUUCCAAAGUUUAGUAGUUAAGAAAUGUAUUCCAAAGUUUAGUUUACUGGUUGACUCACAUAUUAACUGAAUAACCUGAGUAAAAAAAGAAAACCACAUCAUAUUAUGAUGGUGUUUAUUAAAAAAACUAAAAUAACAAUUUUUUUUUAAUAUUAUCUUCUUAAAUAUUUUUAUUUUAAAAUUUUUUCACAUAAUUGUAGAUAAAAAAAAAAUUGUUUUAAUUUAGCAACGAUAGAGCAUCCACAAGAAAGAUAUUAUACGGUUAUUAAUUUUCAUUAAAAGAAAAGCUAAGAGACUUGGGAGAACUACUAUAUAUCCACACCUAUUUCAUAAAUUACAAUAGUACGUAAUUCAAGGUGUUUUGCCUUUUUUGUUUUGUUUUUUUAAAAUUUCUUUUUGUUUAUUUUAUAAUAGGCUGGUUAUAAUUCAGCUUUAAUUUAUUAAUUUUUAUUCUAUUUUUUUAUAAGAUUAACGUAAUUUAUAGGUUUGUUAAAAUAACUUAAAUUAUAGUUUUCAGAUUUGGUGGGAUAUUUUUUUGUUUAUUAAUUAAAAGAAAAACUAAAAGGUGUAAGAGAAUCACUAUUUACCCACACUCAUUUCAUUAUGGAUUACAAUAGUAAUCUAUAGUGUUUUGUCUUUUCUGUUUUUUUUCCUUUCCUUUCCUUUUUUUUUAUCAUUUUUAAAAAUAAGUUUUUGUCUAUUUCAUAUUUGGGCCGAAUUAGCAUAUAUAUAUAUAUAUUGGGUUAGUGUUUAAUUUUACAAGUAUAAGUAUCUAUUUUUGUUAUCAUAUUAUUAAAAAAAAAUAAUUUUUUAAAAAAGUAUAAUCCUAGUUAAAUCCAUAACCUUGUUCAUGGGUUUGAUGUGCUAGCCCAAGUUACCUGAUUCACGAGUUUGACAGGUUUAUCAAUUGAUCGAAUAUGUUUUUUUUUUUGUUUCUGGUCUUUUAAUUUUUUUAAUUGAUUUUUUUUUUAAUUUUGUCCUUCAAUAUUAGAUUGGUUUGGAAAUAGACUAAAUGAUUUAUUUUUAUUUGCUUUCUAUAGGGUUAUCAAAAUCUUAAAUAAAUAUUUAUUUUAGGGAUGAUACUCAAUUUUAUGAGCAUUUAUUUUUAUCAUAUAAUUAAAUUAAAAAAAACUUAAAAAAAUUACUAAACCCAAUAAAAUCCAUGACCCAAGUCGCGAGGGACCGGGAUCGAUCAAAUUUGUCAUUGUUUCAAUAUUUUUUUUAAAAAAAAAAAGUUGUUGUCUAGAAGUUUUUUUAAAAAAACUAAGCCAUGCUUUACUAGUUUUCUAAGUUGUAUUUAGAUAUUAAUUGAUUUAAAUUGAGUUAAUUUCCAUACAAUUUAAUUAAAAACUUAAAUUAAAUAAAAAAUUAGAUUAAAAGAUUUUAAUAUCAACUCCCCUAACCAGGUUUAAUAAUAUCGCCAACAAACUUUCUUCACUCUUAACAUUUUAUUUUUAUAUUUUAAAAAAAUUAAUCCCCUAAAAAAAACUAUGACAUAUUAUUGAGUGUAGGUUUUGUUUAUUAAGAGUAAGGAUUGAGUCUUUGACUGCAUGUAAUGGCAUCGACUGAAAACCUUUAAUCACAUGCUAUUAAUCACAUAUUUAAUCUGUUAUUGUUAGAGCACAUGCUUUUCAAAAACUUUGAAUUUUUUCUUUUUAAAUUAUUAUUUUUUUAUUAAAAAUAAAUUUUAAAAAAUAAAAAAAUUAUUAUUUUAAUUAUUUUAAAUAAAAAAUAUUUUAAAAAGAAAAGUAUAUUAUUGUUUCUCAUAUUCAUGUGUUUACAUUUUCUAGGCAUCUUCUUCUAAGCUUCAUAAUUGGGUAGGUAAAGUAGUGUUUUCAACUCCUUAUUUUAGAUUCACCCUUUUCUUUUCCAAUUAAUGGGACUGCCAUUCAUUUUUAUUCAGUAUUUUUCAACUUUUUUUUUCUUCUUACAAUGAUUCAAUGAAGUAACUUGAUCGGUAAUUACCUUACAUUAAACAAAAUAAGAAUAAUUAAAAUAUCAAAUGUGUUCAUUAAAGUAGCAGGAGAAAUCGCUAUAUAGCCAUCCGAAAAGGAAAAGUUAAAGAUUGCAGGUUUGCUGCUCAAUUCAACUAAAUAUUUUGAAGUUAGAACUCGUUUGUUUUUUUUGUUUUAAAAAUAUUUUUUAAAAAAUAAAUUUUUUUAUUUGUUUUAAAUUAAAAAUUUUUCUAUUUUUAAAUUAUUUUGAUGUGUUGAUCUCAAAAAUAAUUUUAAAAAAUUAAAAAAAUAUAUAUCAUUUUAAUAUAUUUUCAAAUAAAAAAUACUUUAAAAAACAAUUAUUAUUACAUUCUCAUAAUUUUCGCUUUAAGAGUAAACUUCACUUUUGCUCCUAUAAAUACACCAACAUUUCACUUCUACUCCUAUAGUUUUAUAUUUCUCAUUUGAUGCUAAAAGUUUUCAAAAUGUUUCAAUAUUACCCAUUCCAUUUUUUUCCUACCACAUAGAUAAGAUAAUAUUGAAUAAUUUCAAGCUGUAGGGUCAGAGUUUGAAUCCUCAUCGAUCUACAAGUAUAAACAUGCUAUAAUUUACCCUUGCUGUCUUUUCCCAAACUAAGUUAUUUUGAAAUCCUAUAUCUUAAAAUGAGGCAUUUUAAUGUGUUCAAGGGAUUCCGACUAUCCAUCUGCUGUUUGUAGAAUUUAAGCACUUUUUUCAUUAGUCACUUUUAUUAAAUCAUUUAAUAUUUGCGUUUAUUCUUUUAAUUUGCUUCAAUGUGGAAUCGACACUCCAGAGAAUGUGAGAUUAUUUUCUUGAGGCUUUCUGCCCUCUCUCUAGUAAACUAAAAAACAGCAACGGUACUGUCAAGAAUGUUAUGCCCGCAAUCAAAACAUAAUUUAUUUUUAUACUCAGAAUUAUGUUUUUGUACUCAGAAUUAUGUUUGAGGGCAUUUGAAAGUCUGUUUAUUUUGAAAAAAAUAUUAAAUUAAUAUUUUUUGAUAUAUUAAUAUUAAAAAUAAUAAAAAAAAAGCUUUUCUUUUCUUAGAUUCACUCUUUUCUUUUCCAAUUAAUGGGACUGCCAUUAAAAUAUGCUUUUCACCAUUUAUUUGUUUUUCUUUUAUUUUGACUUACGUAACGUGUGUACCCAGUAAUCCACUCAUAUAUAUAUAUUUUCUUUGCUAUGUGCUUUCUGUUCUUUUUUCACCUCAGUAUGUACUAAUCAUCUUGUACUUUUGGUCAGAUGGAAGGGUUCCCACCAUCUUCUAUGGAUGAUCUUGAAUCACUAUUUCUCUCGUACGUCAUUCUUAAACAUAUUUUAUCAGAAGAUUAUUGCUUGCAAUUUAGUUAUUCUUCCGUUUAUCCUAAUAUAUUAUUCCAUGGAAGUAGGCCGGCACCGGAGGUUCCAGUCAACCAAGGCUCCAUAUCAUGCAAUGAUCAAGGUGGACAUAAGAAUGUGAUCAACGAUAGUAUUCAACAAACAACUCAGUUUCCAACUUCAUUUCCUGAAACCAUGGUGAGUACUCAUGCUUACUCCAAUUUGCUACAAUGUCCAUUGAAUUAGGCAUCAUUAUUCCUUUAUUCAUCAACCUCAGACGGGACAUGGCUAUAUGACACCGAAUGCAACCACAUCACAACAUGGUGAAUUCAAUCAACCUGGACCUUCUUCUCUUGCUCCCUGGUAUCCAAUUUUUCAUGUUUAGUAUUUUCUGAAAAAAAAAAAAAAGUUUUUCAAUCAUUAUUUAACUUCUUCUUCUUCUUCCUCUUGUUGUUGUACUUAUCAGUGAGUUCAUUAUGUUUGAAUAUAUAUAGGUAUCGGCCUAAUCCUAAUUUAUUUGAUCCUCAAUGUGCCAAUCCUUUGAGGUAAGCUAAAAUGAUAUCUUAGUAGAUUAAUAGCAAAGAAUUAUGCAUAUGUAUAAAGAAAUUACUAACAAGUGUUGCUAAUUUAGGGACCAACAAUUGACUAAUUAUCAGUUACCAAUGAGCAAUCAAGUGCCUGCGAUGCUACCUGGACCUCAACCUCCAAGGAAUCAAUGGUAUUAACCUCGAAUAUAUCUACACUUUUUUAAUCAUGAAGACAAUAAACUUUUGAAGUCUGUUUGAGCUCUCUAUCUAUCUUUUUUUGUGCACAUAAUGGAACUAGAAGAUCAACCAAGUUAGAAUAACAGUUCUAAGUUUAACUAUUUGAAUAUUAUUCAGGCAUCAGUACUCCAAUAUUCAUCAACCUCACACCCGGACAUCGCGGCGACCAAUUAAAAAUUAUCUUGCAUGGAAAGAACGGAUUUCUGGCAUCCUAUUCUUCGAUGGUGAAUGGUCUUUGUUUAAGGAGUCGCCACCUAGUAUUACGGUUACUAGGAACCCUAACUGGUCAACAGAGAUUCUAUGGUCCGAGACUGGUUACGUAAAAGGGAAGAUAUUAUCACCCCUUAAACGUCCUGCCUAAGGCAGGCUGCAUUGCUGAUCUUUGUAAUUAAUUGCUAACAUUUUUUUUUGUUGGUUUAUACUAUGAUUGUUUGUGUGUAAUAUUCCUGGCUCUGGCGCCAGUGAAUAUUCAACUACAGAUAUUUCCAACUCUGGCGUUGGUAAAUAUUACGUAGGUAUGAAAAUAAAUAAAUUUAAAUCAUCAUUUUUUUUAUUCCUGACUCUGGCGUCAAUGAAUAAACAAAUAAAAUCAAUUUUUUUUUUACGCAAUCGCAUUAUUUUUAUUUUUAUGUAGCUAAAAAAAAACAAAAUAAAAUAAAAUAAAUUUACAUUAGUAUCUUUAUUCCUGACUCUGGCGUCAGUGAAUAAACGAAUAAAUUUACAUUAGUAUCUUUAUUCCUGACUCUGGCGUCAGUCAAUAGUUUUAUUCUGACUCUGGCGUCAAUGAAUAAAAACAAUAAAUUCAUAUUUAUUUUUUAUUUAUACAUACACACUUCCUUUUUUAUUAUGUAUUUUUUAUUUUUUAUCUUUUUAUUUUUUUAUUUACAUUUUUGGGCUGGGAUUAGUCACUGGCUCAAAUCAGUACCAAGUAGCAGGCGUGCAUGACAGCGCACGCCUGCUACAGAAACAAAGGAAUUGUAAAAGUAAAAUUCACUGCUACAGUAGCAUGUGAAUUAUAAUUCACAGCUACUGUAGCAAAGCAAAUGAAAUAUAAGGCAACAGAGAAGAACAAAGGAACUUACCUGAUGCGCGGAGACGAAGUCGAAGACGAGGGUAAUGGCGUGCUCUGGUCCUUGCUUCUGUUUUUCUUCUCUGGUUUUCGGGUCCUUAUUCUCUGGUUUUUCCUUCCCCGGCCUCUGCUGCGCUGCUGUUGUUGUAGUUGCUGGUGCAGAAGGAAGAAGCUUGUUGCUGUUGCCAGGGGAAUUAAUCCUGUUUUCUUUGCAGUUCACGGCUGAGAAGACAAAAUGUCAUUGCAACGUGCUGCUGGAAUGAAUAUUAACUGGGGGCUGCUACGGGAAGAAGAGAGGAAAAAAAGCUGGGGGGGGACUCGGCCGCGCUUUUUUUUUCUUUGUAAAUGUCUUUUUUUAUGUUUUUUUUAGGUUUCUGGUAAUGGCCUUCUUUUGGUUUUUUUUUUCUUUUAGGGUUUCUCUCUAAUCCUCCCUCCUCUAUUCGCAUAGACUGGGAUCAGUAUUUAUAGUGUAAGAGUCCUAUCGCUUGUAAGAAGUAAAGUCUCAAUCAAACUCAUUUUCUUUUUUAAAUUCAAAUUAGAAUCGAAUUCGAAAUCAUACAACUUUCAUUAUCUUGAAGGUAAGGAUUAUCUUGAAAAUAAGGAUCAUUUUGAAAGUAAGGAUUAUCUCAAAGAUAAGGAUAGAAUGGCAAAAGCACAUUAUAGUCCUUAAUUUUCAUGCAAGUUGACAAAUCACACUUUUCAUCGAAAUAAGUCUCUGAUCUUUUAAUUUUACAUUUUAAACCCUGUAAAAAUUAAAUUAAAAGCCAAUGGGCCAAAAUUGGGUUAUGACAGUUGCCCCCUCUUUAUAAUAUUUACUAUGCAAUGAUAUUAGAAAAUUUCAUUUUCUUUUAGCUUUGUGUAGUAAAUUUAUAAAGAAAAUUAGAUACAGAAAGAAAUUUUGCUUCUUUUUUAUUUUUAUUUUUAGUUUUGAAAACUUUGAAAAUAGUAGAUUGACACAUGACCUUUACAGAGAGAUGUAGAAAUCAAGAAACAAAUGAUUUGGGAGACGACCCUUUUUUUUUUUGAAAUGGAUCAAAUUGUUUUAGGCAACCUGCCCAAUGAUAAAAGAAACGCGAAGAAUUUCGCGAGUGGUCUAAUUGUUCCAGGCGACCUGCCCAGUGAUUGAAAAAUACGAGGAUUUUUUUUUUUGUGAUGGUAUAUUGUAAUGGGUUACCGGCCCAGAUGGUCACAUUGUAAUGGGUUACCUGCCCAGUAUAGGAUGGUAUAUUGUAAUCGGUUACCGGCCCAGAUGGUCACAUUGUAAUGGGUUACCUGCCCAGUAUAGGAUGGUAUAUUGUAAUGGGUUACCGACCCAGAUGGUCACAUUGUAAUGGGUUACCUGCCCAGAUGGUCACAUUGUAAUGGGUUACCUGCCCAGUGGAUGAUAUAUUGUAAUGGGUUACCGACCCAGAUGGUCACAUUGUAAUGGGUUACCUGCCCAGUUGGUCACAUUGUAAUGGGUUACCUGCCCAGUAUAGGAUGGUAUAUUGUAAUGGGUUACCGACCCAGAUGGUCACAUUGUAAUGGGUUACCUGCCCAGAUGGUCACAUUGUAAUGGGUUACCGGCCCAGUUGGUCACAUUGUAAUGGAUUUUUCAGAUGGUUACAUUGUAAUGGGUUACCUGCCUAGUGGAAAAAUACGAGGAUUUUUUUUUCUAAGACAUGAUAGGGCUCGAAGGCGCAUUAUUCAAUAGAUGGAAGCUCGAAGGAAAUGAGGGCUCGAAGGCGCACUCAAAAGGAGGUAGGAUAGGAAAUGCAGUACCUUUGAUAGUCGAGGGCUCGAAGGCGCUCUCGAAAUGGAGAUAAGACGAGGGCUCGAAGGCGCGCUCGAAUGGAGAUAAGACGAGAGCUCGAAAGCGCGCUCGAAUGUAGAUAAGACGAGGGCUCAAAGGCGCGCUCGAAUGGAGAUAAGACGAGGGCUCGAAGGCAUUCUCGAAUGGAGAUAAGACGAGGGCUCGAAGGCGCGCUCGAAUGGAGGUAGGAUAGGAAAUGCACUACCUUUGAUGGUCGAGGGCUCGAAGGCGCGCUUGAAAAGAAACAAGACGAGGGCUCGAAGGCGCGCUCGAAUGGGGAUAAGACGAGGGCUCGAAGGCGCGCUCGAAUGGAGGUAGGAUAGGAAAUGCACUACCUUUGAUGGCCGAGGGCUCGAAGGCGUGCUCGAAAAGAAACAAGACGAGGGCUCGAAGGCACGCUCGAAUGGGGAUAAGACGAGGGCUUGAAGGCGCGCUCGAAUAGAGAAUGGAAGGUGGUGGGAAAAUACAGAUAUUUUUCAGGUGGCCUAAUUUUCAUGGGCGGCCUGCCCAGGUUGAAAAAUUCUCAAAAGUGAAAAUUUUUCAAAAGCUAUUUCAAUGUUCUCCAUUUCAAGUUGGCCUUCCGCUUGAUGGAUUCUGUUAGAAUUUUCUCUAAUAAAAUUUACAACACUCAUUGUCCAAUGUCUCAAAGUUUAAAUGAUAUGCAUGCAUCUUUACCUGAUUUGAAAUAUAGGCCCCCCAUUUCUUCUUAGUCUUCUCGUUGCUUGGUUGGUGAGAUCUUGCUAUCUCAUUUGAGUCAUCUUUGUCGUUUGGCUUUCUAGCCCACUCGAGUUAGCCCAUGUAAGUUUAUUUCCAGAUUUGUUUACAUAACUCAGCUUUUGCGGUGCCCAUCGUGACCCACUUGCUUGCUAGAGAUUUUCUAAUCUCGUCAAAUAAUUUGAGAGGAUUAUUCAUUACCCCUCGUCUCACUGCUAAAAACAUUCGGUAUCACUUGCUGAAAGGAUCGAGCUGUCUUUUAUAAACCAAAAUGCCCCCUUGUCUUGUUGUAAGGGAUGAUAGAUUUUCCUUAAACACAAUAUUGCCCCCUUGUCUUGUUGUAAGGGAUGAUAGAUUUUCCUUAAACACAAUGUUGCCCCCUUGUCUUGUUGUAAGGGAUGAUAGAUUUUCCUUAAACACAAUGUUGUCCCCUUGUACUGAUCAUUGCCCCCAAGUGUGUUAUGUCACUGACUUAGAUGAAUAAUGGUUUUAAGAGGCCAUUCUCUCAUUUGGUGAAGGAAUAUGGGUCUAGAAUGAAUCUUGAAAUCUUGAUCUUGCCUUUUGACAACAAAAAUUGUUUUGAUAUGAAUUUAAAACAAUUUACUUUUGAAAUCUUGCAACUCCUUGGUUAUUAUCUUUCUUGGAAAAGAGAUUAUUUGCUCUUGUGUUUGGUAAUGAGGUCUUUGAUGAAAAUACAUCAUGAGAUGACCUUUUGUUUCAAAGUGAAGGGCUUGAGCAAAAGCUCGAGGUUUUGUACGAGAAAAAAAACUUGUCUUUUUUUUUAACAUUUAUUAUCAACAUGAAUAAUAAUGAGUAGUUCUUUCUUGAUGUCAUGAAUCUUAUAAAAAAAAUAUUCUUUGCAUUUUGAGAGCAUUGUUUAUUGUUCUAGGUUGCUUGCUUCCUUGAUUAGAAAGGACUUCUAUAGGCACGUAACGUAGGCUGUGGUUUUUGGCUAUGAAAGAAAAGGAUUCAUAAGGCUCAAAGAGUGUUUCAGGGUUUCAAAGACUGAAGAUCACGAUCAAUAGUUUGACUUUUGACGUCAUUCAUAUUUUCUUUUGCCGCUCUUCUUUGAUUUGCUGCUUCUUUUUUUCUUUUUCAUUGCUUUGCUAGAGCAUACUCACUUUAUCUUGGUUAUCAUUUUUUCUUGUGAUUUGGGCAUGCCCUCUAGCAUUUGAGUUUUUUGGGCUCUUUUGCCUUUUGGCUUUCUCACGGCUCUAUCCUUUUUCUUGAUUAUUGAAAUUUCACUUGCCCCCUUUUUUUUUGUGAUGUGGGCAUGAUUCCUAGCAUUUGAGUUUCUUGGGCUCUUUUGCCUUUUGGCUUUCUCACGGCUUUAUCAUCCCUCUUGAUCAUUGAAAUUUCACUUGCCCCCAGUGUAGGGUGUGAUCUUAGUCGGAAUUUUUUUAUGAAAGAAAAAAUAAAUAAAUAAAUAAAUUCUUCAAGCUCAAAAAGGGUUUGCAAGGAUGUACUUAUUUUAGAACGUAAAAGGAAUAACAAAGAUAGCCUUUCCUCAUUUCAAGCGCAAGCAGCUAUGAUUAAUAAACUUUGACCUCGUAUAAUGUGAUGGUUUAUUCUUUGCAAAGAUGCAUUUGGUGAGUUAUGAGCAACAAGUUCACUACAUACCAUUAUUCAUACAUUUAAAAACACAUGAUUCAAGAGUAAUGGGGUAAGGGUGUUUAUUCUUUUUUUUUUCACAAUUGUUUUUAUAAUUUAGUCACCUCAAUGAUGGAGUUGCUUGAUUCACUUGUCAUUCUACAAGUAGAAUGUCAAAAAUAUCAUUUUUGAAUAAACAUCAAAUUAUUUUUUGAAAUCAAAAUGCCAGAUCAAUUUUUUUCAUCCUAUUGGAGUGGGAGCAUCCUAACGCAAAGGAUGUCCUUCGUCCCUUUAUAUCUUUUUUUUAACUUGAAUGAUAAAUAAUUAUGAUUUGAUGUUUGAUUAAUAUUAUAUUAUCAUCCUAUUGAGUUUCUCCAAGAUGAAAAUCCAAAAAAUAAAAAAAAAAUACUAUAUCAUAAAUCAUCAGUGAAAGUAUUCUUCUACACAUUUUUAAAAUGUCCAAGAGAGAGUAUGAAUAUGGCAGAUUGAAGUUUGUGAGUGUAGGAAAAUGGAGGAGAUAUUCUUCUCUUAAAGAACUCUGAGAUUGGAUUGGUUACCAGAACUGAAAAGCAUUUACAGUGCAAAACUGAUUUGCAAUUCUCUUCAUCCCUUUGUACCUUUUUUUUUAAAACUCGAUAGACAAAUAAUUAUAAUUUGAAUUUUGAUUAAUAUUAUAUUUUCAUCCUAUUGAGUUUCUCCAAGAUGAAAAUCCUAUAUUGAUUUAUCAUUAAAGUAACCUAAUAAAUGUAAUGUUUUUUUUUUUCUUGAAAACAGCUUGGAUGCACUCAAGUAUUUUAAUCACAACUUUCCACUCACAUGUCAGAUUGUUGUGAUUCUUGACGCGUUAUCUUGUUUGUAAACGUUGUGUUUUUAAAAUUUUUGAUUUGUUUUAAAUAAUUUUUUUAUAUUUUUAAAUUAUUUUAAUAUAUUAAUAUUAAAAAUCAUUUUAAAAAAUAAAAAAAUAAUUUAAUAUAUUUUUAAAUAAAAAAUAUUUUAAACCACAACUACUCCUUCUUCCAACUGGGAAACUCCUUCUUCCAACUGCUUCCCAGGCUUAAAAAAAAGUCUCGACGAGGAUUUCAAAAAAAGAACUAAAGCAUGUACGUGGCUGCCAAAGAAGUCCUAAAAUUUAGGUUUUUGAUGAAAACGUGUGGGACACGUGAUGAAAAAGGGGUUUAAAAGUGGUUUGCCCAUAAAGAAGACGUGUGGGAAUUGCAGUAAUGUUUAUGGAUUAAGAAAAGAAAAAGGGAUUAAUGUAGUUUAUGGAUUCAGUAAUGUUUCUUCUAUUAAAUGGAUUAAUUGUUUGAUUAUAUUUAUUUAUCUGUAUUGAUUUAAUAAAAAGAACUCCUAAAGCAUGUACGUGGCUGCCAAAAAAGUCCUAAAAUUUACUCAAUUUAUUUUUAAAAAAAUUAAUUUUUUAUUUUAUUUUUUUAUUAACUUUAAAUUAAUAUAUUUUUAGUGUUUUCAAAUUAUUUUGAUGUGCUAAUAUGAAAAAUAAUUUUUUAAAAAUAAAAAAAAUUAUUGACAUGUAUUUUGGUAUGAAAAGUUAUUUGAAAAGCAAUAAUAAUUACAUUACUAAACAAGCUAAAAAAUGUGGAAAUUGCACCAGAGAAGGAAAAAAAUACAAGAAAAGAAAAGGGAUUAAUGUAGUUUUUUCUGUUAAAUGGAUUAAUUGUUUGAUUAUAUUUAGUUCAUUUAUUUAUCUGUAUUGAUUUAAUUUUUUUACUAUAAUAUUGAUUUAAUAAAAAGAACUCCUAAAACAUGUACGUAGCUGCCAAAAAAAUCCUAAAAUUGACUCAAUUGGAAAGGAUCAUGGUGCUUACUGCCAAGAUUGUUAUGCCCGCAAUCAAAACAUAAUUUGUUUUUGUACUCAGAAUUAUAUUUGAGUGCAUUUAAAAAUUUGUUUAUUUAAAAAAUAUAUUAAAUUAAUAUUUUUUAAUAUAUUAAUAUUAAAAUAAAAAAAAUAUUUUAAAGAGAAAAAAAAAAUAUUUGACAAAGAAUAAAUAGAAAACUUACAAAUAGUUAAGAGUCAUAUUGGAAAGUAUAGUUUAGGUUUUUGAUGAACUAAAGCAUGUACGUGGCAGCCAAAAAAGUCCUAAAAUUUAGGUUUUUGAUGAAAACGUGUGGGACACGUGAUGAAAAAGGAGGUUUAAAAGUGGUUUGCCCAUAAAGAAAAGAAAAGGGAUUAAUGUAGUUUAUGGAUUCAGUAAUGUUUCUUCUAUUAAAUGGAUUAAUUGUUUGAUUAUAUUUAUUUAUCUGUAUUGAUUUAAUAAAAAAAACUCCUAAAGCAUGUACGUGGCUGCCAAAAAAGUCCUAAAAUUUACUCAAUUGAAAAGGAUCAUGGUACUGCCAUGAUUGUUAUAUGCCCGCAAUCAAAACAUAAAUUUGUUUUUGUACUCAUAAUUAUGUUUGAGUUCAUUUAAAAAUCUGUUUAUUUAUAAAAUAUAUUAAAUUAAUAUUUUUAAUAUUUUUUAAUAUAUUAAUAUUAAAAUAAAAAAAUAUUUUAAAGAGAAAAAAAAAUAUUUGACAAAGAAUGAAUAGAAAGCUUACGAAUAGUUAAGAGUCGUAUUGCAAAGUAUAGUUUACCAGUUGACUCACAGAUUAACUGCUUAACCCCAUCAUAUUAUUUAUUUAUAAAAACUAAAAUAAUUAUGUUUUUUUUAAUAUUAUCUUUUUUAAUAUUUUUAUUUUAAAAAAGUUUCACGUUGUAGAUAAAAAAAAGAUGUUUUAAUAUAGCAACGAUAGAGCAUCCACAAGGAAGAUGUUUUGCCUUUUUUUCUUUAAUUUGUUUUUGUUUAUUUGAUUAUUGGCUGGUUUAGAAUUCAGCUAAGACAUCUAAUAAAAUAUUUUUAUUCUUAUAAAUUUUGUGAAGAACAAUCAGAAAACUAAUUUAAUUAGGGAUUAAUUGAGUAAUUAAUUACCUUUACCUUACAGAGGAUUUUCUUUUCUUUUAUUUUAUUUCUAGUAACAGCUAAUUUAAUAAAACCCCAAUAGCCUGAUUCUUGGAUCACAGAAGCUUGAGACAUGGCACAUGCUACCAGGAAAAAAGCAUGAUUGUGUUGAAAACCUUUUAAGAUUGAACUGUCGCAUUCUAACAAUAAUGUUUGGACCAUUUAAAGAUUGGACCCAACUUCUCUUCAACUUUAUUUUAUAUUUAUAAUAAAUAAAAAGCAUGAUUGUGUUGAAAAGAAAUUGCUAUCCAACUGGUGUGCAGAUUGGAUAGCGAAUCAAGCUAUGUUGAAGUUUUCUACUGCAGUGAAGCUCCCUCUGGUUGCUUGAAGCUAAUGCCUGAUUGUUGCGUUCCUGGGUUUUCAUAAGUGUAUGAAAGUUUAUUAAUUUAUUAUUAGUUUGUUUUUGUAUUUUAAAAGUAUUUUUUAAAAAUUAAUUUUUUAUUUUAAAUUUAUUCUAACUCUUUUGUUUUAUCAUUCUCAAAUUCCAAACAACAACGGUACUGCCAAGAUUGUUAUGCCUGCAAUGAAAAUAUAAUUUGUUUUUGUACUUAAAAUUAUGUUUGAGUACAUUUAAAAUCUGUUUAUUUUAAAAAAUUAUUAAAUUAAUAUUUUUAUAUAUUUUUAUAUAUUAAUAUUAAAAAUAAAAAAAAUAUUUUGAUUAUGAAUAGGAAGCUUACGAAUAAUUAAAAGACUGAUUUCAAAGUUUAGUUUACUGAUAUUUAAAAUUAAGUUACUUAAAAAAUCUGAGUCAAUGAGGACAUUGUUUGGUAAAGUGAUGGACCGUAACAAAAACAUCAUUUUUUAUGUUUUUAUUGGCAAAAUAAAGGUAUAACCAUAUUACAUCAUGUUGCCAAACAAACACAAAUCUUGAAUUUUAUUUUUAUUUGUUUUUUUUGAAAAUUGAAAAGGCAAGUAUACUAUCAUGGACUAAGAUAAUAUUUGAUAUUGAAGUAAUGAUUUUUUUCAAAGUGUUUUUUGUUUGGAAAUUUAUUGAAAUAAUAUUUAUAUUUUAUAUUAGUAUAUCAAAAUGAUACAAAAAUAUUAAAAAAAACAUUAAUUUGAAACCAAACAAAUAAUAAGAAUAUUUUCACCUUGGAUUGUAUCUCUUCAUCUUUAAAAUUGUAUCUAAAAAAAUAACUAAUAAAGUGUAAUUAAUUAAUCUAAUGCUGGAAUUAUUAUUUACCCUGGAAUAUGGAUGACGUAUAAUUCCAAGUGGGCAUGCUGCAUUUCUUAGCCAAUGAAACUAUAAUUUCUUCAUAAUUUUUCAAGUUCCAACAAUAAAUGUAAUUUUCGAACUAUUAAAUAUAUUAAAAUCUUAAAUGAUAACUUGAAAAAUAAAAUCAUUCAUCAAUCAAUUUAAGAUUUCUACACUGUAAUUUGUUAAUAUUAGUUAAAAAAAUAUAAAUUUUAUGUAAAUAAAAAUAAUUUAAUUAACUGGUGUGGUGAAUCUCAUUUCAUAACGAAUUCAUAUAUCGGUCCAAUAAAUUAGGUCCAAUUUAAUUAACUGGUGUGGUGUAUAUAUAUAUAUAUAUAUAUAUAUAUAUAUAAAAAAAAAUAAUCAUCAAUAGUUUUGACAUUAGAAGUCAAUUCACCAACAACUUAAAAAUUCAACCUCUUUAAUAAAAAUACUUUUUAUAUUAAAAAAGUUGAAUUUUCCAUGAAUGAUUGGUGAGAGAAUUUUUAUUGAUUUCAUAUAAUAAUAAUAGUUUUUUUUGUAAAAAUGAUACCGAGAAAAAAUAAUCACAAGUAUACAAGACAAAAUUCAACCUCUCCACAUUGAUGUGUUAGGUUGGAAUCCUUAAACUGUUUUUGCCACAGUUCUUCGACUAGGUUUUAAGUUUAGAUUUUGACUUGUUAUAUAUUUUUUAAAUUGAUUUUUUUUAAAAAAAUCAUUAAUAUCUUUCCUUACGGUAAAUAAAAAAAACAUAAUUCAUUCUUCUAUUUAGAAGAUAUUUGGAAUCAUUUGCUGGAUCUAUUUUCUGUUUUUAUUUUCAGAUUUUAAAAUGACCCCUCGGAAAACAAUUCCAACCAAUUAUUUGCCAUGGAAUUUGGACGCUGUAUAAUUCCAAGUGGGCAUGCUGCAUUUCUUAGCCAGGUGUAGCAAGAAUUGAGGUAGCUUGUUUCUGGCUUUUGCUUCUCGGGGUAUGAUUUGUUGGGCUAGUUUAUAGGCCUUUUGCACUAGGGUUUUUGUCCUUUCUGCUAAUUUAUCUAAAUAUAGGCUUUAGAAUCUUUUUAGAUUGUGUUUGGUAUUGCGGUAGUUGUUGUGGUUAUUGUUUAAAAAAAAUUGUUUUAUAAAAAGUACUUUUAGUUGUGAUUGGUUUGAAAAAAUAGGUGUUUGGUUAAAACUGUGGUUGAAAUUGAGGUUGAAGAAAAAGUAGUUUAAUGUGUUUGGUUAAGAAUGUUUUUGAAAUUGAGGUUAUAAAAUAAUUUAAAAAAAUAUAAAUUAAUAUUGAUGGUUUUUAAUUUAAAUAUUGUGGAUUUAACUAUUGCGGUAACAUUAUGAAAUAAAUCAUACUUUAUAUAUAAAAAAAUUUAUUGUUCUAUUAAACUAUCUACAAUUCCAUUACGUACAAAAUUUAUCUGACAAGAACUACAGUUUCCAUAAUUUUUUAGCGUGUAAUAAAAUUAGAUAAAAUAUUAUCAUGUAUAAAAUUCACUCUAAAUUAGUUUUUUUUAAAAAAAUUAACAAAAAAAAAACUUAACACACUAAAAAAAAAAAAUAUAUUCACGCAGUGCAAGUGAACAGUGCAAGAAAAGUGCACUGUUCACUAUUUUUAACAUGAACAGUGCACUUUUCGUGUACUGUUCAUGAACAGUGCAUCAUUUUGCGUUGUUUAUGUUAAUUGCACUGUUCAUUGAACAGUGCAAUUACGUGAACAGUGCAAAAAAGCAUGUAAUUCUUGCUUUGCAAAUACUGCGUUUCCAACGCAGAAAACAGGUGGGACCCAGUGAACAGUAAACUGUUUUUUUUAGUAACCAAACGGCUACAACUGCGUUUUAAAAAAAACACAGCCGCAGAGCCGAACGGGCUCUUAAUGAAACUAGCGUUCUUGAUUUCUUGGAGGUAGAAAUAACAGGACUAUUAUUAAAUUAAAAUUAAAAUUAAAAAAAAGUCAGCUCAGACUUUUACCAUGUACCAAUAGAGAAAACACGGCGUCUCUCUGUUUUUUUUUUAAGCAUUUUUGCUUUUAAUUUCAUUAUAAUAAUUUAUUUCAAUAAGCUUAUUAUGCUUAUUAUGAAGCUCUCACAGACAAGUCAAGGCCCAGAGUCGUGAAAUUCACUUUGAACCAGCCUGCACGCACUUAAAAUAGUAAUGUUGGGGAGAUGAUUUUUAAAAUUUUGAUCCCUAGAGUUUUUGCAUCUUUUAUUUUUAAUUUUAAUUUUGAUUUAAAAUUUCAUAUUAUUCAUUUUCAUGUUGUUCGUUUUUUGGUUCAAGAUGAAAGAAAGAAAGUAACAAAAAAAACUUUGAAAAAGAUAAAAAAUUAUUGGUCGACAACUUUCCGGCAACAAAAACACGUACAGUAUCUUCGUAUCAAUGGAAAACUGGUGUGCAGAUUGGAUAGCAAAUCAAGCUUCACAGUAGAUGUUGAAGUUUUCUACUGCACUGAAGCUCCCUAUGGUUGUUUGAAGCUAAAGCUUGAUGGCGUUCCUGGGGUUUUGAUGAGUGCACGAUAUUGCAUUCUAAAUGUUCUAUCAUUGGAAUAAAAUGCAAAAAUGUGAAUAAAAAUAAUUGAAAUUAAAGGGUAAGUCAAGGUCCAGAGUCGUGAAAUUCACUUUGAACCAUCCUGGACGCACUUAAAGUAGUAAAGUUUUUUUUUCUUGGAAACAGCCUGAAUGUACUUUUAAGUACUUUAAUCACAACUUUCCACUCAUAUGUCGGAUUGCUGUGAUUCUUGACGCGUUGAAAAGGUUUCUUGAAGGGCCACAAAGUAGUCUCUGACGAGGAUUUCAAAAAAAGAAGAACUAAAGCAUGUACGUCGCUGCCACAGAAGUCCUAAAAUCUAGGUUUUUGAUGAAAACGUGUGGACCAUGGAGACGUGAUGAAAAAGUGGGGCUGCCUCCUUUAGAAAAAAGAGGGCUGCCUAAUUUGAAAAGAAGGGCAUUUGGCGUCAAGGAGACGUGUGGGAAUUGCACCAGAGAAGAAAAAAAAAAAACAAGGAAGGAAAAGGGCUUAAUGUAGUUUAUGGAUUCAGUCAUGUUUCUUCUAUUAAAUGGAUUAAUUCUUUGAUUAUAUUUGGAUCAUUUAUUUAUCUGUAUUGAUUUAAUUUCCUUACUGUAAUAUUGGUCUUGAGUAUGUUGUUGUUGUCGUUGAAUUUUCUUAAUAGGUAUAAUCAUUUGCGUAUUUAGGAGCCGUUUGGGAUGCGGUUCAACCUGUGUUUCUAAAAAAUUUGAAUUUUUUUUUUGCUAAAAUUUAAUAUGAUUUGUACGUUUUAGAUCAUUUUGAUGUGCUAAUGUUAAAAAUAAUUUUUUAAAAAUAAAAAAAACAUCAUUAACAUACAUUUUAAUACAAAAAAUUAUUUAAAAAACACCCGUAACCACACUGUUAAACUCUCUUAAAAGUGAUGAAUGAUAUUUCAAAAGAGGAAAUUCUGGGAACUGAACUUCCAAUUGAAUUAUUUAAAAGUGAUUCCCGACGCUCUACUGUUUGUAGAAUUCCAGUUGUGCUUUCUCCAUUAGUCACUCUGCUUUAUUUUAAUUUGCAUUUAAAAUUAGAUUUUAUUCUCUAUUAAAUCAUUUAAUAUUUUCUUCUAUUCUUUUAAUUUGUCACUAUGUAAUAUUUUCUUCUAUUUUUUUAAUUUGUCUCCGUGGAGACUCGAUACCCCAAAGUCGGGCUACAAUCACCCCAAAAAUCUUUAUAUUUUUAACUGACAAAAAGUCACUGAAAAACUCGGAAAAAGAUGGAAAAUUAUUGGUUGAUAAUUUUUGGCAAAAAAUGAAAAAACUAUCAUCUUUGUGCUAAUGAAAAACUGGCGUGCAGAUUGGAAAGCAAAUCAUACUUUAUAGAUCGAGGGCUAAAAUAUACAUUUGUAGAAGGGAGUUGGGAAGAAAAUAAAUUUUCAUGGGUAUGGAAAAGUUCGAUGACGAGAUGUUUUGAAAGAGAGGGGUAUGACGUUCAUUGUACAUUGACUGAUGUAUCUUUUAAAAUUUUGUUUUUAGGAUUUUUAGAUUAUUUUAAUGUAAUAAUAUUAAAAAUAAAUUAGUGUAAUUAAUUGAUUUUACUCGCACUAUUGAUGUGAACGUGAACAAUAAUUUUUUUUUGUUUUUUUUUUAAAUUAGUUUAAGGUUAAUUAAAUUUGCUUGUACUGUAAUCUCAAUUUUAUUCCUGAUAAUAUUUUACCUCAUUUUGUAGUUCUUAUCUGAUGAAUUUUGUAUGUAAUGGAAUUGUAAAUAGUUUAAUGAAACAAUAAAAUUUUUUUAUAUAAAGCAUGAUUUAUUUCAUGAUGUAAUAGCAAUAGUUAAAUCCACAAUAUUUAAAUUAAAAACCAUCAAUAUUAAUAUAUAUUUUUUAAAAAUUAUUUUAUAACCUCAAUUUCAAAAACACUCUUAACCAAACACAUUAAACUACUUUUUAUUCAACCUCAAUUUCAACCACAGUUUUAACCAAACAACUAUUUUUUUCAAACCAACCUCAACUAAAAAUACUUUUUAUAAAACAAUUUUUUUCAAAGCACAACCACAACAGCUACCGCAAUACUAAACACACUCUUAAUCUAGCCUUGUCAAAACUGAUUUAUCUUUACAGUCACAAUGUGUUUUUUUAAAAUUUUGAUUUUUUUAAAAAUAAUUUUUUAAUAUUUUUAGAUUAUUUUGAUGUGUUGAUAAAAAAUAAAUUAUUUUAAAAAAUUAUUUUAAUAUAUUUUUAAAUAAAAGAUAUAUUUUUAAAAAAUUCACAGCAUGCAGAAAUAUGCUAUUCAUUUUAGAAAAUUUCAUGUGUUUAUAUUUUCCUGGCAGCUUCUUCGAAGUUUCAACAUUGUGGUGGGUCCACACGUUAAUUUAUCAUUAUUGAGGCGACCUUACUAAUAAAUAAUAGUAUGUAACUUCUCUUCCACAUCUCAUCUCAUUAUACAAUUCCCUAUUUUCCUUUCCCCAUCUCAUGAUCAGUGCGAACUUUAUUAUUUUUCUAAGCCAUAUAUUCUUCUCUGAUCUGUGAUUUCUCUUCCUUUUCUUUUGGCUGAUCACUGCUUAAGCAAACCAGCUAGCACUUGAAGAACAUCUUGAAUCCAGGUAAAUUAUUUGUACUUCAUCUUGUUGGUGUUUUUGUUUUUCUGUAUGUAACUAUUGUUCGAAUCCUUAGAGUAAUCCAUGAUAAAUAAAUCGAUCUUUUUCUCAGAUUUUGUAAUCCAUGCCUUGUGGUGUUCAUACUAAAUUAACCCUAAACCUUGAAUUCAUUGUUUUUGUCUUUUCAAAAUUCUUUGCUGUUUUUAACUCCUUAUAUAUGGGAUUUCUUUUCAAAUACUAGAUUUUGUAAUCCAUGCCCUGUGGGACUGCCAUUAAUUAUUUUUAUCCAAUAUUCUUCUGACAUAAUGAUUCAAUGAAGUUGUUUUUUACUGAUUCAUGAAUUAACUUGAUCAGUAUUAAUUACCUUUCAUUAAACUUGUUUACAACAAGUGACAAAUAAUUUAGCAUUAAAACAAAGAAUUAAAUAAUUAACAGCAACAUUUAUAUUUCCUAUUUUUCAUCCGAAUUUCUUUAACAAAUAAAUAAGUCAUAUAUAUAUAUUCUUAUCUAAUCUAUAUAUAUUCUUAUCUAAUCUGUGCUUUCUGUUCUUUUUUAAACCUCAGAUGGAAGGAGUCCCACAAUCUGCGGAGGAUGAUGUCAACUUGACAUCGAAUCAGUUUGAUCUUCAAUCACCAGAAGAUACAUUCAUGCUUGACCCUGAGCUUCUCUUGUACGUCAUUCUUAAGCAUAUUUUAUCAGAAGAUGAUUAAUAGCAAAGAAUUAUGCAUAUGUAUAAAGAAAUCACUAACAAAUGUUGCUAAUUUAGGGACCAACAAUGGACUGAUUAUCAGUUACCAAUGAGCAAUCAAGUGCCUGCGAUGCUACCUACUAGGUACUGAUCAAACUUUGGCAAUAUAUAUGCUGUCGUGUUUUAACACAGUAUUAAUACCUUUUUCUCUCGUACGUCAUUCUUAAGCAUAUUUUAUCAGAAGAUGAUUGCUUGCAAUUUAGUUAUUCUUCAGUUUAUCCUCUAUAUUAUUCCAUGGAAGCAGGCCGGCAGACAACCAAGGCUCCAUAUUAUGCAAUGAUCAAGGUGGACAGAACAAUGUGAUCAACGAUAGUAUUCAACAAACAACUGAUCAGUCUCCACCUUCAUUUCCUCAAACCAUGGUGAGUGCUCAUGCCUACUCCAAUUUGCUACAAUGUCCAUUGAAUUAGCAAGUGUUUGUAUCACCCAUUGGAUCAAAAAGUUUAUGUUUUCGUGGAUCAAUUUAUCUCGAGCAUCUUCAAAAUGUUUAUUGUUAAACAAACAGACAACAAUUGGGAGAUUUAGAUUAUUUUUUUUUGUGUGUGUUUUAUGAUGUGUAACUAAUUAAGGGCUAAAAUAGAGGGAAUUAAUUUUUGCAAUUAACAAAAAUAAUCUUGCAUUUGUUUUGCUCCCCAAAUUAUGAAUAAAUAGGAGUUGAAAGAGGUUUUUGUUCACCCCGUCAAAACAAUCAGCUCUUCUACCUUCCUUCCCCUGCUUUCUUCAACAGUUAUCCUGCAUCUUUCUAUUGAUUAUUCUAGAGUUUUAGGAUCUCGUGUCAUAAAAAGAAUUUGAGUAUGAUAAUUUAGCUUUAAAUUCAAAGGGUUAAAUCAUUAACAACAACAUUUAUAUUUCAUAUUUUUCAUCCGAAUUUCUUUAACAAACAAGAAAGUCAUAUAUAUGUUCUUUUCUGAUCUGUGCUUUCUGUUCUUUUUAAACCUCUGUACGUACUAAUCAUCUUAUACUUGUGGUCAGAUGGAAGGGUUCCUACCAUCUUCUAUGGAGGAUAAUGUCAACUUUACAUCGAAUGAGCUCGAUUUUCAAUCACUAUUGCCCGACCUUGAGCUUCUCUCGUACGUCAUUCUUAAGCAUAUUUUAUCAGAAGAUGAUUGCUUGCACUUUAGUUAUUCUUCAGUUUAUCCUAUUAUUCCCAAAAAACAAUAUAAUGUCGUCACUGUCCAUGGAAGCAGGCCGCCACCGGAGGUUCCAGUCAACCAAAGCUCCAUAUCAUGCAAUGAUCAAGGUGGACAGAACAAUGUGAUCAACGAUAGUAUUCAACAAACAACUCAGUUUCCAACUUCAUUCCCUGAAACAAUGGUGAGUACUCCAAUUUGCUACAAUGUCCAUUGAAUUAGCAAGUGUUUGUAUUAGACAAAAAGUUUUAUGUUUAGUGUAUCGAUCUCGAGCAUCUUCUAAUUGUUUACUGUUAAACAAACAGACAACAAUGGGAAAUGUGAUCAACGAUAGUAUUCAACAAACAACUCCUUUUCCAACUUCAUUUCCUGAAACCAUGGUGAGUACUCAUGCUUACUCUAAUUUGCUACAAUCUCCAUUGAAUUAUACAAAAAGUUUUAUGUUUUAGUGUUUAUUGUUAAACAAACAGACAACAAUGGGAGGUUUAGAUGGAACAUCAUCAUUAUGGAUCAACCAAAAUGAACCAAAUUGGCCUAAAACUCAAUCAAGGUAUUCAUCAUUAUUGCCAAUUUAUCGACGAGGAUCUUUUUUAAUCAUGAGUAUACACUUUUUUAAUCAUGAAAACAAUAAACUUGACCUAUCUUUACGGUGGUGUCAAAUUCUUAGUUUAACUAUUUGAAUAUUUUUCAGGCAUCAGAACUCCUUUAUUCAUCAACCUCAGCCGGGACAUGGCUAUAUGACAGCGAACACAACUACCUCACAACAUGCUGGCUUCAAUCAACCUGGACAAUCUUUUCCUGCUCCCCGGUAUCCAAGUUUUCAUAUUUAGUAUUUUCUGUAUAACAAAAACAUUAGUUUUUCAAUUAGGAAAGUAACAUUAUAGCUUGAACAUGAACCCAGCAAGAUAAUCAUAAGUUUGUAAUGCUUCAUAUUGCUUGGGAAUGAUUUUGGAUUCAGGAUUCAUUUUCUUUCUAAUCAAGGACAAGUCGGUCAAGCUGCUGUAAUUCCUAACAUAGACAAGAGAUACUGAUUGACUUUCUAGCUGUUGUGUUUUAACACAGUAUUAAUACCUUUUUGAUAAUUCGAUACACCAUUGAUUUUUAUUGCUUAAGAGAGACUACCAAAUAUUGAAAGGUUUUAUAAUAUGAUCACUUCAUUUAUAUAUAGGUCACAGAUGGAUAACCUCCAAGUCCGAGGAUUGCAAAAUCAAACUGCUAUGCCAAAUGCCUCUAAUCCUGGCCUUGGCACUUCCCUGCGAAGUCAAAAUAGGGGUUUAAAUACUCAACAAGUAAGAAGUCUAACUGAAUUAUCAUCGUCUUUUUUUCCCCUUUGAUUGUGCUAUAAACUAACUAUCAAUUUUAAUAGCAAAAUAAGGGUAACAACACUGAAGAAGUAGUUUCUCAUCCAUCUGGAUAUGGUGUAACUUGCAUUAAUUUUUAUUCUUUAUUUUGACCUACCUUUUUUUUUAUAUAGGUUGAAAUGGUUAGAUCAAAGGAUCCAUUUUGGAAUUAUAUUGAAGAUAGGACUGAUGGAAGCAUGAAGUGUAAGUUUUGUCCACGUGCAUUUGCCAAUAAAACUUCCAUUUCAAGGAUCAAAUGGCAUUUAUCAGGAGAAGAAGGGCAUGGUGUUGCCAUUUGUCGUGGGGUGCCUAAAGAAGUUCAAGAAGCAGCCUUUCUAGCUAUGUGUGGUGGCAACAAAAGACAGAAAAUCACAGCAAGUUCAGUCAAUGUUAAUGAUUGUGGAAUUUCAACAAUGGAAGGAGGAAUUGGAAGGGUACAAAGAGAAGUUCAGGUUGUAGAACCCGGAGUAGUGGAAGAGAGGAUUUCUUCACAUGCAAUAGCAGGAAACGACGUAGUAAGCAUGACCGGAAUGAGAGCACCAGAACAUGGAGUUUCCGAAGGGGCACUCGAGAGCAGACCGAGGACAGAUCCCGUGGAUCGAUCGUUGGAACAAAGCAAUGCAGUACUUGGCAAUUUGGAAGGGGGUGCUGGAAGGAUACAAGUGGGAGUUCAGGGGGUGCUGGAACAAGGUGCCGGGGAAGAGAGAAUUAAUCGGGUUAUAGUGAGGACAGAACCAGUGGAGGAGGAUGUGGAGAAUAGUCGAAGAUCAGUAGUGCAGGCUGGCGCAGGAGCUAGAUCUUCUGAAAGUCUGAAAUACAACAAGACUAGAGGAGUUCCAUUACCUACUAGCUCUAAAAAGCCAGUGGGUCAAGUAUUCGAAGAGAAUACGAAGGUGAUAUGGUCUUUGUUAAUGGAUGAUAAAGUCUCAAUCAUUAGCAUUUAUGGGAUGGGUGGGAUUGGUAAAACAACAAUACUGCAACAUAUCCAUAAUGAGCUUCUACAAAGACCAGAUAUUUGUGAUUAUGUUUGGUGGGUGACUGUGUCUCAAGAUUUCAGCAUUAAAAAAUUGCAGAAUCGUAUUGCUAAACGUCUUCAUCUAGACCUUUCAAGCGAAGAUGAUGAACUACAUAGAGCUGGCAGAUUGUCAAAAAAACUAAAGAAGAAACAAAAAUGGAUUCUUAUUUUAGAUGAUUUGUGGAACUAUUUUGACCUACACAAAGUGGGAAUUCCUGAAAAGUUGGAAGGAUGCAAGCUGAUUAUGACAACUCGAUCAGAAACAGUUUGUGAAGGGAUGGCUUGCCAGCACAAAAUCAAAGUGAAGCCACUUUCUAAUAGAGAAGCUUGGGCUUUGUUUAUGGAGAAACUUGAACGUGAUGUAGCACUUUCACCAGAAGUGGAAGGAAUUGCGAAAGCUGUUGCAAAGGAAUGUGCUGGUUUACCAUUGGGAAUUAUUACAGUGGCAGGAAGCUUGAGGGGAGUGGAUGACUUACAUGAGUGGAGAAAUACAUUGAACAAAUUGAGAGAAUCAGAAUUUAGGGAAAAGAAGGUAUUCAAGUUAUUGAGGUUUAGUUAUGAUCAAUUAGGUGAUUUAGCACUACAACAAUGUCUCUUGUACUGUGCAUUAUUUCCUGAAGAUGAUAGGAUUGAAAGGGAGGGGUUGAUAGGUUAUUUGAUUGACGAGAGAAUAAUUAAAGGAAUGAGGAGCAGGGGAGCUGCAUUUGACGAGGGCCACUCGAUGCUUAAUAUACUUGAAAAUGUCUGUCUAUUGGAAAGUGCUCAAAUGGAUUAUGAUGAUAGAAGAUAUGUCAAGAUGCAUGACUUGAUUAGGGACAUGGCCAUCCAACUACUGCUAGAGAACUCUCAAGGGAUGGUUAAAGCAGGUGCACAAUUAAAAGAGUUGCCAGAUGCAGAGGAGUGGACAGAGAAUCUGAUGAGAGUUUCACUAAUGCAAAACGAGAUCGAAGAAAUUCCUUCCAGCCAUUCACCAACGUGUCCCUAUCUAUCAACUCUAUUGCUAUGUAAAAAUAAUCUGUUGGGAUUUAUUGCGGAUUCAUUUUUCAAGCAAUUGCAUGGGCUCAAGGUCCUCGAUCUGUCUUGGACAGGUAUUGAAAAUUUGCCAGACUCUGUCUCUGAUUUGGUGAGUCUCUCUGCGUUAUUGCUCAAUGAUUGUGAGAAGUUAAGACAUGUUUCAUCAUUAAAGAAGCUCAGGGCACUGAAGAGGUUGAAUCUCUCUCGUACUGCACUUGAAAAGAUGCCGCAAGGAAUGGAAUGCCUAACCAACCUGAGGUAUCUUAGAAUGAAUGGAUGUGGUGAAAAGGAGUUCCCAGUGGGAUAUUACCAAAACUCUCUCACCUGCAAGUCUUUGUACUAGAAGAGUUAAUGGGGGAAUGUUAUGCUCCGAUAACAGUUAAAGGAAAGGAAGUACGAUCCUUGAGAUAUUUGGAAACUUUGGAAUGCCAUUUCGAAGGUUUUUCUGACUUCGUGGAGUAUCUCAGAUCUCGGGAUGGGAUCCUAUCAUUAAGCACAUACAAAGUUUUAGUAGGAGAGGUGGGUAGGUAUUUAGAGCAAUGGAUUGAAGAUUAUCCAAGUAAAACAGUUGGGUUGGGUAAUUUGAGUAUCAACGGAAAUAGAGAUUUUCAGGUCAAGUUCUUAAAUGGCAUUCAAGGACUGAUUUGUCAAUGCAUCGAUGCAAGAAGUUUAUGUGAUGUUUUGUCAUUGGAGAAUGCAACUGAACUGGAGCGCAUCAGCAUUCGGGAUUGCAAUAACAUGGAGAGCUUGGUUUCAUCUUCUUGGUUCUGCUCUGCUCCACCACGUAACGGUACGUUUUCUGGUCUUAAAGAGUUUUUUUGUUAUAAUUGUGGAAGUAUGAAGAAGCUGUUCCCGCUUGUGUUGCUGCCAAACCUCGUAAACCUGGAAAGGAUUGAAGUGAGUUUCUGUGAGAAAAUGGAGGAGAUAAUAGGAACAACAGAUGAAGAAAGCAGCACCUCCAAUUCCAUCACGGAAGUCAUUCUCCCAAAGUUAAGAAGUCUGGCAUUGUAUGUGUUACCAGAACUGAAAAGCAUUUGUAGUGCAAAACUGAUUUGCAAUUCUCUUGAAGAUAUUAAGUUAAUGUAUUGUGAGAAGCUGAAGAGGAUGCCAAUUUGUCUUCCGUUGCUUGAAAAUGGCCAGCCAUCUCCUCCCCCUUCUCUUAGAACAGUCUAUUCAUGGCCAAAAGAAUGGUGGGAGACAGUAGUGGAGUGCGAGCAUCCUAAUGCAAAGGAUGUCCUUCGUCCCUUUGUAAAGUAAUAUAAUAUAGUGUGCUUACAAUUACAUAAAUAACAUUGUUCAUUUUUUUUAUUUCAUUAGUCAUAUUUUUGUUAACUCGAUAGAUAAAUAAUUAUAAUUUGAAGUUUGAUUAAUAUUAUAUUUUUAUCCUCAUUGAAUUUCUCCAAGAUGAAAAUCCAAAAAAUAAAAAAAAUACUAUAUUGAUUUAUCACUUAAGUAACCUAAUAAAAUAAUAAAUAAUCAGUGAAAGUAUUCUUCUACACACAUUUUUAAAAUGUCUAAGAGAGAGUAUGAAUAUGGCAGUUUUGGUUUCUAAACCUGAAACUGCCAUAUUCAUAAACACAUUUUUUAAAUAACUGAAACUUCUAAUACCAAAUUUAAUACUAAAACUAGAAAGUAGCAUAGGCGUGAUUUUUAAAAUUUUGAUCCCUUUAAUUUAAAUUUUUUUAAAAAGUCCUAAAAUCUAGGCAAUUUGUUUUUGACACAACCUGGGAUUAAAUAUAAUUUUUAAAUAUUUUUAAAUAGUUAAGAUUAAAUAAUUUUUUAAUUUAAAACAAUUCAAUUUCAAUAAAAUAUCAAAAUAUUAUGAAAUUAAAAUUAAUAUUUAAAAGAAGGUUUAAAGGUGGUUUGCCCAUUUAACCAAUACCCAUUUAAAACGCAAUAGCAAACUGGGAUUAAGCAACACAGAAUUAAUCAAAUAGUUUUUUGGAUAAUGAUAAUUUUGUUGGGCCACGGAAUUAGGUCACUGAAGAACUUUUUAGUAAAGGAUUAAUUACUAUGCUCUUAUCCACACAAUCCUUCAUCACCAUCCAAUCCCAUCACUGGAAAACUUAUCCUCUUUGAUCUCAAUGCCCUUCUGCCAUCCCCAAAUAUAUGCUUUUAUCCCUUUUCCUUUGUAUCUUGUCGUUUGUGUCUUUGUCCACUGGCUUAAGGGUGUUUAGUAAUUCUACAUACGGUUUUUUUAAAAAUAUUUUUCAAAUAUAAAUAUAUUAAUAUAAUGUUUUUAAAUUUUUUUUAAUACUAACAUAUUAAAAUUAUUAAAAAAAUAUUUUUUAAUCUAAAUACAUGCAAGCAAGAUGAUACAUAAUUCCUGCAUUUAAAAAAACACAUUUAUUAAUAGAGUGUUUGAAAAAUAUAGUACCAGUUAUUUUUUAAUUUGUUUUUUUAUAAAUAUAUUAAAAUAAUAUAUUUUUUUAUUUUUUAAAAGUUAUUUUUAAUAUGAUUAUAUGAAAAUAAUUUAAAAAUAUUAAAAAAAAUAUUGAUUUAAAAUUAAAAAAUAAUAAUUUUUUAAAAAUAAAACUUUUAAAAAAUAAAAAUAAAAAUAAAACACCAACCCUGACAUUAACCCAAUGUGAACCCAAUGACCUCAUCAUUUCUUUCUGUACAUUUUGCGUGUGUUAAAGGACGCUCCUAAGGCCAAGCUCAUAACAGGACACACGUGUCUAUCCAUACAAAAAUUGGUAUUAAAAAAUGUGUUGACACCAUUCGCUCUCUCCCUUUCCCACCUUCUUUCACUGUAUGUGUGUAUUAUUUAAGAAUGUGUGUCACCCGUCGUACCAAACCUCAAAUUUUAUUGAUAUUCACGGUAGGUUAAUUUGGUUGUUAAUUUUAGAAUUUGUAGAAAUUAAUAAAGAUAUAUAUAAGCUGGUUUGGAUAUUUUAUAUAAAUAAAAAAUAUUAAAUUUUAUUUUUUUAAUUUAAAAUUUGAUAUGUAUAACACAAUAUCUUAACUUAUUCUCAUCCUUUAUCUUUUUUAAAAAACAAAUACAUUAAUCAUGACGAUAAAUCCUCUUAACAAUGAGUAUUACAUUUAAUUCCAAUGCAUGUAAUUUUUCAAAUAUUAUUCUUUAUGUGGCAAUCUCAUUUAAUAAAUAAACUUUAUGUUUAUUAUUUGUGCUAUAUAGAUGUGUUUUCUCAAAUAAAUUGAGGUGCGUAUAAAUAGAAAGCAUCAUAAUAAAUAAAAUCUUUUUAAAAAUAAUAUACUUCAUAAUGGAAUUAAGUUUCAUUUUCAAUACAUGAUCCUUGAAUUUAAAUGAUAGCAUACUCUUAGUUAAAGGAUUUAUGAUCAUCAAUUCAAUAUAAAUGCGCUUAAUGAUGACUUUUUUUUCCUAUGUUUACUUUGACUACAAUUUUUAUUAUUCUUGGCCUUCAAAACAACAAAACCGAUUGACGUGCUGCUGGUAUUUUCAUUGUGUAUACAUGGAUGCAAGGUGUACGUAGAAACUUUUGGUAAAAAAGAGGGGGUAUACUUAGCAUGAUCUUGUUUAAUUGAUAAAAUGUUUUAAUUAAUAAAAGAAUGACGAGUUUCAAAUCCUACUAUAACCAAUUUGAUCUUGUUUUUUUUUUUUUUUUUUUGUCAAAGUACCUUGUGGGUCAGAUUGGGUUUUGACUGGAUAUGGUUACUGAAUCUCUUAUUUGGUUAAACUUCAAAUCUAGCCCAGCUUUCAUGUCAAUCUACUAGGUCUAGAGUUGAAUUUAUUAAUAUGAAAUAUUUCUUUUUUAUAUAGUGUGCUUACAAUUACAUAAAUAAUAUUUUUUAUUUGUUUCAUUAUUUUUUAAGACUAUUAAUGAAUUGUCAUAUUUUUUUUAACUCGAUAGAUAAAUGAUUAUAACUUGAAGUUUGAUUAAUAUUAUUUUUCAUCCUAUUGAGUUUCCCCAAGAUGAAAAUCCAAAAAAAAAAAAAACUAUAUUGAUUUAUCAUUAAAGUAACCUAAUAAAAUAAUAGAUCUAUUCACUAGUACAAAUCAUGCAUCUAAUAUCAUUAACUAGCAAUAAAUUAUUUUUUAAAAUAUAUAAUAAAAAUUACCAAGAAAAAGAGAGAGAGAAGACACUUUAAAAAAAUAAUAACCAAGUUACAUGACUUGAAAUUUUAAAAAUUUUAUAAGAAUAUAUUUAGAAUAAAAUUUCAUACCUUUAUCUAUUUUUCUCAUGUCAUCUUAGUCUUAUUCGGAGGAAAAAAAAUUUAAAUUCAUUCUAUUUUUUUAAUUUUCCUUAUGAUUUUUAAAUUUUUAUUUUUAAGCUUUUUAGGUUUUAUGAACAAUAUAAGAAAAACUAAAAAGAUUGGUUAAUCCACUGUACAUGAAGACACAUGUUCCUAUGCAUUAUAUUAAGGAUUUGUUUAAGAGCGUGAUAAAAAUUAUAUUGCAAAAUGUGUUUUUAUUUAGAAAUAUAUUAAAAUAAUAUAUUAAAAUUUUUAAAUUUUUUUUAAUAUUAUCACAUUAAAAAAAUAGAAAAACACACAAAAAAAAAUAAUUUAAAUUUUAUUUUUUCCAAAAUGGUAAUGAGCAUUUUUCCAAUCUGUUGGGGGUGAUGCUGGUGGGCUUGGUGUUGCCUCAUGUAGCUUUCCAAAGUUUUAACAUUACAGUUAAUAGCUCCAAUUCUUUUGCACAUUACCUUGCUUUCAUGUAAUAUUAUAUUAUUUAUUAUACAUGUAAUAUUUUCACAGCAAAGAAUAUUGUAAUGUUAAAUACGUACACGUAGAACUUCACGAGAUGGGGUAAUCGGUUAAGCACGUCAAACAAUCAUAAAAUCCUUGUUCUUCUGCUUUCAAGAAUGUAACAAUAAAAUAAUAUUUUUUUAUUUUUUAAAAUGUAUUUUUAUUCAACAUAUCAAAACGGUACACAAAUAUAAAAAAUUCAAAUUUAAAUAAAAAAUAAAAUUUAACCAAUACCCAUUUAAAACGCAAUAGCAAACUGGGAUUAAGAAACACGGAAUUAAUCAAAUAGUUUUUUGGAUAAUGAUAAUUUUGUUGGGCCACGGAAUUAGGUCACUGAAGAACUUUUUAGUAAAUGAUUAAUUACUAUGCUCUUAUCCACACAAUCCUUCAUCACCAUCCAAUCCCAUCACUGGAAAACUUUUCCUCUUUGAUCUCAAUGCCCUUCUGUCAUCCCCAAAUAUAUGCUUUUAUCCCUUUUCCUUUGUAUGUUGUCGUUUGUGUCUUCGUCCACUGGCUUAAGGGUGUUUAGUAAUUCAUACGGUUUUUUUAAAAAUAUUUUUCAAAUAAAAAUAUAUUAAUAUAAUGUUUUUUUAAUUUUUUUUAAUACUACAGCAUCAAAAUUAUUAAAAAAAUAUUUUUUUAUCCAGUACAUACAAGCAAGCUAAUACAUCAUUCCCGCAUUAAAAAAGAACACAUUUAAUAAUAAAGUGUUUAAAAAUAUGGUAAUGGUUGAUUUUUAAAUUGUUUUUUUCUUAGAAAUAUUUUAAAAUAAUAUAUUUUUUUAUUUUUUAAAAAUCAUUUUUAAUAUCAUUAUAUUAAAAUAAUUUAAAAAUAUUAAAAAAUAAUAUUUUUUUUAAAAUAAUACUUUUAAAAUAUAAAAAUAAAACACAAACCCUAACCUCAAUAUUAUGUGAACCCAAUGACCUCAUCAUUUCUUUCUGUACAUUUUGCGUGUGUUAAAGGACGCUCCUAACUCCUAAGGCCACGCUCAUUUUUUUUCCCUGUUUGUGGGACUCCAAUUUAUUCUGAACUCUUGUCAGUCUUGACACCUUUCGCUCUCUCCCUUUCCCACCUUCUUAUUCAAUUAUUCAAUUCAAUUAGGAACCUGAUAGGAGUUGGAUUUUAAGUCUAGAUUUUGAUUUAUUAUAUAUUUUUUAAAUUGAUUUUUUUUAUUUUCUCCAUUAAUAUCUUUCUUUACGGGUAAAUAAAAAAACAUAUUUCAUUAUUCUUUUUUAGAAGAUAUUUGGAAUCAUUUGCUGGAUCUAUUUUCUGUUUUUAUUUUCAAAUUUUGAAAUGACUCCUCAGGAAACAAUUCCAGCCACUUAUUUGUCAUGAAAUUUGGAUGAUGUAUAAUUCCAAGUGGGCAUGCUGCAUUUCUUAGCCAGGUGUAGCAAGAAUUGAGGUAGCUUGUUUCUGGCUUUUGCUUCUCGGGGUAUGAUUUGUUGUGUUUUCGUUUUUUUUGCUAAUUUAUCUAAAUAUGAACUUUAAAAUCUUUUAAAUGAAACUAGCGUUCUUGAUUUCUAGGCGGUAGAUAUAACAGUAAUAUUAUUAAAAUGAAAAUAAAAAUAAAUAAAUAAAUAUGCUCAGACUUUUACCAUGUAGCAAUAGAGAAAACACGGCGUCUCUCUGUUUUUUUUUAAGCAUUUUUGUUUUUAAUUUCAUUAUAAUAAUUUAUUUCAAAAAGCUUAUUAUGAAGCUCUCACAGUUUAAGAAAAAACAUUUCAAUGUAGAGUUGAAGCUCUCACAGACAAGUCAAGGCCCAGGACUAGGAGUCGUGAAAUUCACUUUGAACCAGCCUGGACGCACUUAAAAUAGUAAUUCUGUUUUCUUAAUUUUACGAAUAAUUCACUCAAGGAGAGAUUGCUUAUAGAACUCCCUUUUGUUCAUCAGAAUAAACAAAGGGGGAUUUGGGAUAUAUGCAUUACAAAGAUGCGGAGCUUUGUCCCUUCAUAUAAACUCUCAUAUAUAGAAAUCAUCGGAUGAGGAAAUAGAUCGAAACAUAGCUAAUUAAUAGUAUAUUAAAGUAAUAUAAUUUUAGAAGAUGGAAAUAUUAUGAGAACCCACUAAUUAUAUGUAUGCAAAAAAACAAUCAAUUUUGAAUAAACUUGCAAAACCAGGUGUUUGCUUUGGCUUAAGGAAGUGCCUUCUGGUUUUUAGCACCAAAUUAAAAGAGAGGUGUGCAUAUAUAUAAGAAACUUCACAGAUUAAAUUGACCAGAAACUCUAAUUGUUGUCAUGAUUAAUUGCAUGUAGAAAAAUCCUGACAAUAAAUUUUUUUUUGUUUUUAUUAUUUAUGUUUUGGUUCUUUAGUAAUAAGGGUAUGAUCGAGGACCACACAACCCAUUUCACUGAUCACAAAUUCAAGAGAAAGGAACAGUACAAGCAAUGGACAAGGAGAAACAGACGACCAUACAAAUAAGAGUCGGGAGGCCGAAUGUAUUGGGGCAGCCACCUCUCUGUUUUUAAAAAAGCGUAAGCGUGUGCUCCUCUUCUCGGUCAACAGUCAAAACUAUUUUAUUUCUUAAACUUUACGCAGCACGGGCCACUUUUCUUGGCUUUUUGCUCAGAUGAUUUUUGUAUUAUAGCUCUUUUUAUUAUUGUUAUUAUUUCAGAAAAAUAUCCUGAACUGGAAAAUAAAAUGGAGCUGCUCGUCUCGCAACAUGUGAUCCUCGUAGGGCUUAAGUCUAACCAGAUUCACUGAUCAAUAAAGAAAAUUAUCAUUGUAACAAUUUUUUUAAAAUAUUUGUUAUUAAAAAAUAUAUUAAAAUAAUAAAUUUUUUAUUUUAAAAAAAUUAUUUUUUAUAGCAACAGAACAGUAUAUAAAUAUAAAAAUAAUCAAAUUUAAAUAAAUAAAAUAAAAUUUAACCAAUACCCAUUUAAAACGAAAUAGCAAACUGGGAUUAAGAAACACAGAAUUAAUCAAAUAGUAUUUUGGAUAAUGAUAAUUUUGUUGGGCCACCGAAUUAGGUCACUGAAGAACUUUUUAGUAAAGGAUUAAUUACUAUGCUCUUAUCCACACAAUCCUUCAUCACCAUCCAAUCCCAUCACUGGAAAACUUAUCCUCUUUGAUCUCAAUGCCCUUCUGCCAUCCCCAAAUAUAAGCUUUUAUCCCUUUUCCUUUGUAUUUUGUCGUUUGUGUCUGUCCACUGGCUUAAGGGUGUUUAGUAAUUCUAUAUACGGUUUUUUAAAAAAUAUUUUUUAAAUAAAAAUAUAUUAAUAUAAUAUUUUUAAACAUUUUUUAAUACUAACACAUUAAAAUUAUUAAAAAAAUAUUUUUUAAUCUAUUACAUACAAGCAAGCUGAUACAUAAUUCCCACAUUAAAAAAAGAUAUUUAUUAAUAAAGUGUUUGAAGUUGUUUUUUAAAUUAUUUUUUAUUUAAAAAUACAUUAAAAUAAUUUUUUUUAUUUUUUUUAAAUUAUUUUUAAUAUCAUCAUAUCAAAAUAAUCUAAAUAAAUUAAAAAAUAAUAAUUUAUUUUAAAAAAUACUUUUAAAAUAUAAAAAUAAAACACAAACCCUAACCUCAACCCUUUGUGAACCCAAUGACCUCAUCAUUUCUUUCUGUACAUUUUGCGUGUGUUAAAGGACGCUCCUAAGGCCACGCUCAUAACAGGACGGUGGAUGAUUACGACCAGAACAAGGGUUUAUCAAGGAUCGGAAGAGGGCCAGGAGGGUUUAGAGGACACGUGUCAAGUCUUAUCAUAAAGGUUAAAAGGUGAUUCAUGAGAUUAAGCAAGUCCUUUGAACCAGCCGCCAUCUUUGACCCUCUCCUCUGGAAUACCACUACGGGCCACAAUAUGGAUCCUUUUUUGUUUCCUGUCAAUUAUUCAAUUCAAGUAGGAACCUGAUACGAGUUAGAUUUUAAGUCUAGAUUUUGAUUUAUUAUAUAUUUUUUAAAUUGAUUUUUUUUAUUUUUCUCCAUUAAUAUCUUUCCUUACGGGUAAAUAAAAAAAACAUAUUUCAUUGUUCUUUUUAGAAGAUAUUUGGAAUCAUUUGCUGGAUCUAUUUUCUGUUUUUAUUUUCAAAUUUUGAACUGACUCCUCAGGAAACAAUUCCAACCAAUUAUCUGCCAUGGAAUUUGGAGGAUGUAUAAUUCCAAGUGGGCAUGCUGCAUUUCUUAGCCAGGUGGAGCAAGAAUUGAGGUAGCUUGUUUCUGGCUUUUGCUUCUCUGGGUAUGAUUUGUUGUGUUUUCGUCCUUUCUGUUAAUUUAUCUAAAUAUAAACUUUAUAAUCUUUUAAAUGAAAUUAGCGUUCUUGAUUUCUAGGUGGUAGAUAUAACAGUAAUAUUAUUAAAAUAAAAAUAAAUAAAUAAAUAUGCUUAGACUUUUACCAUGUAGCAAUAGAGAAAACAUGACGUCUCUCUGUUUUUUUUUUAAGCAUUUUUGUUUUUAAUUUCAUUAUAAUAAUUUAUUUCAAUAAGCUUAGCAUGCUUAUUAUGAAGCUCUCACACAAUAUUAUUAAAAUUNNNNNNNNNNNNNNNNNNNNNNNNNNNNNNNNNNNNNNNNNNNNNNNNNNNNNNNNNNNNNNNNNNNNNNNNNNNNNNNNNNNNNNNNNNNNNNNNNNNNUUUUAAUAUUAGCACAUCAAUAUCAAAACAUUAUAGGAACACUAAAACAAAUUUAAUUUAAAAUAAAAAAAAUUUAAAGUUUUAUAAAAAACAAGGUUUGACUGCACCAUGUCUCAGUCAUAUAAGUUGAUAUAUGUGUUUGGAUGGGAGGUAAAUUGUGUUUUUUUAGGUUAAAAGUAUAUUUUUUUAGCUUUUGAAAAUAUAAUUUAUACUUAAAAGAUUUUAUAUCUUAAAAAAAAAAUACAACUACAUCUUCGAGCCAAACACGUGCUUGAGUGAUUCUUGGCAAUCAAUUCCUGGAUCAAGACGAUAAGGUCCAGCCAGAGGUAAAACCUGAUGCAGCUACCGACUUAAAUAUUUUCAUUUAAGGAAGUGCAGCGUUUGUGUCCCGAGAGAAGCCACCAGGCAAAUACUAAGAUCAUUUUUUAUUUUAUAAUGUAAAUGUAUUUUUCAAAAAAAAGUUAAAAUUUGUUUUAUUUUAAAUUAAUUUUUUUUAAUAUUUUUAAAUUAUUUUAAUGUAUUAAUAUCAAAAAUAAAUUUUUUAAAAAAUAUUAUUUAUACAUAUUUUUAAAUAAAAAAUACUUUAAAAAUCAAAUCUCAUUUCAAACUGGCAGUGCCCUGUACCAAACUAUAUUAUCAACAAGAUUUUCCUCGUAUGAAUUAAAGCAUUCUGCAUUUGACACAACUUGAAAAACAUGUUUCUUCUUAAAUUAUUAUUUCCAUGUGUUUUUUAAAAUCUAAAUAUUUGAGAAUUGGUGGGGUUGAUUUUGUUAGCUUGAUAUGCUUUCGUCUUUGCUAUCCAUUUUUUUUUUGGUUACUUUUGUAUGCUUUCCUCUGUUGCUAAUAUCCACCUCAGCAAGUAGCAUCUAGUUAUAAACACCUUGGGUAUAUUAGUAAAAUAGAAAAACAUUCAUUAUAAUUUGUCUCACAAAAAUUUCAAGGUUAAGUAAAAUCACUCUGCUCUGAUAGACACACUCAAAUGCAGAAAGAUAAAAACUACCAAAUACACCUUAAACCCUGUUUAUUUUUAUAUUUUAAAAAUACUUUUAAAACAAUUUAAAUGUUAGACUGGUUUAUCUUUACAAUCGCAAUGUGUUUUUAAAAAAUAUAUUUUUAAUAUUUUUUAAUUAUUUUGAUAUUAUGAUAUAAAAAAUAAAAAAUUUAAAAAAUUAUUUUAAUAUAUUUCUAAAUAAAAAAUAUUUUUAAAAAAUAUUUACAGCAUGCAUAAAUAUACUAUUCUUCUUAGAAAAUUUCAUGUGUUUACAUUUUCUUGGCAGCUUCUUCGAAGUUUCAACAUUGGUGGGGGUCCACACGUUAACUUUUUAUAUCUUAUAAUAUAAUAUGUGUGUUUGGUAGUGAUAAUUUUUUUAUUAAUUUUUUUUUAAAUAUACAUUAUAUUUUUUUAAAUUAAAAAUAUAUAUUUUUUAUAUGGCCAUAAAAAAAAACCAAAAUAAUCUCCAAACACUCUCAUGUUUGGUAGGUGAGCGGUGGGUUGCUUCCUGACAACGUCCUUACUAUCAGGCAAUACGUUAAUUAAUUAUUAUUUUAGCUGAUUAUUUUAUUUUUAAUUUUAUAUUCAUGGGAAUUUGAGGUUAAUAAUUUAUUUUAAUUAAUUAUGAAGUUCUCAAGGUAAAAAAAAAAAAAAGCUUCAACGAUUAAUUUAAGUUGGUAUUUGAUUUGAUAAAAUUUUAUUCAAUUUAAUUUAUUAAAAAUAAUUGAAACUUUGAACAUCAAAUAUGAUACUGAAAUAAAAAAGCAGCCUGUUGUGUUUUUCAAAAUUCUGUUCCCUAGAGUUUUUGCAUUUUGCAUUUUAAUUUUAAUUUUUGAUUUUUAAUUUUAAUUCAAAAUUUUAUUUUAUUAAUUUUUUAAUCUAUGAAUUUGAGAUAAAAAAUCACUAAAAAACUCGGAAAAAAUGGAAAAUUAUUGGCCGACAAUUUUAGCAACAAAAAAACACGAUAAUCCUUGUAUUAAUGGAAAACUAGUGUGCAGAUUGGAUAUCAAAUCAUACUUUAUAGGUCGAGGGCUAAAAAUAUAAAUCUGUAGAAGGGUGUUGGAAAAAAUAAUAAUUUCCAUUGGUGUGGAAAAGUUUAAAGUUCAGAUAUACUAUUAUAGAAUAAGAUAAUUUGAUGGUGUAAUAAUUAUUAUUUUUUAAAUUAUUUUUUUAUUUAAAAAUAUAUUAAAAUAAUAUUUUUUUAUUUUUUAAAAUUUAUUUUUAAUAUUAAAAUGUCAACACAAAAUGCACAUAGUUGUAAAACAUGAUAGGAGGAAGUUUGAGUCAUAGAUUAAGAGAGGCGUUUUAUUUUUUUUUAAAAAUCAAAAUAAUAUUAUUUUAAUAUUUUUUUUUAUAAAAAAUUAAGGAAUUAAAAGCUGAGUAAAUCAAGUUAAGAAAUCACUUAGAUUCUUGAUUAAAUCAGCUGAUGACCCGUUAACUUUGGCAGGUAUACAUUAAUUUAUUUUCUUGGCAGGUUCUUCGAAGCGUCAACAUUGGGGCGGGUCCACACGUUAACUUUCUAUAUCUUAUAAUGUAAUAUGUUUGGGUUGCUUCCUGGCAACUUCCUUCCUUCCUAUCAAACAAUACUUUAAUUAAUUAAUUAAUAAAUAAAUAAUAGUAUUUGUAACAUUCGCUAGCGGCUGUAACAUUCGCUUCCACAUCUCCUCUCAUUAUAGAAUUCUCUACUUUCCUUUCCACAUCUCAUGAUCAGUGCGAACUAGAUUUAUGUAUGCUGCAACUUUAUUAUUUUUCUAAACCAUACAUUCUUCUCUGAUCUGUGAUUUCUCUUCCUUUUCUUUUGGCUGAUCACUGCUUAAGCAAACCAGCACUUGAAGAACAUCUUGAAUCCAGGCAAAUUAUUUGUCAUUCAUCUUGUCUGAAUCUUUAAAGUAAUCCAUGAUAAAUAGAUAGAUCUUUUUCUCAGAUUUUAUAAUCCAUGCCCUGUGGUGUUCAUACUGAUUAAAUUAACCCCAAACGUUGAAUUCAUUGUUUUCGUCUUUUCAAGAUUCUUUGCUGUUUUUAACUCCUUAUUUUAGAUUCACCCUUUUCUUUUCCAAUUAAUGGGACUGCCAUUGAUUUUUAAUUAAUAUUUUUCGACUUUUGUUUCUUACAAUGAUUCAAUGAAUUAACUUGAUCGGUAAUUACCUUUCAAUAAACAAAAUAAGAAUAAUUAAAAAAGAAUAAAUAGGAGUUGAAAGAGGUUUGUUUAACAGUAAACAAUGAAUCUUGCAUUUGUUUUGCUCCCCAAAUUAUGAAUAAAGAGGAGUUGAAAGAGGUUUCUGUUCACCCCGUCAAAACAAUCAGCUCUUCUACCUUCAACAGUUAUCCUGCAUCUUUCUAUCUAUCAUAAAAAGAAUUUGAGUAUGAUAAUUUAUCUUAAAAGACAAAGGAUUAAAUCAUUAACAACAACAUUUAUAUUUCAUAUUUUUCAUCCGAAUUUCUUUAACAAACAAGAAAGUCAUAUAUAUAUAUAUAUAUUCUUUUCUGAUCUGUGCUUUCUGUUCUUUUUAGACCUCAGUUUUUUUUGUCUUUUCUGAUCUUUUCUGGUCAGAUGGAAGGGUUCCAACCAUCUUUUAUGGAGGAGGUUGACAACAUGACAUGGGAUCAGCUGGGUUUUCAAUCAGAAGAAGAUACAUUCAAUAUGUCUGAGCUUCUCUCGUACGUCAUUCUUAAGCAUAUUUUAUCAGAAGAUGAUUGCUUGCAGUUUAGUUAUUCUUCAGUUUAUCCUAUUAUUCCCAAAAAACAAUAUAAUGUCGUCACUGUCCAUGGAAGCAGGCCGCCACCGGAGGUUCCAGUCAACCAAAGCUCCAUAUCAUGCAAUGAUCAAGGUGGACAGAACAAUUUGAUCAACGAUAGUAUUCAACAAACAACUCAGUUUCCAACUUCAUUUCCUGAAACAAUGGUGAGUACUCCAAUUUGCUACAAUGUCCAUUGAAUUAGCAAGUGUUUGUAUUAUACAAAAAAGUUUUAUGUUUAGUGUAUCGAUCUCGAGCAUCUUCAAAUUGUUUACUGUUAAACAAAUAGACAACAAUUGGGAGAUUUAGACAUUUUUUAUGAUAUUUUUUUAUCAUUAAGUUUUAUAUAAAAUUGGCCUCAAACUCCAUCAAGGCAUCAUAAUUCCUUUAUUCAUCAACCUCAGCCGGGACAUGGCUAUAUGACACCGAACGCAACCACUUCACAACAUGAUGGCUUCAAUCAACCGAAAUUUUCUAAAUAUGGACUUUAGAAUCCUUCUUGAUUUCUUGACGGUAGAAAUAACAGGACUAUUAUUAAAAUAAAAAUAAAUAAAUAAAUAUGCUCAGACUCUUACCAUGUACCAAUAGAGAAAACAAGGUAGAUGUCUCUCUGUUUUUUUUUAUAAAGCAUUUUUGUUUUUAAUUUCAUUUGAUAAUUUAUUUCAAUAAACUUGUUAUGGAGCUCUUGUGGUCUAAGAAGAAAAAACAAUUCAAUGUAGAGUUGAUGUUUGACUUAACAAGAUUUUGUUCAAUUUAAUUGAUUAAAAAUAAGUGAAAUUUUGACCGUCAAAUUUGAUAUUAAAAUUUUGAAGAUAAAUAUUGAAGACUGAAUUUGAUAUUAAAACUAAAAAUAAGUAGAAAGUUUUUACAAAGGUAAAUGUUAUGAAAAGAAAUUGCUAUCCAACUGGUGUGCAGAUUGGAUAGCAAAUCAAGCUAUGUUGAAGUUUUCUACUGCAGUGAAGCUCCCUCUGGUUGCUUGAAGCUAAUGCCUGAUUGUUGCGUUCCUGGGAUUUUGAUAAGUGUAUGAAAGUCUAUUUUAUCAUUAAUUUGUUUUUAUGUUUUAAAAAUAUUUUAAAAAAAUUAAUUUUUUAUUUUAAAUUUAUUCUAACUCUUUUGUUUUAUCAUUCUCAAAGUCCAAACAACAACGGUACUGUCAAGAUUGUUAUGUUUAUGCCCGCAAUCUAAACGUAAUUUGUUUUUGUACUCAGAGUUAUGUUUAUUAAAAAAUCUGGUUAUUUUAAAAAAAUAUUAAAUUAAUAUUUUUUAAUUUAUUAAUAUUAAAAAUAAAAAAAUAUUUUGAUUACUCAGAAUAAAUAAGAAGCUUUAUAAUAGUUAAGAAACGUAUUCCAAAGUUUAGUUUACUGGUUGACUCACAUAUUAACUGAAUAACUUGAGUAAAAAAGAAAACCACAUCAUAUUAUGAUGGUAUUUAUUAAAAAAUAAAAAUAAAAUAACAAUAUUUUUUUUUAAUAUUAUCUUUUUAAAUAUUUUUAUUUUAAAAAAGUUUCACAUAGUUGUAGGUAAAAAAAAAAAAAAGAUGUUUUAAUUUAGCAACGAUGGAGCAUCCACAAGAAAGAUAUUAUACGGUUAUUAAUUUUCAUUAAAAGAAAAGCUAAGAGACUUGGGAGAACUACUUCAUUGUAAAUUACAAUAGUACGCAAUUCAAGGUGUUUUGCCUUUUUUGUUUUGUUUUUUAAAAUUUGUUUUUGUUUAUUUUAUAAUAGGCUGGUUAUAAUUCAGCUUUAAUUUAUUAAUUUUUAUUCUAUUUUUUUAUAAGAUUAACGUAAUUUAUAGGUUUGUUAAAAUAACUCAAAUUAUACUAGUUUUCAGAUUUGGUGGGAUAUUUUUUUGUUUAUUAAUUAAAAGAAAAACUAAAAGGUAUAAGAGAAUCACUAUUUACCCACACUCAAUUCAUUAUAAAUUACAAUAGUAAUCUAUAGUGUUUUGUCUUUUCCCUUUUUUUCCUUUUUUUUUAUCAUUUUUAAAAAUAAUUUUUUUGUCUAUUUCAUAUUUGGGCCGAAUUAGCAUAUAUAUAUAUAUAUAUAUAUAUAUAUAUAUAUAUAUAUAUUGGGUUGGUGUUUAAUUUUACAAGUAAGUAUCUAUUUUUGUUAUCAUAUUAUUAAAUAAAAAUAAUUUUUUAAAAAAGUAUACUCCUAGUUAAGUCCAUAACCUUGUUCAUGGGUUAGAUGUGCUAGCCUAAGUUACCUGAUUCACGAGUUUGACAGGUUUAUCAAUUGAUCGAAUAUGUUUUUUUUUCUAGUCUUUUAAUUUUUUUAAUUGAUUUUUUUUAUAAUUUUGUCCUUCAAUAUUAGAUUGGUUUGGAAAUAGACUAAAUGAUUUAUUUUUGUUUGCUUUCUAUAGGGUUAUCAAAAUCUUAAAUAAAUAUUUAUUUUAGGGAUGAUACUCAAUUUUAUGAGCAUUUAUUUUUAUCAUAUAAUUAAAUUAAAAAAAAACUUAAAAAAAUUACUAAACCCAAUAGAAUCCAUGACCCAGAUCGCGAGGGACCGGGAUCGAUCAAAUUUGUCAUUGUUUCAAUUUUUUUUUUUUAAAAAAAGUUGUUGUCUAGAAGUUUUUAUUAAAAAACUAAGCCAUGCUUUACUAGUUUUCUAAGUUGUAUUUAGAUAUUAAUUGAUUUAAAUUGAGUUAAUUUCCAUACAAUUUAAUUAAAAACUUAAAUUAAAUAAAAAAUUAGAUUAAAAGAUUUUAAUAUCAACUCCCCUAACCAGGUUUAAUAAUAUCGCCAACAAACUUUCUUCACUCUUAACAUUUUAUUUUUAUAUUUUUUAAAAAUUAAUCCCCUAAAAAAACUAUGACAUAUUAUUGAGUGUAGGUUUUGUUUAUUAAAAGUAAGGAUUGAGUCUUUGACUGCAUGUAAUGGCAUUGACUGAAAACCUUUAAUCACAUGCUAUUAAUCUGUUAUUGUUAGAGCACAUGCUUUUCAAAAACUUUGAAUUAUUUUCCUUUUAAAUUAUUAUUUUUUUAUUAAAAAUAAAUUUAAAAAAUAAAAAAAUUAUUAUUUUAAUUAUUUUAAAUAAAAAAUAUUUUUAAAAGAAAAGUAUAUUAUUGUUUCUCAUAUUCAUGUGUUUACAUUUUCUAGGAAUCUUCUUCUAAGCUUCAUAAUUGGGUAGGUAAAGUAGUGUUUUUAACUCCUUAUUUUAGAUUCACCCUUUUCUUUUCCAAUUAAUGGGACUGCCAUUAAAAUAUGCUUUUCACCAUUUAUUUGUUUUUCUUUUAUUUUGACUUACGUAACGUGUGUACCCAGCAAUCCACUCGUGUGUGUGUCUAUAUAUAUAUAUAUAUAUAUAUAUAUAUAUAUAUAUAUUAAUUUGCUAUGUGCUUUCUGUUCUUUUUUCACCUCAGUAUGUACUAAUCAUCUUGUACUUUUGGUCAGAUGGAAGGGUUCCCACCAUCUUCUAUGGAUGAUCUUGAAUCACUAUUUCUCUCGUACGUCAUUCUUAAACAUAUUUUAUCAGAAGAUGAUUGCUUGCAAUGUAGUUAUUCUUCCGUUUAUCCUAAUAUAUUAUUCCAUGGAAGUAGGCCGGCACCGGAGGUUCCAGUCAACCAAGGCUCCAUAUUAUGCAAUGAUCAAGGUGGACAUAAGAAUGUGAUCAACGAUAGUAUUCAACAAACAACUCAGUUUCCAACUUCAUUUCCUGAAACCAUGGUGAGUACUCAUGCUUACUCCAAUUUGCUACAAUGUCCAUUGAAUUAGGCAUCAUUAUUCCUUUAUUCAUCAACCUCAGACGGGACAUGGCUAUAUGACACCGAAUGCAACCACAUCACAACAUGGUGAAUUCAAUCAACCUGGACCUUCUUCUCUUGCUCCCUGGUAUCCAAUUUUUCAUUUUAGUAUUUUCUGAAAAAAAAAAAAAGUUUUUCAAUCAUUAUUUAACUUCUUCUUCUUCUUCCUCUUGUUGUUGUACUUAUCAGUGAAUUCAUUAUGUUUGAAUAUAGGUAUCAGCCUAAUCCUAAUUUAUUUGAUCCUCAAUGUGCCAAUCCUUUGAGGUAAGCUAAAAUGAUAUCAAAUACUUAGUGGAUUAAUAGCAAAGAAUUAUGCAUAUGUAUAAAGAAAUUACUAACAAGUGUUGCUAAUUUAGGGACCAACAAUUGACUAAUUAUCAGUUACCAAUGAGCAAUCAAGUGCCUGCGAUGCUACCUGGACCUCAUCCUCCAAUGAAUCAAUGGUAUUAACCUCGAAUAUAUAUACACUUUUUUAAUCAUGAAAACAAUAAACCAAAAUUGACAAGGAUCUUUCAAGUCUUUCUGAGCUCUCUCUCUCUCUCUCUCUUUUUGUGCACAUAAUGGAACUAGAAAAUCAACCAAGUUAGAAUAACAGUUCUAAGUUUAACUAUUUGAAUAUUAUUCAGGCAUCUGAACUCCAAGAAUUUAGUUUUUCAAUCAGGAAAGAAACAUCAUAGCUUGAACAUGAACCCACCAAGCUAAACAUAAGUUUGUAAUGCUUCAUAUUGUCUGCGAAUGAUUUUGGAUUCAGGAUUCAACAUUUUCCUAAUCAAGGACAAGUCGAUCAAGCUUUUGCAAUUCCUAAUAUAGACAAUAUGCAACAGGAGAACUUCGUGCCUCAAAACUUUGACAACUCUACUAGGUACUGAUCAAACUUUGGCAAUAUAUAUGCUGUCGUGUUUUAACACAGUAUUAAUACCUUUUUGAUAAUUAGAUACACCAUUGAUUUUUAGUGCUUAAGAGAGACUACCAAUUAUCGAAAGGUUUUAUAAUAUGAUCACUUCAUUUUCAUAUAGGUCACAGAUGGAUAACCUCCGAGUCCGAGGAUUGCAAAAUCAAACAGCUAGGCCAAAUGCCUCAAAUCCUGGCCUUGGCACUUCCCUGCAAAGUCAAAAUAGGGGUUUAAAUACUCAACAAGUAAGAAGUAUAACUGAAUUAUCGUCGUCUUUUUUCCCCCUUUGACUGUGCUCUAAACUAACUAUCAAUUUUAAUAACAAAAUAAGGGUAACUUGAUCCGUUAAUUUUUAUUCCAUAUUUUGACCGAUUUUUAUUCUAUAUUUGACUUCUUUUUUCUUCUAUAGGUCGAAAUGGUUGGAUCAAAUGAUCCGUUUUGGAAUUAUGUUGAAGAUGGGGCUGAUGAUGGUAGCAUGAAGUGUAUGUUUUGUCCACAUACAUAUGCCAUUAAAACUUCCAUUUCAAGGAUCAAAUGGCAUUUAUCAGGAGAGAGAGGGAACGGUGUUGCCAUUUGUCGUGGGGUGACUAAAGAAGUUCAAGAAGCAGCCUUUCAAGCUAUGUGUGGUGGCAACAAAAGACAUAAAAACACAGCAAGUUCAAUCAAUGUUAAUGAUUGUGGAAUUUCAACAAUGGUAGGAGGUAUUGGAAGGGUACAAAGAGAAGUUCAGGUUGUAGAACCCGGAGUAGGGGAAGAGAGGAUUACUUCACAAGCAAUAGCAGGAAACGACGAAGUAAGCAUGACGGGAAUGAGAGCACAAGAAGGUAGAGUUUCCAAAGGGGCACUCGAGAGCAGACUGAGGACAGAACCAGCGGAUCGAGCGUUGGAACAAAGCAAUGCAGUACUUGGCAAUUUGGCAGGAGUUCAGGGGGUGCUGGAACAAGGUGCCGGGGAAGAGAGAAUUAAUCGGGUUAGACAGAGGACAGAACCAGUGGAGGAGGAUGUGGAGUGGAGGAGGAUGUGGAGAAUAGUCAAAGAUCAGUGCAGGUUGGUGCUGGAGCUAGAUCUUCUGAAAGUCUGAAAUACAACAAGACUAGAGGAGUUCCAUUACCUACUAGCUCUACAAAGCCAGUGGGUCAAGCAUUCGAAGAGAAUACGAAGGUGAUAUGGUCUUUCUUAAUGGAUGGGGAUGUCUCAAUCAUUGGCAUUUAUGGGAUGGGAGGAGUUGGUAAAUCCAAAAUACUGAAACAUAUCCAUAAUGAGCUUCUACAACAACCAGAUAUUUGUGAUCAUGUUUGGUGGGUGACUGUAUCUCAAGAUUUCAGCAUUAACCGACUGCAGAAUCUUAUUGCUGAACAUUUUGAUCUAGAUCUUUCAAGAAAAAAUGAUGAACUGCAUAGAGCUGCCGAAUUGUCAGAAAAAUUAAAAAAAAAACAAAAAUAGAUUCUCAUUUUAGAUGAUUUGUGGAACAAUUUUAAGUUACACGAAGUGGGAAUUCCUGAGAAGUUGAAAGGAUGCAAGCUGAUUUUGACAACCCGAUCAGAAAGAGUUUGUCAUGGAAUUGCUUGCAAUCACAAAAUCCAAGUGAAGCCACUUUUUGAGGGAGAAGCUUGGACGUUGUUCAAGGAGAAUCUUGGACGUGACAUAGCACUUUCAUUAGAAGUGGAAGGAAUUGCGAAAGAUAUUGCAAAGGAAUGUGAUGGUUUGCCAUUGGGAAUUAUUACAGUGGCAGGAAGCUUGAGGGGAGUGGAUGACCUCCAUCAGUGGAGGAAUACAUUGACGAAAUUGAGAGAAUCAGAAUUUAGGGAUAUAGAUGAGAAGGUAUUCAGGUUAUUGAGGUUUAGUUAUGAUCGGUUAGGUGAUUUAGCACUACAACAAUGUCUCUUGUACUGUGCAUUAUUUCCUGAGGAUGAUCAUAUUAAAAGGGAAGAGUUGAUAGGUUAUUUGAUCGAUGAGGGAAUAAUUAAAAGAAAGAGGAGCAGGGGAGAUGCAUUUGAUGAGGGCCACACGAUGCUUAAUAAACUUGAAAAUGUCUGUCUAUUGGAAAGUGCUAAAAUGGAUUAUGAUGGUAGUAGAUGUUUCAAGAUGCAUGACUUGAUUAGGGACAUGGCCAUCCAAAUACUGCUAGAGAACUCUCAAGGCAUGGUCAAAGCAGGUGCACAAUUAAAAGAGUUGCCAGAUGCAGAGGAAUGGAUGGAGAAUCUGACGAGAGUUUCAUUAAUGCAAAACGAGAUCGAAGAAAUUCCUUCCAGCUAUUCACCAAGGUGUCCCUAUCUAUCAACUCUAUUUCUACGUGAUAAUGACCGGUUGAGAUUUGUUGCGGAUUCAUUUUUCAAGCAAUUGCAUGGGCUCAAGGUCCUCGAUCUGUCUUACAAAGGUAUUGAAAAUUUGCCAGACUCUGUCUCUGAUUUGGUGAGUCUCACUGCAUUAUUGCUCAAAGAGUGUGAGAACUUACGUCAUGUUCCAUCAUUAGAGAAGCUCAGGGCACUGAAGAGGUUGGAUCUCUAUUGGACUCCGCUUAAAAAGAUGCCGCAAGGAAUGGAAUGCCUAACCAACCUGAGGUAUCUUAGAAUGAAUGGAUGUGGUGAAAAGGAGUUUCCCAGUGGGAUAUUACCAAAACUCUCUCACCUGCAAGUCUUUGUACUAGAAGAGUUAAUGGGGCAAUUUUCUGAUUAUGCUCCGAUAACAGUUAAAGGAAAGGAAGUACGAUCCUUGAGAAAUUUGGAAAGUUUGGAAUGCCAUUUCGAAGGUUUCUCUGACUUCGUGGAGUAUCUCAGAUCUCGGGAUGGGAUCCAAUCAUUAAGCAAAUAUACAAUUAUAGUAGGAAUGGUGGAUACAGAUAAGUGGAUUGGCACUUGUGCUUUUCCAAGUAAAACAGUUGGGUUGGGUAAUUUGAGUAUCAACGGAGAUGGAGAUUUUCAGGUCAAGUACUUAAAUGGCAUUCAAGGACUGGUUUGUGAAUGCAUCGACGCAAGAAGUUUAUGUGAUGUUUUGUCAUUAGAGAAUGCAACUGAACUUGAGCUCAUCAGAAUUGAGGAUUGCAAUAACAUGGAGAGCUUGGUUUCAUCUUCUUGGUUCUGCUCUGCUCCACCACCAUUGCCAUCAUAUAAUGGUAUGUUUUCUAGUCUUAAAAUGUUUUAUUGUUAUGGAUGUGAAAGUAUGAAGAAGCUGUUCCCGCUUGUGCUGCUACCAAACUUCGUUA
rnacentral:lncRNA from 1 species